CAACGUUAAGCCCGGAACCGUUCCUAUCUGCCAUUUCAUUUCCACUGAUGCUAUUGCCUGGGUUCCAAAACACAAAUCUGCAUGAUCAUCACUUAGCACUGUACGUAUAAUAAGCUUGGUUGGGUUGCACCCCUGUAUAAUUAUCUCCCUACUUAUUUCUGCCUCUUCAUCAUGUGGUGUAAGAUAUAUGAUGAAAUGAAGUUUUUGGGAUUAGUGGUCGGGUUGCCUGAAAAACACAGAUUAUAGAAACUGCUUGAAAUUAACCCGAUCAUGUUUUCUCUUGUAACGAUAUAGACUUCAACUUGUACUCAUAAUAAAGCAUGCUAUAUUUAUGAAGAGAUAUUAAUCUAUAUAUGCUUUGGCUUUGUGGUUUUACCCAGUGUUUGAAUGUUGAAUUGUUACGUUGGAAUAGGCUGCUAAUGCAUGUAGUUAGAGAAGCCUUCAUUUAUAUCAAAGUCCUCAAACUAUCAAGAACUAAUGUAUCCAGAAACACAUACCAAGACGCAAAACAACAUAUUUUCCAUGCUGUCUGUAACACCAAAGCAAACUUCCUUUAUCACAUCAUUUAAAGGAUCAAAUUCCAGUACUAAUCUAAUCCAUUAUGUAAAGCAUCAGGGACAGACUCAAGAUUUCAAAAUGGAGUGGGCUAGAUUUUAGGUCCGGCUAAACUUUAUAGGGAGACUUAUGAAAUUAAUCAUAAUAUUAUAUAAAUUUAAUUUAAAAACAUAUCAUUUUUAUUUUAUUUAUUUAAAGAGUCCAAUUUUACACCAACAAUGUCAUCAACAAUUGAUUAUAUAUGCUUAAAAUUAACAUUAGUUGACAACUCACAACUCAUAUUGCAACUUAUUUAGUAUAUGUGUUUUAUACUAACAAUAACAAAAGAAAAACACUUGACUGGGCUAUAGCCCAGUUUGUACACAUUGCAGGCCCGUCCUUAUAAAGCAUACAAGUGCCUCCCUAAAUUUGUCCGUUGGAUAUAUAUAUGUCACUUUUUAUUUUUUGAUAGAGAUAUAAAUGUUGAGAAAAUUAGAGUACACAACUCUAAUAUCAUAAAGCAAACAAAAUUUCUAAGUUAGUUUGCUUUAUGAUAGUUGUUUUUUGAAGGGGUCCUUAGAUCUAAUCUCAAAAAGUUUGGCUUUUAUUAGGUUUAACUCUGGUUUUUGCAAUUCUUUAUCUCGUAGUGGCAAUGUUCAAAUGCGAUGAGAUUUCUAAUUAAUACCUCUGUAUGAUCGCUUAUUUUCAAUCUUGGAAUUUCAAGAGUCCGGUCAGCAAAUCUAAUAAGGUAUUCGUUGAUCCCUCAUUCAACUUGAUCCCUGCCCUGUGUAGCUCUGUGAUGCUGGGUGUGUUUAUAGUUAUGAGUUUCCUGUCAUCAAUUUUUAGGGCUAUUCGUUAUAUGAGUCCCUGAACUUAGACUCGAUUUGCAUUUUAGUCCCUCAAUUUCCAAAAUCGUUUCAGUGGUCCUUCAACUUCAGUUUCGUUAGGACAAAUGGUCCUGCCAUCAAACGAUUAUAAAGUGGAAAAAACAAGAACAAAAAGGGAAGUGAGUUAAAUUUGCACCUACUAUGUUCAAACGACAAAGUUGGUUUCCCUUUGGUUGAUUACAAGAGAAGUGAAAGGACCCGCCCGAAUUUUCUCAAAAUCCGAGACAAACCCUUUGGAAUUCCUGACAUCACCCUGAUGCCAGGCCCACUUACUAAAAACCGAGACCUCCUGCCGAAAUUUCGGCAGAGUCUCCCCUAUAAAUUGGACGUUUCCCAAAAUUUAUACCUGCAUAAAAACGCAUUUAAUAUUCCCAACUGGCAGCAUGCACAAUAUAAUUUCAUGCAAUUCACACAAAUGGCCUUCGGCCUUUCAAUAAUUCAUAUCCAACUACCAAACCAUUCAAAUACCAAAUAUGACUAACAUUUAGUCUGCGGCUGCACCUAAUAACCCUAGGCUGCCUACGUACCCUCCUUGAGGGAUCAAGCCACACGUAGUUCUUCCCUAAAACCCAAUUCCACACUUGGGCGAUACCUUAUUUCAUUUCUCUGGAUUUCAUAUAAUCUCCCCAUACGCCGGUACAACCAACGCCACGUAUGGGGCCUGUCAACACGCCGGAUAACCUACGCCACGUGCGACCAUGCCAUACUAUCAUAAUAUCUCCCCAUACGCCGGUACAACCAACGCCACGUAUGGGGCUUGUCCCAACGCCGGAUAACCUACGCCACGCGGGACCUCAAUAUUCAUAUCACAAAUCUCCCCAUACACCGGUACAACCAACGCCACGUAUGGGGUCUGUCGACACGCCGGAUAACCUACGCCACGUGCGACCUCACACAAUAUCACAAUAUCUCCCCAUACGCCGUACAACCAACGCCACGUAUGGGGUUUGUCUCAACGCCGGAUAACUACGCCACGUGAGACCUGAAACAUCAUAUUACAAAUCUCCCCAUACGCCGGUACCACCAACGCCACGUAUGGGGCCUGUCCCAACGCCGGAUAACCUACGCCACGUGGGACCUAACUUUCACUUGGUGGUGCUUGUAGUGAAUCCAAAAUCCGGGGAGGUAUCUAAAGUAGUGCGUUUAGCACUCCAAACUGACACUCUAGACUCUGUUGUACCCUUGUACAACCAUAUAUAAUUAUAGUUAUAUAAAUUAAUUCUAAUAUUGUGUAACCCUCCACAAUAGUCUAGCUCCCGAUAAUCCCCCCCUUAGAAAGGUGAGAUUACUCCGGGAGACUCACGGUCAACCAAGGGUCAAACUACUCUAACCCUGGUCAACCGGACCUGCAGAACCCACUACCUCCAAUUUCCGAUCCGAAAGUCUCUAUGGGUUCUACCAGGUAUAGGACACUUGUCCUGCAAGUUUGGUUCAAAUCGGACGGUCGGAUUUCUCACGAUCGCACGAUCUGACGGUUAAUAUAAGAUAUAAAAUUAAAAUUAUUAUUCGGAACAUCCGGGGUUCCGAUUCAUGAUCCGUAAAUUCCUACACGAUCCUAGAAAUACCUAGAUUAACAUAUAUUAAAUUUGGGACCAUCCAACGGUCCCAACCUAUCGAACUCGGAUAACGCACACUAUGCGAUUAUCCGUUCGAUAGUCAAACGACGUCCGAAUUGAGAUCCGCGAAAUCCUACGCACUCGUGACAACCUAAGGAUCUCAUCGGAACACAUCGCUACAUUUUCUACAGUGCCCACGCACCGGCAGUGCGUGGGUGCCCAAAGCGAUAACGCUUCGCCGGAAAAUCUCAAAACCACGGCUCCAAACUCCUACCCUAGGUAUAACACCCUAUUUGGAGCCACUUUUGUUUUGGACCUACCCCAAAAAGUGGCCGGAAAUGGCCAAUCACGGCGGCCGAAGUUUCGGCCGAUUUUCAAUUCGAAAAUUGAGUUGCCUACGCUAAGAAUCGAUCUAAUCCUACCCAACCAUCAGCUAGAGCAGCUCGAGAGGUUCAAAAUCCAUACCUGGGUCGACGGAUUUGGUGGCCGGAGGAGGAGGAUCGACGGCGUUGAAGUUCCGGCGACAUCUGGGCGAAAAUCGCCAUUUUCCGGCGGCUGGAGCGGCGGCCGAUGGCGGGGAUGGGCUGGGUCGUGACGCCGAGGUCGAGCCGGUUCUUUUGACACCGGCCCCGUCCGCAGCCGCGGCCGGUGGCCGGAGUUACGAAGAGAGAGAGAGGAGAGAGAGAGAGGAGAGGCCGACGGGAGAGAGAGAGAGAGGAGUCUCGCAGGAGAGAGAGAGAGAGAGAGAGAGAGAGAGAGAGAGAGAGAGAGAGAGAGAGAGAGAGAGAGAGAGAGAGAGAAACCAGAUUUUAUAAAAAAAAUCCCAUUUCGAAAUAUUUACGAUUAUGCCACUGGACUUCUUUUGACCAUAUCUCUCUCGUUACAACUCCGAUUCGAGCCCACUACGUGUCUGUGAACUCGUCUCAGUACGACCUAUCCAAAAAUAUAAGUCACGGUCCCAAACUCUCUCCGGUUAAAAAUAUGACUAAAAUACCCUCAAAGCAGCUUACUUGGUUCCUCUAGUAGAUGGAAAUAUAAUUUUUCUAGCUAAAUUUCUCAAAUGGUCCUCAAACUUGUACGCGAUUUACAUUUUGGUCCAUCAAUUAAAUUAUUAGUCCAAAUGGUACAUAAACUCUAUUUUAAUCGCCCAUUUGAUCGAACCGUCUAAUUUUCUGUUAGAUUUAACCAAAUUUUAGGGUAAAUAUGACUUUUCAUAAUUAACAAAUAAAAUAGGAUUAAAAUAAUUAAAUACAAAAUUAGAAAAAAAAAAUGAAGAAAAGGAGGAAGAACAGAAGAGGAAGAAACCCAGAAGAAGAGGAAGCGGACAAGGUUAUUGCAAUGGCUUUCUUAAGUAAAAUUGGGAAUAUACUCAGAUGGACUGCAAAGAAGCAUAUCUGAUCUGAAUUAUCUCCUUUCAAACUAUCUAUCCAUCAAGCAGUAAGAUGCAUGUCAAACAUGGUGAGUUCAAAACUCUUAUUGGAGGUAUUUCGUACCAAACAGAUGAGCAGAGUCUGAAGGAAGCUUUUGCAAAAUAUGGUGAAGUUAUUAAUGCAAGAAUCAUCAGUGACCGUGAAACUGGUAGAUCUAGAGGAUUUGGGUUCAUCACUAGCGAGGAGGCAUCCAGUGCAAUCCAGGCCUUGGAUGGGCAUGAACUUCAUGGCCGUCGAGUAAGGGUGAAUUAUGCUACUGAUAGACCUCGCCCUAACUUCGGUGAUGGAGGUGGUUUUGAAACUGCUAGCACUGGAGGUGGUUUUGGCAAUAACAUCAAUUUGGGUGUUGCUGUUGCUGUUGGUGGUGCUCAUAACUUUGUUGGCGGUGCUGACAACAGCUUUGGCAGUGGUGGAGCUCAAUUGGGAGAGAACAAAGGUGGUUUCAGCUUGCAUGAUCCCUUGAAAGGAAAUGAUAAGGAUGAUGAUGAUGAUGCCGGCAACUUUCUCAAGAGGGCUUGAUAAUAUUUAGAUAAGAGGAGCGAUUUAGUUUGCUUCUAUGCAGAGCUACUAGUAGAUUGUCUUUUUGUUACAGCUGCAUGUCCCCCCUCCCCGUCUUUCUAAACUAUUAAUUUCAUUUGGCGGAAUUUUCUGUGAAUUUCAUGCACCUUUUAGUGUGCUUUGUCAACUAAGGACCUGGAUUGUGGGAAAAAAAGAAGCAAAAAAAGAAGAAACCAGGAAGAAGAAGAAGAAACCCAGAAGCAAAAGAAGAAGAAACCCAGAAGAAGAAGAGAGAGAGAGUUGGUGGAUGCAAUGACCAAGUUGCCCUCAUAUUUAACGGAAAUAUUGAUAGAAUGUAACGGUAGGAUCAAUGAAGCGAAUAAUAUAGAGUUGAUGUACCAUUUGGACUAAUAAUUUAAUUGAGGAACCAAAAUGUAAAUCGAGUAUAAGUUUGAGGACCAUUUGAGUAAUUUACCCUAAUUUUUCUCCUAAUAAUAAGGGUUUAGUGCAAUCAAUGAUGGGCUGUAUAGAACAACUUUUUUGUUUUAUAUGUUUAUGUGAGACAAGUUUUGCCAGAUUGAAUUAAUGUCUUCUAGCUAUGUACCUUAUCUUUUUGCCGGGCCAUGAGUUGAAUGUAGAGGCAGAGCAUGGACUUGGGGUCAAGUUUGACUUGUAAAAAAUUAGGAAUUGAAUGGCUAAUACGUUCAAUUAUUUAUUUAUUUAUUUAUUUUUGUCCGAGCCAUUCAAUUCCUAAUUAUUUAGAUUUUCAAUCCAGUGAGCAUCCACAAUCAUGCUCUCUAUUUUUAAGUUAAAUUUUAGCUAAAAACAUAUAAAAGUUAUUUUAGGAGCUCUCUAUAAAAUUUAAACUUCAAUCGUUUUCUCUAGUUUAGGGAGUCAUAAAUGCCAUAACUCUUUUUUGAUUGGUCUAUCUCUAUUAAAAAAUAAAAUAAAAAAUAAUUAGCAUUAAAUAAAGAUUUGAAAUACUCAUUAAAUAAAGCAACAUUAAAUUAUAGGGAGCCACUAGGAGUCCUUUCUCUCUCCUCAAGUUUAGGAGCUCCUAGAGGUCUCCCUAUUUUAAGAGGUGGAUAGGGAGUAUGGUUGGAAUUGUAUUUUUACAAUUCCUCCCUAAAAUUUGUCUAAGGAGGUGGUUUAGGGAACCCAUUGUGGAUGCUCUCAUCUCAAAGAAAGAAAACCUCAAGUUUGCAAGCAAGUUUUCUACGUAUGUAUAUAUGAAAAAAUGAUAUGAAAAUAAUAAAUCCAUAUUUUUAUGUAAGCCAACUUUCUAAAUCCAUGUACUAUAUUUAUUAGGGAAAUAUUGGAGAAACUGAUUAUUUUGAAAAAUUAAAUGUGAAAAACUGAACAAAAAUUUGACAGGUUACAUAUUUCAACUCAUUCAGCAGCUUAGGUUGUGAAGACCUAAGCAACAAAUCUGCUACUGGGGUGUUGGGGUUUUCUACGUCAUGUGGAGCUUCAUUGCUGCAUCCUUCCACUUCCAUUAUGUGUUGUUCUGAUUCUAAGUGAUGAGGGUAUUAUUGGCACCAUAAUAAACAAAUCAUUUCAAGAUGGUUCCUUCAAAAAUUUAGAAAACAUGCAUCACGAAAUUUUUUAGAAAACAUGCAUCAUGAAAAAAUUACGUGAACAAUAUACUUACACCAUGGGAUCACUCCCACAUAUUGUAACACCCCGACUCCAAAUUAAAUGAUUAUUUUAAUCGAUUUUUAUAAAAUUACGAAUUUACCCUUGGGAUAGGGGUAACUUGGUCACUUUCUUCUUCGGAAGGAUUUUUGGACCAUGAGUGGUAUUUCUGGGUAGUUGGUACCGAGACGAAUUCGUAGACAUGCGGUAGGCUUGAAUCGGGGUUGUAACGAAAAAGUUACGGGCAAAAUAGUGUCAGUGGCAAACUUGUAAAUAUUUCGAAAAGGGUUAGGGUAAAAAUCAGAUUUUUCCAGUUUUACCUCACUUUCUCUCUCUUCCUCCCGAUUCUCUCUCUCUCUCCCGCGUCUCUCUUCCUUCUCCGAUCUGCAGAUCGCAGAGCCGCCGCCACAGGCCACGGCUAGCCCCGAGACCGGACCCAAAACGAUCGGCCAAACCUCGCCGACGUCCCCCGACCCAUCUCCAGCCGCCAGCCGCCGCCUCGUCGCCGGAAACCACGGAUUUCAGGCCGAUUCUUGUCUGAGCUUCCAGUCGAUCGUUCUCUCUCCUCCGAGCACUAUUUCAGACGGGUGAGGUAUGGUUUCUCAUCCAAUUUUUGAGUUCUAGCUGAUGAUGGUAUAGGUUUUCAUUGAUUUUGAGUCUAGAAAACCGAUUAGGAAUCUAGGUUUUGGGCCGAAUUUCAAAAUGAAAUUCUGGCCAGUUGCCGGCCGAAUUGGAGCUUCUCGUAGUUGAAUGAAGUGAUCCUGACCUCGAGUAGAAGCUAGAGUAGGAAGGGUGAGCUCGGGUGUGGAGUUUUUCCGUCACCGGAAUUACUCUGCACACCCACGCGCUGCCGGCGCGUGUGGCGGUGCGUGGGCGAGUCUGGUGAGGAUGUAAAUUGACCCGAUGAGAUCCUUAGGUUGUCACGAGCGCAUAGGAAUUCGCGGAUCUCGAUUCGGAUGUCGUUUGGCUAUUGAAACGGAUUUUCGCAUAUUGUGCGUUAUCCGGGUUCGAUAGGUUCCGACCGUUAGAUCUUUCCCAAAUUAAAAUAUGUUGUUCUAGGUAUUCCUAGGACCGUAUGGGACUUCACGAAUUCUGAAUCGGAGCCCCGGAUGUUCCGAUUCAAAAAUGCAAAGUUUGCGGGUUAGCGAUAACCGUAAAAUCGUGAACGCUUCCUAAACCUGUAAUCGGACCUUAGGGUACCAUCUUCGACGUGCACGUAUGGGAAUUUGGGGAGUUAAGCAUUUAAUUUGUAAUUUCCGCUUAGACGUGGUUUUUAUAUUAAUUAACGGUUCGUAUUUCGAAAUAGGUAUUUCGACUGCACGCACGCAGCAAGCAGGACCUUCACGUGGUCAGGCAGCGAGGGAAUACUUGUGAGUGGACUUUGUUUUAAUCAUAUGCCUGGUUUUAAUUAAUGAAAGAUUUUGCAUAAUGUUUUAAUGGCUUCUGGAUUUUAUGUAUUAUAUGCAUGAAUUAAUUUCAAUGGGUGUAUAGCAAUUGGCAAUAUAUUAUGAGUUUGGCCUUUUGGGUUUUGAGAGUGUAUUUCAUGUAUAGAUUGGGGAAGUAUAUUUUGAUAUAUAUAUAUUCUUUUAGAGGAGAUAUUUGGGUUGUUGGAGAGUGAUAUGGAAGAAUGUGAUUAGAGAGGAGUUGUGGGAUUACACUACGUAAGUACCUUCCCCGGUUACUAGUCUCACUCGCGGCGUUGGAUGUUCCGGCGGGUGAGACACUUUCCGUAUGCGGCGCUGGAUGUUCCGGCGUACGGAAAGACUGUGUAUAGAGUUUAGGGUCAUCACCAUGGCGUUGGAUGUUCCGGUGUGUGAUGAUCCAGUCUGCGCGCGUAGGACAUAGUUUGAGAGCUACACAUGGCGUUGGAUGUUCCGGUGUGGGAGCUUUGGAGUUUCGUCCCCCGGUUGGACCGCUCAUCCCUAAACGCAGGAUAGCACCUGGAAAUCCUGCGGACUAGUCAAACGAUCCCCCAGUUGGAUUGUUUUCCCCGGUACCUAAGUGGUGUGAUGAGUAUAUCAUAUAGCUAUUUAUAGUUAUUUAUAUAUAUAUAUUUAUGUGUAUAUUUAUUGAAUAUGUAUAGUUGAGUGUGAAAGGAAUUGGAGUUUGUUUAAUAGUUGAUAGGAGUGGUGAGUUUGAGAGAAUGGGGUUCUUUUUGAAAGAGAUAACUGAUGUUUUUAGAUGAGUUUUACUGAAGCAUAUUUUGAGUAAUUUCUUAUUGAAUUGUGAACCUGCAUGACUUGAGCAUUAUUUUACAUGGUGGGGUUACUAUGUUGUUUUUAACUGCAAACCUGGUUUUUGUCCACUCACAUGUUUUCUGUUUUGCGCCCCCCCAGCCAGUAGUUGCUCUUGGAAGUGCAAGUGGUGUACGAAGCGGAAUCGGUGCAUCUUUCUAAUUAGGAAUUGUGUAAAUUCUUCUACUCAACUGUUCUUGUAAUCUAAAUUCAGUAGAUGCUCUGUAUUUGCCAUGGUAGAUUUUACUUGUGAGGCCGGAGGCCACUCUAGUAUGACUUAUGUAUGUAUGAAAGCAUGCUGCUGGUUGGGAUUAGUAUUACUGUGUGUGCAGGUUGAAUAAAUUUUGUUGGGUUUGUUUAAAUUGCAGGGGAGACUCUGCCAAAAUUUUGGUAGAAAGUCUCGAUUAUUUAGUAGUGGGCCCGGCAUCAGGAUGAUGUCGGGAUCAAGACGGGGUCCGCCUCGGUCAACGGGAAAUUCCGGGGCGGGUCUUGUCACAUAUUUGAACACAUAACACGUGUUCAAGGUUAUAUAUUUCAUUACCUUCACAAUAGGUACCAAACCGUACCAUGGGAACAUUCAUAUACGCACAACAUACUUAUAACAUACUUACACUCGUGUAUAUUUGAACACAAGAAGACGUGUGCACCACCGUGCACGGUUCACAUGAAGUAAGAAGAUGAAGAGGAAAUAAAGAAGAAUACAAAAGAAAAUGGAGAUGAGAAGAAAAAAAAAACACGAAUAAUGAAAAAUGAGUUGACAAUUAUAUAUGGUUGACAUUAGAUGUAAUAUUAUAUGUAAUAACUAAUGAUCUAAAAUAAACAUUUAAUCUAUUCACUCGUUUCGUGUUUACUCCUGUGAUGGAAGGGCAAAGUUCCCCAUUGCCUUGAAAACCAUUGACUGGUCAACAAGACAACUUUCUUUGGUGUGCGAGCGUGCCACUACUAGCAAUAAAAAACAUAGCAGACUUCUUUGAAAUAUAUAACUUGCGUCCUAAGUUACUAAUUUCUAAACAAGCGAUCGUGAAUUUGGGUGAGGAAUAUCUCCCAAGUAAGUUCUUUUCUUGCCUCAGACUGGUGAGGACUUCACAAUUUAUCUUAGUACAAGAUUGGUAGUUUUGGCCAGAAUAAAUGAUAAUAAAGUGGACUUUUUUAGGCAGAACUGCCUUUUACAAAACUAGAAAGGAAAAGAUCAACUCUAGAAAGACAAAAAAAUGGCUGAAAUUCCAUUUCUGCCUGGAUAGAAGCUUCUGAUCCGGGCUGGACUGGGUAUGUUUGUUCUGGACUGAAUUGUCAACAACUUCAACUACUAAGCUUCAGCUGUAAAUCGAUACCAAAGUUUGAGUUUGGCAGAGUUUUAAUAUAUUUCAAGCCCUGGAAGGCUUUUCGAACGGGCAGAACUGCAACUUCUUUGGUCUGAACGGGGCAGAAGUGGCUGGACUUAAGGAUUACUAAGCCGGAACUGCACUAUGGUACCUGUUCUGCUUGAUCCGGGCUCUCUAUAAAUUUGUUGAGGUUUCCAUAUUUGUGAAAACUCAAACUCGGCUUGUCUUGGCUUUUGCUGAACCAAAUUUGUAACGCGAGAAGUCUCGUUUUGAAUGACUUAUUUAUCUGAGUAUGAACUUGGAAGUUCGAUCUAUAGCUGGCUUCUUUUGUGGCUCGAAUGAGUUUUUGGUUGCUCUAGUUUGUUUUGAAGGUUCUCAAUGAUCAAGUGAUCAUUUUGAGUUUUUGCCUUUGGUUGAUUUUUGAUUGUUUGAUUGAUUGUUGAAAAAUGAGUGUGUUUUGCUCUGUUCACCCUCUCCUAUAUUUAUAAGAAAUGCUUUGGAGUAGGGUUUCUAAUUUUUUAGAAAUCGGCGGCAGAUUUUCUCAAAAGAUCUUUCAUUUUUUAAAAUGUAAAGAAAUAGGGGUUUUAUCAAUUCUGGUAGAUAAGCUCUCAAUGGUCAGUUUCUUUAAGUCAAUCACUUCUCUGUUUUUUGAAAGAAAACUUAAUCCCUCUUUAAUUCCAACUGCCCCUUGUGAGAGCUCAAACUGUGAUGGUUAGUUUGAUUUUCCAGUUUAAACAACUUCCUGUUUCAUGCUUUAUCUUUUUUUAGAAAACACAGUCUGCGUAUCCUGAAAGAUGGUGCCUUCUUUGGAGUAUAAACAAUAUCUCUGAAUAUAUAAAAGGGUUUUGAUCUUCUGGUGGCAGAGAUUUCAGAGACAUCCCUUCUUUUCGCCUGCCUCUGUCAACUCUUUAUUAACCUAGUUGAAAUUGUUGACUUUCCUAAAUCAGAGAAAAAGAUUCACUUUGGUAUGUUUCCUUUUGGGCUCCUUCUUCUCUUUUAAUAUGCCCAAACCCUUUUGUUUUUCCUGGAGCCAUGAGCUGAUUGCUCUUUUUUUCUUUUUUCGAGGCCCAAGUUUAUUUGCAGAGUCCAGACUGCUUGGGCCCUGUGGUUUGUCUUUGUUGUUUUUGGGCUGGGUGUGUCAAAUUAGGCCCAAACAAAGUCAAACAAUAAUUAAAAGAUUUGACAAUAUAAAAAUAUAUUGAGAACAAAAAAAGGCAAAAACUUUUGAAAAAUGGAAACAAUAAAUAUGAAUUGAGUCAUCAACUCACCAAGGUAAGUUUGCUGAUGUGUAAAAAUAGUCAAUGGACUACAUCGAAAAAUAAUUGGCUUACAUCAAAAAUUAAAAUCACGUGGUUUAUUCUUAAGAAACCUUAAUAUUUUUGGGUUCAUAUAUUUUUUGUAUUUUAAAAAAAAAGAAAAAAAAAAUCUGACCAUGUAUGUAUGAUGAUGAUAUGCAUGUUAUUUUUAGACCUAAGGUAAAACAAACAAACUUUUUACUCCAUUUUUCGUGAGGUUUAUCAAAAGAAUUAAACUGUUAUAUCCUCCAUUUUAGAUUUCAUGCUUCCAUUUAAAGAAAAGAAUAUCAACAACAAAAAAAGAAUAAAGUUACAACAUUGAUCAAUUCAAAUGUCCAACUAUCGGAUCAUGAGCCUCUGCACUUAGAGACUACGCAUUUACCCGUAUUUCGUUAAAUUUAGACCAUUAUAAUAAUCUAACCCCUUAGAAUGGGACACAUCAUCAAGUUUUUUUUCCUUUCACUAAACAGAAGAGUUAAGUUUUAUUUGUGGGUAACUAAACUCUUGUUUAGAGCAUGUUUUUUAUUUAUUUUUCUUUGUUCUGUGUAAAUUAUAAUAGGUUAGAUUAUUAUUUGUGGGUGACUAAAAUCUUGUUUAACAAUAAUAGUUAACGUUUGUUUAGAGAAGAAAAAAAAUUUGAUGAUGUGUCAUGUUCUAAAGGGUUAGAUUAUUAUAAUGGCCUAGAUUUAGCGAACUGUAGAUAAACGCGCAGUGUCUUAAUGCAGAGGCUCGAGAUCCCCAACUAUCAUUGAAACAUAAGAAACUAAAAUCUUCAAGAAAAUGCUAUCAAUUGAAAAAACAAUAAUUAAAAAACAAAAAAAGGAAGGGAAUUCGCAGCUGCUAUGCAAAAAAGAGCAAGUCGGUUCAAUGAUUUUUUCUUCUUCUUCUUUUUGUUAUGGAAAUGAAAAGCUAAAUGAUGGGCUAUAUAUGGGAAGAAGCUCAAUGAUUGAAUUAAUAUCUUCUAUCUACAUUCUACCCUCUUCCUCGCUACAUACACAAAUGGUGCACGUACAUGGACAUGGGUUGACAUGAAUAAGAACAGCGACGCGUACUUGUUUUUAUUUUUGGUUCUUUAGAUCCAGUUGCACGUACCAAAGAAAGAAAACCACAGGUAUGCAAUGCAAGCUCUUUUCCCAUGUUUUCCUCUGUUUUCUCCUAUUUUUCUCUCUUUUUUAAAAAAAAAAAAAAAGAUAUACGGAAGUGAUUAAAAUACUCCUCUAACUAAGCUUGUUUUGCGUUCGGUGGCCGACUGUAAAAGCUCUGCUCAAACCUAACGUACUAGGUAUUUAUUUUAUUGCUCUGUUCAGACCUAGUGAUUAAAAUGCACUUGCGAUUUUGUGUUUCAAUUCCCUCUCCCCUAAUAUUGCUUGUAUAAAAAUAAAAACUUUUAAAAAGACAUUAAUAUUGUAUUCUAUAUUCUAUAAAGUGUUGGACAUGUUUUAUAUUGUUGACAACCCCCUAAUAUUUUGGUGGUGCCCAGUUAUAUUCAAUUCGUAUGUAUUUAAUUUGCCACUUACAUUCUUGCCUUAAUACAUUUAGGCUUAUUUUUAUACAAAUUUCUCUAACAUAACUUUUGCACAUUCUUUUAGUCUCUAAUAUAUAUAUAUAUAUAUAUAUACAGAGAGCUUCCAUUGAGGGAUCCCUCAAAUAAACUUAUUUGAGGGACACUCCUUGUAGGCCCCACUCCGAAUUGUAUUUCACUAAUACAAACCGUCUAUUUUGUAGAUACUCAUUCAAAGAUCAUCUCUACAAAAAAUCACUUGAAUCCGAUAUCAUUUGACCACUCAAUUAAGUUAUUGAAAUUUUAGCAUUUUCUUGAAGCACCGUGUUCAUUGAUUUUGUAAGACACAAUUGGAUGUCGAAACGGUUUCCGAUUUGUCUAAUUUUUUGUAAGGAUGAUCUAUGAAUGAAAACCUAAAAAAUAGGUAGUUUGGAUCAUUGAGAAAAAAAUUGUAUGGUACCUUAAAGGGCGUCCCUCAAAUAAAAUUAUUUGAGGGAUCCCUCAAUAGAAGGGGACUGUAUAUAUAUAUAUAUAUAUAUUUUCUAAUAAAUAAUCUUACCCAUUUGAGUUAUCAGCUAUUUUCUUUUAGCCCGGAAAAUCGACAUUUUGACAGAGAGUUGAAAAGAACUCCCCAAUUUUAAUGUCAGCCACUUGAAAAAAAAAACAUAAAUUUAAUGACAACAAUUACAUUUAGCAAUGCAACCUAAAAACUCAACCUUUGCGCCCCUUUCACAACGUAGAUAGCAGAGUAAGGAUAUUCGGAUAAGAACCAAGACAUAAGCCAGAGAAACUACGAUAGCCAACCAGGGCCUUCAUUUCUUACCAUCUGAACAAUGCCACCAUUUUGUUUGGUAAGUAUUUAAUAACAUUUCUUGCUCUUCAUAAAGUAAUAUUAAAACGAAAUUUGCCUAAAUUUUUCUUACCAACAAUGCAUACGAAAAAAAAAAAGGAAGAUUCACUAUUAUACUCAAUAUAGGAGCCCAAAUUAUUUAUAAUUAAAAAAAAAACCUUACAUGAAAUGGACUUUAGAAACACACUCAAAACCUAUUUACAACAAAACAAAGACUUUUAACUUCUUUUAAAUUACAAAACUAUCAUUGAUUUCUUAAACAAACCCAACCCCAAUACCUCAUAAAAAAACCCAAAAUACUUGAUAAAGCAUCAAAGUAAUUUAAUAAUCAAAAUUAAAUUCAAUAGGACCAGCAGUUAUUUUUUGGGUUUUUUUUGUUUGUUUAUAGAAAUUAAAUGGUGUAGGAUCUAUCUAUAUUAUUAGUGCUAAGAAUGGAUAUGUGACUAAAUAAUUCCAAAAAAAAAUUAUAAUAAAUCUACAAUUUUUCUUUUUAUAAAAAAAUUCUACAAAAAUUUAUUAGAUUAAUAGGCACUACUAGAAAAUCUCCAUAUAAGCCACUAAUACACCCAUGACAGUUGUCCAAGCGUAGUGUUGUCAUUCAAUAUUCCCCACAGCAACCAGCAUCCAAUAAAGGGUUGCCUCUCUGUAUGUAGCUAUUUGAGAAUAUAAAAGAAAUAUUUUUUAUUCAACAUGGACGCAGAAACUGUUGCUAAACUGCAAACUUCUUAAAAUAUUUAUCUAACUUUCUAGAUCCAUGUACUGAGAUUUAUUAGGGAAAUAUUGUAGAAACUGAUUAUUUUGAAAUAUUAAAUGUGAAAAACUGAACAAAAAUUUGAUGGGUUACAUAUUUCAACUCAUUUCAGCAGCUUAGAUUUUGAAGACCUCAGAAGAGGCUAUGCAAUGAGCCUAGCUAGUGCACUGUUGAUCACUUCAGUGUUUACCGAUCUGUAAUUUUUCCAGAUUGGUUAUAUUUUCCUUUACAUAUUCUUAUAUUUUCCCAGUUGGGGAGACUUAUAAAUAAGGGAAAUAGCCCUAAAUGCCACCAAUUUUAUAAUUUUUUGUCAAAAUACCACCCCUCCCCAAAAUUUUUAAAACUACCACCUAUAAAUACAUCUUUAUUGUAAAUUAAUUGCACCCAUAUCACUUUUUCAGAAAUUGGGUUCUCCCUCAACUCUCUUGGCUCUGUCUCUCUCUUUAGCCUAGCUCUCUCUCUCUCUCCGACAUAGUCAUCUUCCUCCCUCAGCCAUCCAAGCUUAACUCCACAGUUCACAUCCACGAGGUACUGUUCACGUUCCUUUUCUUAGAAAUUUGGGGUUUUUGUGAAUUUGGUUUAUGAUGUAUGGAUUUGUAUGAAAUUGGUUUAGGGGUUUCUUCCAAAUUGGUUUGGUAAGAAGGUGAUGUUGUUGUUGCUGUCACUGACAGACUAUUUUUCCUGGGUUGUGGUUGGUGGGUGUUACUGCGAAUGCUUACAAGGUUGCUGAUUCUCCUUCUAAGGUCUCUCUUUCUCUCUAUUUCUACAAAUUCUAAGGUUUUUUUUUUUUUUUGGGUUACUUUUUUUUUUUUUUUUAUUUCUUUUGCUAAUUGUAAUUGGGCCUUUGUUGCAGAGGUGGAUUUGUUUUGUGCCCAAAAGAUUGUGACUUUGUUGAAAGUUCGUAAAUAGAAAAGGCAGCUGCCCCCUGCGGCUUGGAACGCUCAAUUCGGAGGUAUUAUGCCUUGAAUUUUUACAAAAGAAGAAUUGAAACUACCUUAUAGAAGGCAAAACAAAAAUAUAUAAGAGGAAAAAAGGAGAAAAUUUAUCUAAUUUCCCUUUUUUUAGUUGUAUUUUUNNNNNNNNNNNNNNNNNNNNNNNNNNNNNNNNNNNNNNNNNNNNNNNNNNNNNNNNNNNNNNNNNNNNNNNNNNNNNNNNNNNNNNNNNNNNNNNNNNNNNNNNNNNNNNNNNNNNNNNNNNNNNNNNNNNNNNNNNNNNNNNNNNNNNNNNNNNNNNNNNNNNNNNNNNNNNNNNNNNNNNNNNNNNNNNNNNNNNNNNNNNNNNNNNNNNNNNNNNNNNNNNNNNNNNNNNNNNNNNNNNNNNNNNNNNNNNNNNNNNNNNNNNNNNNNNNNNNNNNNNNGGGGGAAGGGACACCCUAUUUCGUUACAGGGUUUAUUGACUGCAUUCUUCCUUGUUCUAGAAGACCUCCUCAGUUCCAUUGAGCCGACAAACCUUAUGAAGUUGAAUGUGAAGUGUUACCUUGCAUCUACAUGUUUCAUCUUUUAACUUUAUUUUCAUGUUUCACACUGAUGCUUGUAGUUAUUUCUAGUUUUGCAUACAGAUUAGCAAAUAGGUUAUGCAUUUACUGUUUAGUCAUCUAAUGAUUUGAUAUCUAAUAUUUAGGCAUAUGGGAAUUUAUAGAUGUACCGAUUAUGCAUACAUAUAGGUUUUGUGCUUGUAUUAGGAAGUUAGAUUCUUGUGGUUCCUCUUCAAUGGCAUGAAUUUAAAUUGUUGUGCUUCAUGAUUAGGGUCUGAAGAACAACCAUGUAGUAAGAAAGUUGGAGAAACGUCAACAGAUUUGCACCCUUGACCAACAUAUUGAAGAGUAAUUUGGUGGUGGUCGUCUAUUGGCUUGUAUCUCAUCACGACCUAGAUAGUGGCUGUGCUGAUGGGUAUGUGACUUUAUUUGCCUAUGUCUGUUUCUAGUCAGCCGAUAUGUCAUUGGCAUAUUAGUGUAGUUACCAUAUUGCAAGGGCUGAAAUCUGGAUGAUAACAGCUUCUUUUUAUUGUUGUUUUAAAGUGAAGUAUGUAUGGAUCUUAUGAAAUUUUUACAGAAAUAUAUUGGAGGGCAAAUAAUUUUAUUUUAGUUUUUUUAUUCCCAAAUGAUACCCAAAACAUGUAAGCUUCACACUAUGUUAAUUUCUGCAGGAUGGGAAAACAUUGGACAAUGAGUUGGAGGUUGUUAAGGGAAUGAAGCUAGACAUGGGCUACAUAUCCCCUUAUUUCAUCACCAACCAGAACAAUUAGAAAUGUGUAAGUUUUGGUUUGAUUCAGGGAUGACUAUGUCUUGAAACUGUUAGAGGGCUGCUUGUUAAAGUUAGUAGCACCUCAAGUCCCUUUUUUAUUGAUGCUGAUUAUCUUCAAACUUGUGUAUGUGCUGAUAGGAAUUGGAAAAUCCUCUAAUCAUAAUCCAUGAGAAGAAAAUCUCAAGUAUUAAUGCUGUGGUUAAAGUAUUGGAGUUGGUCUUGCAGGUUAUCAUUUCUCUGGUUAGGUUCACUAGUUUCUUCUUUUUUAUCAUGAAUUGGUUGACAAACUUUUGCUCUUUUUCAAAAGCAAAGGUCUUUGCAUUUUGUUAUAUCUUUCAGAACCAAAGUUAUAAAAGAAAAUGGUUUUCCUCUUUGUUAAUUGAGAAUCAUCUGCAGUUAUGAUUUCAGAUCUAUAGAUAACUUGUUGUUGCUGAUAUUGCUACACGGGAGGAGAAUAGAACAGCUUGAAAAAUGUGCAAGAAGAGAGAGCUAACUCAUACACCGAAGAACAAAUUGGUGAAGUUAAGAUCAAAUUAGUAGAAUUUGUGAGCUCUCCAUUAUUUAUAAUUAUAGGUAGGAAGUAUGUAUGUAAUAGAGUAAAGAUUGGUUGACUAUGUAAUAACAAUUGAAUUUUCAAGUUUUAUGAAAGAAAUAAUUUUUGAGCAUAUAUAUUUGUUAAUAAAGCAUUAUAAUUGGUUUUCUAGUUAAAAUCGUUGUAUAGAAUCGUAGGAAACAAAAACCUAAAUAUAACAGCUUGGGAACUUAUUAGACGACAGAUUUAAAGAUAAUAAAAUGUAGUCUGAAUUGUUAGGGUUCGGUGGCGAUUUAUUUUGCAUGUCUAAAUUGUAGUCUGUAAUAUAUGUGUGUGUAUUGUAUGUAGAUUGACUUAAUAUUGCUAUCCUAUUGCAUGCGUAUUGUACUAAUAUUGCCUUUGUAUUGCAUACAUAUUGUAUGCAUAUUGCCACCCUAUUGCAUGUAUAUUGUGAUGUUAUUGCUGUUGUAUUGCCGUUAUAUUGCCCUAAUAUUGCCUCUCUAGUGUAUGUAUAUUGGCCUAAUAUUGCCAUUAUAUUGUAUGUAUAUUGACUAUGACUCAUCAAUGGGUUUACGGUUUAGGCCCUACUUCAUUCAAAAAGAAGACGACGACGAGAAAGAAACAAUGUGCCUUUCAAAAACAAGCAGUCAGGUGCAUUAUAAUUGCACCGUAAGACAUUGUAAGAAAUUAUUUUAAAAGAUAAUAACAACUAAAAAAUAAUUUACCAAAAAAGGAAGGUAUGAAUAAAUAUGCAAAUGCUUCGUCAUGGGUUGAAGAAAAGGAUGAUUACAUUUGGUGGUUUGAUUAUGUUUGGUGAUAUGAUAUGUUGUUCGUCUGAAUCUUCAUAUAUGUAAUUGUUAUGUUAAUACUUGACACAAAUUCAUCUCGUAAUCAUCCAAUUAUUAAAGCUAAGUAAAUGAAAUGAAACAAAAGAAGAAGCCCAAAAUAAACAGAAACAGCAAUUUCUAGCACCCAUUUAUCGCUUCUGUAUUACCACUGUAUCACCAACGUAUCACCAGCUUAGCGUUGAUGACCAUUAGUUCAAACAUUAUGUGAUCUAAUAGGGAUAACUAAUUUUUGGAACAACUAAUGAAUCUUCAAAAAGAUAAAGAACAACUAGUAAACUAAUGUAUGCAGUUUAACUUUGCACGGGUCAUAGUGCUCAACAUGAUAUUUGGCAACCAUCUCUACACUUGGUGUAUAUUGCAGGCUUCUAUGCAUUCCAAACCUUCAUUCUUCUGUGAUAAAACUGUUAAAUUACCAAGAUUUCUAACACAUGGAAGUAAACAAACGAAUCUGCACAUUUAUUUGUACAUACACACUGCGUAUUGCACAUCUGCGCAUCUAUUAAUCACCACACCAAUGUUUCAAAGAUUGAUUCAGAGGGCAAAAUGAUUGAUUACAUAUUUCAAAUUAGUCAUCUGCUCAUAAGAACUUGGCCCUAAAACUGUACUAAUGGUAAAUAUACUGACAUAAUAGCUAUUAAUGAAAAAUUCUAAACAAACGAGGGACUUAUUUUUCUAAUAUUGUAGUGGAAGCAUGUUAAGUGAUUUUCCACAUUUGUUCAUGGGGGUAAAGUAUAUCUUACCCCUUUCUAAACAUUAUGAGGUUUCAAAUUUCAAUAACAACAGAAUGCUAAGCAGAAAAGUAGAAUUGCUACAUAAAUUACUUAGAAGGAACAAAGUCAAAACUAAUUUGACAAAUCUUAAGAAAGCUGUAUGCUUCACUAAGUCAACUAACAGAUUCCCAGUGCAGGAAAUGAAAUAUACCUAUAUCACAUAAAUUGCAAAGAAAACCACAGAGACUAAAUGUUAACAAUGGAUACAAAAAUGAGUAGAAUUCAGUGGAAACGAACACAUCGUUUCAAACAAGUAAAUUGUUAUAUGUCCAUAAAGAGCAACUAUGUUUAUAUAUGGAGGUGUACGAAAUAGUUCAACUUCAAAAUGGAAACAGUUUAUGUGCCAUGUAAGGCAAUGAACAUAUAACAAGGUGAGUCUUCAACAAAUUAAAAGUAGACAAUUAUUUUCAAACAAUCUGACAGCUGCCCGAGAAAACUGAGGGAGUUAAGGCAUGAGAUGCAAACAUGAUAAACACUGUUAAGCACUCGGACGAACCCAUGCUAUAAUACAAGCCAACAGACAAUCACCACCACCAAAUUGCUCUUCAAUAUGUUGGUCAAUGGUGCAAAUCUGUUGAUGCUUCUCCAACUUUCUUACUACAUGGUUGUUCUUCAGACCCUAAUCAUGAAGCACAACAAUUUAAAUUCAUGCCAUUGAAGAGGAACCACAAGAAUCUAACUUCCUAAUACAAGCGCAAAACCUAUAUGUAUGCAUAAUCGGUACAUCUAUAAAUUCCCACAUGCCUAAAUAUUAGAUAUCAAAUCAUUAGAUGACUAAACAGUAAAUGCAUAACCUAUUUGCUAAUCUGUAUGCAAAACUAGAAAUAACUACAAGCAUCAGUGUGAAACAUGAAAAUAAAGUUAAAAGAUGAAACAUGUAGAUGCAAGGUAACACUUCACAUUCAACUUCAUAAGGUUUGUCGGCUCAAUGGAAUUGAGGAGGUCUUCCAGAACAAGGAAGAAUGCAGUCAAUAAACCCUGUAACGAAAUAGGGUGUUCNNNNNNNNNNNNNNNNNNNNNNNNNNNNNNNNNNNNNNNNNNNNNNNNNNNNNNNNNNNNNNNNNNNNNNNNNNNNNNNNNNNNNNNNNNNNNNNNNNNNGAUAUGAAGAAACAAAAUGAAUCUCCCACAAGCCUAACAGGCUAAUACCAUUAACAAGGUCUGAAAUUGACUCUAUAUCAUGUACAUAUAUAUAUAUAUAAACUCCAUCUUUACAUAUUGGAACUACAUCAAUGUAAACCAACUAGAUCGACCCUGCAUCCUGAACACCACCCCCCCUCCCAAAAAAAAGACCGAGAAAAAAAAAAUACAACUAAAAAAAGGGAAAUUAGAUAAAUUUUCUCCUUUUUUCCUCUUAUAUAUUUUUGUUUUGCCUUCUAUAGGGUAGUUCCAAUUCUUCUUUUGUAAAAAUUCAAGGCAUAAUACCUCCGAAUUGAGCGUUCCAAGCCGCAGGGGGCAGCUGCCUUUUCCAUUUACGAACUUUCAACAAAGUCACAAUCUUUUGGGCACAAAACAAAUCCACCUCUGCAACAAAGGCCCAAUUACAAUUAGCAAAAGAAAUCAAAAAAAAGUAACCCAAAAAAAAAAAAAAAAAACCUUAGAAUUUGAAGAAAUAGAGAGAAAGAGAGACCUUAGAAGGAGAAUCAGCAACCUUGUAAGCAUUCGCAGUAACACCCACCAACCACAACCCAGGAAAAAUAGUCUGUCAGCGACAGCAAAAACAACAUCACCUUCCUAUCAAACCAAUUUGGAAGAAACCCCUAAACCAAUUUCAUACAAAUCCAUACACCAUAAACCAAAUUCACAAAAACCCCAAAUUUCUAAGAAAAGGAACGUGAACAGUACCUCGUGGAUGUGAACUGUGGAGUUAAGCUUGGAUGGCUGAGGGAGGAAGAUGACUAUGUCGGAGAGAGAGAGAGAGAGCUAGGCUAAAGAGAGAGACAGAGCCAAGAGAGUUGAGGGAGAACCCAAUUUCUGAAAAAGUGAUAUGGGUGCAAUUAAUUUACAAUAAAGAUGUAUUUAUAGGUGGUAGUUUUAAAAUUUUUGGGGAAGGGUGGUAUUUUGACAAAAAAUUAUAAAAUUGGUGGCUUUUAGGGCUAUUUCCCUAUAAAUAAACCCAAAAUGGGUACAGUAUCUAUACAGAAGGACAAAAUUAAAGUGUUUGGACAAUAAUGCCCCUAUUCAUUUUGGGAUUGCCUAAGGAAUCCUUUUCCUGAUUUUCAAUGAUGCCAAAGGACUGUUGUUUGAUGCUUGCCGUAUGGAGCUAAGAAAACUUGCUUUGUGUUAUAAAAAUAACCUGGAAUAUGUACGAAUAUUGAGCUGCACGAAAAGUAGAUGAAACACAGCAUUUAACGAGGUUCGGCUAUGCCUACGUCCUCGGAGAGCAACAGCAGUAACUUUUUCACUAUAUGAAAUAAUAGGGCUACAACUUUAGAGUUUACAAUAUGUGAGGCUCACUGAAUUUUCUCUCUCUUUCUUCUUCUCUCUUUUCUUUCUUCUUUUUCUCUUCUCCCCUUUCUUUCUUUUCUCCGUUGGUCACACUCCCCUUUACAAUUGGUAUGCCUAUUUAUAGGCUAAUGUUUAGGCAAAAUACAGGGAAGGGAAGGUUCCUGGAAGAUGCAAGGAAACUUCCUGAAUUGAUAAUGUCACACCCCGGACCGACUCCGCCGUAGCACGAUAUUGUCCGCUUUGGGCCCUCCUCUCACUGCCCGCACGGUUUUGUUUCUGGGAGCUCACGAAGCAACUUCCCAGGGUGGUCACCCAUCCUGGGAUUGCUCCAGCCUCCCACUCGCUUAACUUCGGAGUUCUUACAACUCCGAAGCCAAUGAGCUCCCAAAAGGCCUCGUGCUAGAUGGAUGCGGGUGUGCCAUAUAAGGCACAUCACCCCCCUCUCCGUUGGUUUGAUGUGGGAUCUUACAAUCCACCCCCCUUAAGGGUCCGACGUCCUCGUCGGCACACUCGCACCACACGGCAGAGUGGCUCUGAUACCAAAUUGUCACACCCCGGACCGACUCCGCCGUAGCACGAUAUUGUCCGCUUUGGGCCCUCCUCUCACUGCCCGCACGGUUUUGUUUCUGGGAGCUCACGAAGCAACUUCCCAGGGUGGUCACCCAUCCUGGGAUUGCUCCAGCCUCCCACUCGCUUAACUUCGGAGUUCUUACAACUCCGAAGCCAGUGAGCUCCCAAAAGGCCUCGUGCUAGAUGGAUGCGGGUGUGCCAUAUAAGGCACAUCACCCCCCUCUCCGUUGGUUUGAUGUGGGAUCUUACAGAUAAAUACAGGGAAGGAAAGUUCCUGGAAGAUGCAAGGAAACUUCCUGAAUUGAUAAAUACAGGGAAGGGAAAGUUCCUGGAAGAUGCAAGGAAACUUCCUCUGUGGGCUCCACCUUCAAACUUUUACAACACUCCCCCUUGGAGACCACAAAUGAUAUGAAAUAUGCCUCGUUAAAAACCUUGCCAGUAAAAACCCAGUGGGACAAAAACUGGUCGAAGGGAAAAAGAGUACAUAAUCACGUGUAACAUAAAAUUCUGUGUAUAUUGACGCGCGUGCGACACUGCCUCGUUAAAACCUUGCCAGGAAAAAUCUAGUGGGAUAAAAACCUGGACGAAGGAAAAAGAGUACAGUGUGUAAGGGUCUGUAUUGACAGCACGCUCCUCCUGAUGCUUGGCAAAAUAUCUUUAAGCCAUACUGUUGAUCAUCUGUCUGAAUAUCAUAGUUGACACUGCUGCUGUGAGUCAAUAGUGUAUGAAGGUCUUUAUUAAUACCAUGCUCCCCCUGAUGAAUAUCUCCCCCUGAAAACUUCAUGACUAGCUUUUUCCAGUAAGCGACCAUAGAGAUUUCCUGAGUCCGCAUAUCUUAGAACACUUGGGCUAUUUAUAAGUUCACUAAAAAAAUAUGCCCGUAUAUGGUGUUAUGCUUAGAUAGCAUCAAAUAUACCUCACAUCAUCCCAAAAUGAUGGUGAUGGAGUUGAGCCCUAUCUGGAAAAUAUGAUGUCCGGUCCAAUAUACUUCCGGAAAAUCAUUAAAGUGUCCAACGGAUAAUCCUCAUAAAAAUACUUUAAUACUUUCUUAGUAUAAGCAAGAAUCUCGUUGGCAUAAUGCUCGAUCGAGACAAAUAUUUCAUGAAUUCUGCAGAAACUUUAAUGUGUUGCAAUCACAUUAUAAUCAAUGUACUCACUGAGGUAAUUUAUGCAUAUUAAUAUUGAGUACAAAUUUUGUGCUUCAAGCACAUGUCCUUUAAGGACUUGCUUUAUGCAAUAUCAAUCCUCUCAACGGAUUUUGUCUAAAAGGGAUUAAGCUUUAUGACACAUUAUAUAGCUUUUACCCAGCUAUUUAUACAUCUUUAGGAAAUCGCUUCUGGCGAUAUGCUCCGUGCAUUCAAUAACCCUUAAAGAUAAUAUGUUGGUCUCCGUAAUUGUGUAAUAAGGGGGGGCACAAUUGAAUCUGUAAAUAUGGAGAAAACCCAACAUUCCUUGUUUCUGCCAGAAACAGUGUGUCAUACAAAGUAGGUAUAUUCCCUUUUAUUCCGAACACCCAAGUAUAACUUUCAGUAUUAACAAAUUUUGGGGUUCGUAUUGUGGGUUUGUUCUUUCACGUUCAUUCUCAUUUAUAAUGGAAUUACCUCGUUCCAUUUUGGCCAGUGAUAUUGUCGACAUUUAAUAAUUGAACGUGGUUCCAAUCAACACAGCCCAUUGAUGAUUUGAGUAGCUACUCCAAAACCAAAAAUUGUCAUUCAUCAAUUCAUGAUCCCACCAUUCUCAUGUGCAUGCACAUGCAUCAAUUAUAAGCAUUUCUUUGCUUUUUGGUACCCAAGCCACUUCAGGGGGCUUUUAUUAUGUGAGAAUGUGGAUUAUAACCUCCAUCGGAGCGUUAUUUAGUAGUAGGGCGUGGAUAAUCUCCAUUUAGAGAGUUGGAACAUUGAGAACCCAUAUAUCUGUCAUGCUGCAGGCAUGCCACAGAUUAAUACAUACAUGUCAAUUAAUUUCUGGGACUUUAACCCAUAUUAUGGGACUUUAACCCAUAUAAUUUGCUACGCAUUAGGCGUGCAUAAUAUCAAUAUUGACAUGUCAAAGGAUUGUCCUUUCGGGACUUCAAUUCAUAUCAUUUGCUACGCAACAGGCGUGCACCCAUAUUGAUCACUGCUAUACCCAUAUUCUGUUCUUAUGGGACUUUAAUCUGUGCAGUGUAUUAUCAAUGUAUCCAUCUUACAAUCUGUAAAAUUUGCAUUAAUAAUUCAUGGAUACAUACAAGCCAUUCUUUUGGAACAGACUUAUCUCCCAAUUUGGUUACCUUUCAAGAUAAAAUAUCAAAUAGGUAUAUAAGCAUAAAAUAACACAAGUAUUGCUUACAUCCUUAGGUGGGAGAAACUUUUCUCAAGUAUCAUUCAAGCUCAUAUCAGCCCAGUAAAUAUAAUGUAGCGCUUGAUGAUCUAGUUAUAUCCUGCAAGAGCAAAAAUCACAACUCUUUUGCCUCUGUCAAAACAAAUAACCCUCAUAGUUAGGAUUACUUCAUGGAUUCAUUCUUCAUAUGUUCAUUCUAAAGAAAUAAAAUCUCUUAUGAACAGAGAGUUAUAAAAAGAGAAAAAAUGCAAAAAUAAUGUGAUAUUGAUUGCAAGAGAAGGUAAGCAAUCAGGGAAGGAAGCUGGUGGGAGCAGACAAUAAGCUCUCAUAUCUCCUAGUCUAGAAGGACUCCCGGAGAUUAGACCAUAAGAUCGCCUUCACAGUUUCCUGAUGUAGUGGAAACGUGAUCAGGGAUAGUCUUGCUUCCUGAAUGGAUGAUCAGAGAUAGUCUUGCUUCUCAGGCAUAUUGAGUGCUCACUGAUAAGAAAAAUAAGUAGAUAUCUCAUCACUAAGUAUGGAGUAAACUGGAUGUCUUCUGCAAAGGAAAAUUUCGUUUAGUAACACAUUUAUACACAAAUACAAUGAAUAGGUAGAACCGGUAAAUUUCAAAUUAACCAUAGGAAAAUUGCGAGAUUCUCGGGAUACUUUUGAAAAAGUAGCUCCGUGAAAUCCGUAAAGCAAGAUCGGCUUUGAAAAUAAUACUUUGAAAAACGCCGAAAGUGCCGACAUGCAUUAUUAGAGGCCACGUGAAGUUUUGGACUCUGGGAAAGAAAAAGAUAAUAUGGGGAUUCGAGAAGACAUUGGGGUCCUGAAAAGUUGCCACAUUUUCGUCUAUAGAUAUUGCCUUUGCAAACUGCGUUUCAACUCAACUUCCUUCAUUUUCCGAACCUUUAGUUUUUCUAAGACUUUCUUCGAAACCUUCUUAAAAAAAUGGCUUCCUCUUCUUCCUGCCCAAAUUAUUUCAAUUUAAAUGAUGCUCCCACAACAACCAGUGACGCCCAAGUUUGGCGUCCAUCCUUUGUAUCCAAAAAUCGUCAUCUCACAGUUAAUGAUUCUGUGAUGAUGAAUGAUGCUACUGCUGUCAUAGUAGCUAGGAAUUUCAUUACUCCAAUGGAUGAAAUGUUGUUGACAGGGAGAUCAGAGGAAGAGGCUAUUGAUGAAUCAAUGGCUUUUAGCAUUCAGAGUGCUGUUUCUGUUUCUAACAUGGCUGAUCGUUUGCGUGCCAGAGCAAACGAAGUUGAGAAUUUAACAACUGAAAAUUCGUCUCUCCAAAGAAUGCUUCAUGAGUCUCAACAGGAGGUUGAGAAACUUAAAGGAGAGAAUAAUGCCUUGUUGAAACUGGUGAGUUCGUACUCUGUUGAUACAUUGAGAAGGCUAGACAUGCUGCAGGUCUCGAAUGAAAGAAUUUUGGGAGACUAUGAGAAGCUCAUGGCUAAGCUUAAGAGGCGCCGUCAUCUUCCUUCAGAGGCUUCCAGGACAUAAUGUAAUUUUUAUAGAUUUUACAGGGCCUGCACCUUCAUUGCAGGAAAAAAUCUAUCUGUUGUAUGCCCCUUUUCUGUUAUAAUAAUUGCGCAUAUUCUUAAACUUGCACCUGUGGUUUUUACGUCUUUUCAAAAUGACGAUUUGGAACCUUGUGCCUUAUAGGUUCAAAUAACCACAUUGUCUCUCCCAAAUUUCAUAUUUUAUCGCAUGGUAGCCCGGAACUUUUGGCCUGGGCACAAACUCAGAAUUUAUUUGCCCUUUUCAAAUGGACAUGAAAUAUGAAUUGAGUAAAAGCCAUGAUAAUAUCGCAAUAUAGUAGUGAAGAGCAUUAACUACUAUAUACCCACAACUUCAAGUUCAGGAUCUCUCAUAUAUUUGGAUCCAUGGGCUUCCGGCCCAAAUAUAACAAAAUAUGUGGGGAGCCUCAAUUCAUUAUUUGAGGUUUAUAUUAAUAUUAUGCAUUUCGCGGUGUAUUCUUAACAACCGGAAUUCACAAAAUAUAUUUCUUCCUUGAGGUGUCGAUUAUAACAAAAUCGAACUUUAUUAAAUUCAUCAUCUUCUUAUGCCAAAGAAAUAUGUGGCAUACCACAAUUUGCAAUAAUACCUCAAGGGUUGUCCAUUUAAUUGUUGGAACUUCAGGUUCUCAACACUGUUAAAUUUGGAACUUCAGGCCAAAGCCACAUAUUCUCAUGGUAUGGACAUUUUUACAAUUUUCUGUACAUAUUUCGGGACUUCAAGCCCUUACAUAACUGUCCAUAUUUUGAGGAACUUCUGGCAUCUCAUUUAAUUGCUCAUCCAUGAGUUUAAGGAACUGCAGGUUCCCUUUUGUAUAUAGUGACGGUUUACCCAAAAUGGUUAAUAUUUAUGCAUACAUCACUAUUCAUGUGAAUAGUACUAUUCAUCAAGUCAUGAAUACGUAUCUAUUCAUCUGCCAGUACAGUUAUCAUCAAUGUGUACGGCACUAUGAACCAAUACGGUACUGUUACAUCAUUAAGGAACUCUAGGUCCUUAUUUACAUGUCAGGGAUUAAGAACCUUUAAGUCCAAUCACAUGUUUACAAAUACAGUACCGGUGAGACUGCCAGCUCUCAUUUUAAUAUCAUCAUCAAGGAUCUUCAAGUCCUGAUGUAAUUGUAUGAUGAGGAUCAAGGAACUUCUGGUCCUGAUCUGCAUACUGGAAAAACUAAUCAUACAGCACAAUUAAUCCAUAAAAUAAAUUGCUGAUAAAUAAAUUACUGGUAUGGACGAUAAACCCGCACCACACUUUAAAUAAAUGUAAAUGUGCGGUAAAUUAAAUUCAUAAAGUUAAGGUGCUUGUAUGGGCAUUAAUUCUGCUCCAUACAUUUAAAUAAAAGUAAAGGCGUGGACGAUAAACCCGCACCACCCUUUUAAAUAAAUGUAAAUGUGCGGUAAAUUAAAUUCAUAAAUUAAAUUGCUUGCUGUAUGGACGUUAAUCCCGCACCAUACUUUAAAUAAAAUUAAAUGUGCGGUAAAGUAAAUUGUGCUUGUAUGAGCACUAAUUCUGCUCCAUACAUUUAAAUAAAAGCAAUGGCGUGGACGAUAAACCCGCACCACCCUUUUAAAUAAAUACUGUUGUAUGGGUAAUAAACCUACACCAUACAGUAAAUAAAAUAAAUAUGCGGUAAAAUAAAUUUGCGAUAAAGUAAAGGUGCAUGUAUGGGUAAUAAACCUACACCAUACAGUAAAUAAAUGUGGGGUUAAAACCACCACCGAAUAAAAUAAGAAAAAGUUAGUAUUAGUAACGGUCUCCUACUGAUAAUAUGUUUAGUAUUACCAAGGGUCCAUUUUUGUUAGUGGUUAGUAGUAUAGAUAAUAGUGCAGCAUAAAAAUUAUACCUGAGAGCUUCUCGUGCUGAUAACGUGUUAUAAAAAUAACCUGGAAUAUGUACGAAUAUUGAGCUGCACGAAAAGUAGAUGAGACACAACAUUUAACGAGGUUCGGCUAUGCCUACGUCCUCGGAGAGCAACAGCAGUAACUUUUUCACUAUAUGAAAUAAUAGGGCUACAACUUUAGAGUUUACAAUAUGUGAGGCUCACUGAAUUUUCUCUCUCUUUCUUCUUCUCUCUUUUCUUUCUUCUUUUUCUCUUCUUUUCUUUCUUCUUUUCUCUUCUUCUUCUCUCUUCUUUUUCUCUUCUCCCCUUUCUUUCUUUUCUCCGUUGGUCACACUCCCCUUUACAAUUGGUAUGCCUAUUUAUAGGCUAAUGUUUAGGCAAAAUACAGGGAAGGGAAGGUUCCUGGAAGAUGCAAGGAAACUUCCUGAAUUGAUAAAUACAGGGAAGGGAAAGUUCCUGGAAGAUGCAAUGAAACUUCCUCUGUGGGCUCCACCUUCAAACUUUUACAACACUUUGAUAGUUUUGGACAGAUGCAAGCUACUGUUGUUGGGAUGAUCUUUUCACGUGAAAUGAGGAUGACGAUACUUCUACACUACACAAUCCAACGAAUUCACAUUUCUAUUUCAGAUACAUGUAUAAACAGACAAGGCUUUAAAAUAUGGGAUGCUGCACUGUUGUUGCUGCUGCUGACACUGUUACUGUGUUGCUGCUACUGUUACUGCACUGCUGCUUGAAGAAGGACAAGGACUUCACUUGUUGCUUUCGUCCUUUGUGGAGGAGAGAGACCUAGGACUUGCAUGUCUUAGAUAUUUAAGACAAGGGGCUUUCGUGCCAUUUUGAAAAUACUUUGGGUGUUUUUGAAAGCUGCUUGUUUCUUUUGAGUUUCUCACUAAAUUUCGCUUUAGAAGGGAAAAUAAUAAUAAUAUUAAUAGUACAGCACUUAUUAGCAACAGAGUUACAAACUUCUUCUACAACACACACCAACAUGAAUCUAGCCCUGAUCCACUCUUUACAUACUUGAAAACAAAACAAAACACGAAAAACAAAAAACAAGAUAGGGAGAAAAUGGCUACGGAGAGACUUACUGCUAAUAGUUGAUCAAUAACAGAGAUAAUAGCGCACACUAUUUGUAUGACAGUGAGUAUCAGAAGAAUAAUAGCUGCAAAGAGAGAAAUAGCUGCCCAAGGUGUGUUGAAAUACUUUUGUCUCAAAUUUGCCUUCCAUAUGUUCGUGGUCUUCUCUCAGUAACUCGUUUAGUUUGCCAGCAAGAUCACCAAAAUAGUAGUUUCCGUGGUUCAGAGCAACUUUACUGCAAAGCUUGUUAAUCAUAAUGGAAACCUUAUUGUUGUCACCUUGCAUGUUUACAACAAUUCUAUUCUCAACAAGCAACUCUACAUCCUUUGGAGUGUUUACAAAUUUAUCCAGGAUGAAAACAUAAUAGCUUAUGUAUUUAUCCACGCAAUGGCAUUGUUCAAAGGCAAUGAGAUUUCUAAGUGUAAGCUCUGUGUAAUUAUGUAUUUCAAUUUUUGGAAUUUCCAAGGUGUUUUUCUUGAACUGUAUAUCGAAUAAGUUCUUGCUUGAUCCGGCCUGGUGUAGUUUUGUCAUGCUGGGUGUCCUUUGGAGCCCUACAUUUUCUUUUAGGGUCGGAUCUGGCAGAUGUAAAGUUCUAAUAAAAUCAACAAAAUGUAAAGGUUUUUUAGGAUCAGGAGGCAUAAAAGACUUACGGAAGGCUGGUGAGUUCUCCAAGUUUUCUAAACGCAGUGCCUGUUGGAAGAACCUGUAAGAGAGUUCAAUUAUUGAAGGCUCCCCAGUCUGAGCACCUGUGAGAUUGUAAAGAUCCUCGAGAAUGAAAAAUGGCAGCUGAUUUCCAAGCAUAAGCAUGUCAGGCAAUAUAUUUUGUAGCACCCAUGGUUUUUUAAAUAUCCAAGCAUUAUCAUCCUGCAAUUUUUCUUCCUGAAAUUUUUCUUCGGAUUUAUUCCUCAACAAUAGCUCAAUGACAAAGGCGGCAUCAACUCGAAUGAUAUUCACAAAAGCAGCAAUGUUAAACUUCUUAGUGUCUUCAUAAUAAUGACGGAGUUCAACUUCUCUCUCCUUUAUUUUCUCGAAAUAAUCCUUCAAUUUUACAUUAGUCCAAUCAAGAAAACACUUUAGGUACCUGAGUUUGUGAUCUUCCAUGGCUUCUAGGUUUUUGCUGCCAUGGUGAAGUGGGCCUAUUGAGACUACUUGUGGUGUGUAGGCCUUUUGUUUUACGUUCCGUAGUCGCUCAGGCACCCUUUAGAUACAACAGGCAGGGGACAGGGCACGCAAGUUUGUCAACUGAUUUUCCAUGGAAGUUGCUUGGUUUUCUAUGUCAAAAGAAGCUUCAUUGCUGCUUUCUUCCACUUUCUUCCUCCUCAUUAUGUGUUGUUCUGAUUGUAAGUGACGAGGAUGGUGAUGAUUCUAGACAACAUAAUCAACAAAUGUUUCAAUCAUAAUUGACAUUUCAAGAUGCUCCGACAAAGAAUUAGAAAACAUUCAUCACAAAAUGCGAACUCAUACAAUAGAUGGGUUGAUGAUAUAACCAUUAUUUCGUACAUUUUUAUUAUCUUUCUCUUAGAUUCUUGCUAUGGUUCUUGAGUGAGUUUAGUCCAUUUUUACUUAGUUUUGUGUUUUACUAGGUUUGAAGAGUAAAGAUGGAAAAGCAAGCAAAAGGUGCAAUUUUGGUAUUGAAAUAUAAUGUGAAAUCCUAGGAGCAGAAUGUGUUGUGCGGAUCGGACAACUUUACAGAACAUACUGUACUUCCUCAGAGCGAACCAGAUGUUGAACCUUAUAUCAUUGGAAAGAUACGGAUGUUCGCCUUCUGUAGAAUUUCGCGGUUCAUGAUUCGGACGUGUGUGGAGAGAGUUGUGGCCAUUUUAGUACGGACAGUUCGGGCAGAAUGUGUUCUGCGGGUUUUGCAAAAUAAUCCAUUUGAAGUCCAAUCCUUGGAGUUUAAUUUGUGUCAAUUACAUUUGGGAAGUGUCUACAAGGAUGUGGAGUUAUUUUCUGAAGUCUGACCCUUUAUUUAGUAGGAUUAUGGAUGCCAACUCAUCAAAGACAAUGAAGCCAAACUAGGAAAACAUAGUUACCAAGUCAAAAGAGGAUUUGUUCCUUAUUUAAAGAAGACCAGAAAAUAGGGUUCUCUCAUGCUGGAAUUUGAAGGAGAGUUAAAGAGCCGCUGCCAUCGUCAAGUUCUCAAGCAUCGUCAUAAUCCAUAAGUUCUAUUUUAUGUUUUCUAGUUUUUCAAUUAUGUUUUCUUUGAACAUGAGUAACUAAAUCAUUCUCUAGGGCAAGGAUGACGCCCGAGCAUGGAUAGUUAUGAUUUUUAAUGCUAUUUAAUGAAUUCCAAGUUUCUUUUAGAUGAAUGUUUAAUCACUAUUUUAAUUGUUGCUAUUUGUUUAAGUUCUUUGAUUGAUCACCUUAUGACAUGACCCGCCCCGAAUUUUUCGAAACACGAGACGAAUCUUGUGGAAUUCCCGACCACACCCCAAUGCCGGGCCCACUUACUAAAGACCGGGACUUUCUGCCGAAAUUUCGGCAGAGUCUCUCCUGUAAAUUGAACAUUUCCCACAAUUUCAACCUGCAUAAAACACAUUUUAUAUUACCCAACUGGCAGCAUGCACAAUGUAAUAACAUGCAAUUCACAUAAACGGCCUUUCGACCUUCCGAUAAUCCACAACAAACCACCAAGCACGCUAUCAAAUCAAUUCAUACCUUAAACAAGGCAAACAAUAAAUUCAAUCACACUUAAGAAUGUCAAAGCAAUCCACUACAUUUAAUUUUUCUCAACACCCAACAUACGAGGUUUUAACAUCCUAACACAAUCACAUCUAUGUCUGCGGUUGCACCUAAUAACCUUAGGCUGCCUAUGUACCCUCACUGAGAGAUCAAGCCACACGUAGUUCUUCCUACUAAAUUCCGAUUUCCAAACACAUACAAUACCUUUAAUCAUCUCUAUGAUAAUCACAUACUCUCCCCACACGCCGGAAAUUCCAACGCCACGUAUGGGGUCUGUCAUCACGCCGAAAAAUCCUACGCCUCGUGUGACCUAACCAUCAUAUCAUCUCCCCAUACGCCGAAAAUUAUAACGCCACGUACGGGGUCUGUCAUCCUGCCGGAAAAUCCUACGCCAUGGGUGACCUGACAAUCACAUAAUCUCCCCAUAUGCCAGAAAUUCCAACGCCACGUAUGGAGUCUGUCUCAACGCCGGAAAAUCCUACGCCACGCGAGACCUAACAAUCACAUAAUCUCCCCAUAUGCCAGAAAUUCCAACGCCACAUAUGGGGUCUGUCAGCACGCCGGAUAACCUACACCACGUAGGACCUAACAAUCAUAGCAUUUCCCCGUAUGCCAGAAAUUCCAACGCCACGUAUGGGGUUUGUCCUCAUGCCGGAUAACUUACGCCACGUGGGACCUAACAAUCACAUAAUCUUCCCAUAUGCCGGAAAUUCAACACCUCAUAUGGGGUCUGUCAGCACGCUGGAUAACCUACGCCACGUGUGACCUAACAAUCAUAGCAUAUCUCCAUACGCUGGAAAUUUCAACGCCACGUAUGGGGUCUGUCAUCAUGUUGGAUAACCUACGCCACGUAGGACCUAACAAUCACAAGGUGGUACUUAGGGUAGUGCGUAUAGCACUGACAGAAAAUCACAAAAGUAUCUUUCCUAUUCUAGAGAUUGGUCACAUGUAGUCCAACCAAUAGGAAAUGAGAUAUUUAAGAAAUGAAGAGUUUGAUCAAUAUCAAUAUCAAAUGAAUUCUUAUACGCCUAGUCAACUAUUAAGCGUAUCUUGACUUCUUGAUAUUGUGAUAUGAUUGAAACAUGAUUUCCAUGUUAGAAAAUUAAAGGGAUGUUAAAACAUGAAAGUAAUAGGAGAAUCAAAUUGAUUUGGGCCAAAAUUGCCUAAAAAGAAAACACUUCUAAAUACACUCAAUUCACUUUUAAAAACAGUAAAACAUGAUUGAAUCGUUCUUUAAAACAAUUCCCUAAUAUACAUGCAUGAUAAUGACAUCACUUACCUCUGAACCAAAUGCCUUUCACGGGUCAAGCCACAAGUCUGUGUUUUGGGGAUUGCUAAGCUGCAUCAAUCCUGCCAAUGUCAGUUCUGCCCCUAUGCUCUCUCAAAGCAUGUUUACAACCUAUGCUAACAUAUACUAGAGUUUAUGCUAGUAUCGAGAAAAUGCAAACACUAAUUUUGUAACACGUAGAAUUGUUAGAGAUUGGAAGUUUUUAUCAUUUUUUUCUUCCAGUCUCUCCACCACUCACUAAUACAGAUUACUCAUGUGAUAAAUUUACAAAACCUAUUUCUCUACUCUCACAAAGACUAUACUUCUUCUCAAAAGACUAUAUCACUUUACCUCUAUCUCUGUGAAAUGUAAAAAGUUGAAACUUUAAUGUCAAACCUCGACAAAAGAUGAAUUUCCAUCAGUUACGUUGAAUUUGGAUUUGUUGAACUUAAGCGAUUUUACUUUCUCUGUUAGUAUUUGAUGACUUAAUUUGGUAUUUACUUCUUCUUCUUUUUUUCCUUGGAAAUGUGUUCCACCAACGUGAGGAAGAAAAAUAUGCACAAAAUAAUAUAUUUAAUAGAAGCCCAAGAUUUCGGAAGCACAUAAUUUUUUCAAAAAUCUACAAAGUGUUCUACUUUACAAACUUCUUAUGUCUACCAAUUUCUACUAAAAUUAAUUUCUUUGCGGUGCUCAGAUUCAUCAUGUGUGUGUCCUCAAUUUUAGUGGAAAUUGGAAGUUUCCAUCAUUUUUGUUUUCUGGGAAUUUUCUGAACCAAGGAAAAUCAAGCAAAAUUAAUAAAGCAUAAAAUGAAAAGGGAAAAUAUCUAGAGGAUGCAUUGUAGGAUUGCUCAUGCCAAUAAUUGUACCCUCUAAAUAUAUUGGGACAUAUUUUUUUUUGUUUUCAUGACAUAUGGUCCUAAAAUUAUUGUUCCUAGCGGGCUCUCCACCCCUCUCAAUUGAAAACCUAUUGUGUAAAUCUUCAAUCCUGAACGAUGAACGAUGCACCUAAAACACAUGUUGCAAUACACAUCCACCCAUUCUCAGGCCAAUUAUUGUUCCUAGCGGGCUCUCCACCCCCUCUCAAAUUUAAGUGGUCCAUUAUGAUUAAUCAUGUAUUUUAUGGACCAUCCAGCUGUGAGGUUUUAUCUCAAAAACCUUCGGUACCUUUCUCCCACAUGCCACAAUGGUAUAUUCACAAUUACGUCUGAUACCUCACAUCAUGCCACUUGCCUCAAUUGAAUUUAAGUGGGUGGAGUGUUACUUCUGGGUACCCCUCAUCAUUCGUCUAUAAAAUGGUGAAGCCAGUUGCUACUGUUACCAUAAGAGCCAGCUCCGACUUUCUUUAAUUUCUUGUUUCGUAUCCACUAGCUACAUCUGUUGCCAAGUUAAUUUCAGUCCUAAUGGGGUUUCAUCUCCCACUCAUCUUUGCUAUUCUCAGUGUAAGCUCUGCAAUUUGAUUAAGAUUUCCAUUCUCUCUCAUUGUACUCUAUAUAAACGAAAGUUUUGUGUUCCUACAAUUCUCUCCGAUUUUAUUUAGUAUGUACUUAAGUGUCGUACGUCCACUAAUUAAUUACACUUUGUGAGAUUUGAUUUUAAUUAGAGUUCGAAUUAAUGUUGCAGCUAGCAGCAGUGGGAAACCAUGCUGCUCAACCAGCACCUCAACUUUACUGGAACUCCGUCCUGCCAAACACACAGAUGCCAAGAUCUAUCAGUGUACUUCUGCAUCCUGGUUUGUGUUGAGCACUUUAGAAUCUUAGAUAUCUUUUCUACCUGCCAUUUUACUAAAAUUUGUUCGACCACAUAUUUAUCAGUUAACUACUGUCAUUACAAAUCGGCUGAUCACUUAUUUUGCAUUAUGACGUUGAUAUAUAAUUUGCAGACUCCACAAAUGAAGAAAAGAGCACAUAUAUGAAUGCUGUUGGGAAUGGAAAGGGCAAACCUGAAAUUUUCCCAUUGGGCAUUAGACGUUACGUUCAAAAACGGUAUGGAGGGGGCAUUAGACGUUACAAUCAAGAACGGUAUGGAAAAGGUCCUCCUCCAUCUGACAAUCAACUACUCCAUUAUAAAGACUUGGCUAUUUUCUUCUUCGAGAAGGACAUGCGCCCUGGCGCAACAAUGAAGUUCCAAUUCCCUAGAAAUUCAAACACGGCUACUUUCCUGCCACGCGAAAGUGCUCAAUCGAUCCCCUUCUCCUCUAACAAACUAUCAGAAAUUUUCAACCAUUUUUCAGUGAAGCCAACAUCUGUGGAAGCCAAAACAAUUAAGCAAACAAUCCAAGAGUGUGAAGCUCCAGGCCUUAAGGGAGAGGAAAAAUAUUGCGCCACAUCUUUAGAAUCAAUGGUUGAUUUUAGCACUUCGAAGCUUGGAACAAGAAACGUUGAAGCAAUCUCGACGGAGGUAUUGGAAAGAGGAGCCACCAUGUCCAUGCACAACUAUACAACAAUGCCGGGACUGAAGAAGUUGGCAGGUGACAAAGUCGUUGUGUGUCAUAAGGAGAACUAUCCCUAUGCUGUGUUUUUCUGCCAUGCAAUAAAACAAACAGCAGCAUAUGUUCUCUCCCUGAAAGGCGAUGAUGGGGAGAAGGUUAAAGCAGUAACCAUCUGCCAUCUAGACACAUCAGAAUGGAACCCAGAGCAUUUGUCCUUCCAAAUCCUCAACGUUAAGCCCGGAACAAUUCCCAUCUGCCAUUUCAUUUCCACUGAUGGUAUUGUCUGGGUUCCAAAACACAAAUCUGCAUGAUCAUCACUUAGCACUGUACGUAUAAUAAGCUUGGUUGGGUUGCACCCUAGGCCUGUAUAAUUAACUCCCUACUUAUUUCUGCCUCUUUAGCACUGUACAUAUAUAGACUUCAACUUGUACUCGUAUAGCAUGCUGGAAAAAAAAAGGACCAAUAGGGAGAAAAUGGUGAACUAAGGAGAGACUAAUACUUCUGGUUCUUAGAAGGCAUAACAGAAAUAAUAGAGCACACUGCUUGAAUGCAAGUCAAUAUUGUUAGAAAAUUAGGAGAUUUACUUCCUAAUAUAUUAUGAUUCUAUUUAUUUCCUUUUGUAUUGAUAUUAUGUAAUUAGGACUUUAUCUUAGUUUCCUAGUAUAACCCUACUAGGGUUUGUACUCUUGUAUUAUAAAUACCUCCUUUUGGAGAAUGAAGUAUAAUCUGAAAAUAUUCUAUCCACUUUGUUUGACAUGGUAUCAGAGCAAACUUUUCUAGUGACCUGUGUGUUGUGCCAACCCGUAUUCUAGCCCCAUAUUUUUUCUCUACCUAUGCCGUGUGUGCCCCCCCUCUGGGUUUGUGGGUUGUGUUGUCGUGUUGGUGUCAUUCCUAUCUUCGUGCAUCUGCCGUAUUUGAGCCUUUGCUGUGUUCCGCUGUGUACUCUGUUGUGUUCAUACCUCUAUUGUGUUCGUGCCUGUCUUCGUGCAUCUGCUGUAUUUGUGUCUCUAUUGUGUUCCAUUGUACAAUCUGCCGUGAUCUGUUGAAUUUAUGAUGUAAUCAUAGGUGAUAACUCAUUUGUUGGUGUUGUUGUUGCUGUUUCUGGAAAUUUAUGUGAUUCAGACUCUAUUCCAUUUACUGGCUACAAUACUUAGAUAAUUGAUACUGGUACUUAUGAUCAUAUUGACAGGACUCGCCCCGAAUUUCCUGAAACCCGAGACGAAUUCUGUGGAAAUUCCUGACAUCACCCCGAUGUCGGGCCCACUUCUAAAACUAUAUCCUUUUUCCCCAAAAGGAAUAAAGGCAUAAGACUUUCUACCGAAAUUUCGGUAGAGUCUCCUAUGUAAAUUGAACAUUGCCCAAAAUUUUAACCUGCAUAAAACACAUUUUAUAUUACCCAACUGGCAGCAUGCAUAAAGUAAUAACAUGCAAUUCACAUAAACGGCCUUCGGCCUUCCGAUAAUUGGCAACAAACCACCAAGUACGCUAUCAAAUCAAUUUAUACCUUAAACAAGGCAAACAAUAAAUUCAAUCACACUUAAGAAUGUCAAAGCAAUCCACUACAUUUAAUUUUCUCAACAGCCAACAUACGAGGUUUUAACCUCCUAACACAAACACACUUCGUUCUCACUCAAAUAGCAGGACCAACUUCAAGGUCCGCAUCAUACUCAAUAAUACACAAGUAAAGUUUAAACCGCGGCUGCACCUAGGCACUACCCUAGGCUGCCUACGUACCCUUAUUGAGGGAUCAAGCCACACGUAGUUCUUCCUACUAAAUCCUGAUUUCCAAACACAUACAAUAAUACCUUUAUUCAUCUCUCUGUUAAUCACAUAAUCUUCCCAUACGCCGGAAAUUCCAACUCUACGUAUGGGGUCUGUCAUCACGCCGGAAAAUCCUACGCCACGUGUGACCUAACCAUCAUAUCAUCUCCCUAUACGUCAGAAAUUCCAACACCACGUAUGAGGUCUGUCAUCCAGUCGGAAAAUCCUACGCCACGGGUGACUUGACAAUCACAUAAUCUCUCCAUACACCAGAAAUUCCAACGCCACAUAUAGGGUCUGUCUCAAUGUCGGAAAAUCCUAUGCCACGCGAGACCUAACAAUCACAUAAUCUCCCCAUACGCUGGAAAUUCCAACGCCACGAAUGGAGUCUGUCUCAACGCUGGAAAAUCCUAUGCCACUCGAGACCUAACAAUCACAUAAUCUCCCCAUAUGCCGGAAAUUCCAACGCUACAUAUGGGGUCUGUCAGCAUGCCGGAUAACCUACGCCACGUGUGACUUAACAAUGAUAACAUCUCCCCAUACGCCGGAAAUUCCAACGCCACGUAUGAGGUCUGUCCUCACGCCGGAUAACCUACACCAUAUGGAACCUAACAAUCAUAGGGUGGUACUUAGGGUAGUGCGUAUAGCACUUCAAACCGACAUUCAAAACUCUAUUUAUACCUUUAUAAAUUUAUAUAAAAAUAUAUAUAUUAAGUUCUAAAGUUGUAUAAGCCUCAACCACAAUCUAGCAUCCGAUAAUCCCCCCCAAUUUAAAACAAUAAAUUAAUAUCAUAAACCCACAUAAUCAACAUAACUUAACAACGCUCAAGACCUGUCACUAGUGUCAUUGUAAUCCUCCUAGGAAGGUAAAACUACUUCGGAAGAGUCACGGUCAACUAAGGGUCAAACUACCCAAACUUGGUCAAAUGGGCCCACGGGCCCCACGACCUUCAAAUUCCGAUUCCAACCUACCGAAAUUUCUUAUGGGUUCUACAAGGUUUAGGACACUCGUCUUGCAAGUUUGGUCCAGAUCAGACGGUCGGAUCGCUCACGAUCGCACGAUCGGACGGUUACUAUAAACCUAGCCCUAGGGUUGGUAUUUUCGGAGUAUCCAGGACUCCGUUUUACGAUCCGUCGAAUCCUAUACGAUCUUGAGGAUGUCCAAACUAACAUAUAAUAAAUCUAUGACUAUCCAACGGCUCAAACCUAUUGAACCCAGAUAACGCACAAUAUGCGAAAUCUGUUCAAUAGUCAAACGACGUCCGAAUUGAGAUCCGCGAAAACCUACGCACUCGUGACAACUUGAGGACCUCAUUAGGACAAACUGUAGCUUCACCACCUUUGUCCACGCGCCUGCAGCGCAUGGGUGUGUAGAGUAAAUUCCGAUGAUGGAAAAACUCUACACCACCGCUCACCCUUCCUAUCCUAAAUACUACUCGAGGCAAGGAUCACUUCAUUCAACUACGGGGAGGUCCCAUUUGGACGGCAACUGGCCCAAAUUUCACUUUGAAAUCCGGCCAAAACCUAGGUUUUCAAAUCGGUUUUCUAGACAUCAAAUCGAUCCAAUCCUAUCCCAUAGACAGCUAGAGCUCAGAAAAUAGAUGACAAACCAUACCUCACCCGACGGAAUUGGUGGCUGGAGGAGAAAGAUUGAGCGAUGAGAAGUUCUGUCAAAACCGACUCGUUUUCGACUGAUUCCAGCGAGCACAGUUGACGAUGAUGGCUAAGACUAGUCGGGAAAAGACAAGGGAGAGGUGGUGAUUCGAACGGGACCGGUCUCGAGGCCAGUCGUUGACUGUGGAGGCUGCAAUAGCCUUGAAGGGUGGCGGCUGUAAAAACGAAGGGGAGGGGGGCUGUUCACGAUGGAGGAGAGAGAGAGAUAGAUAGAUAGAUAGAGAAAAAUCUGAAUUUUAUAAAAAUUCCAUUUUGAAAUAAUUACGAUUGUGCCACUGAGUUUCUUUUGACCGUAACUUCCUCGUUACAACUCCAAAUCAAGCCCACUAUGUAUCUAUGAACUCAUCUCGUCGAGCUCUACGCAACGGUAGAGCUGAAAUUCUCAAAUUUCUUCCUGAUCAAAAAGUCAACUUUAAACCCAAUAAAAUAUUCUAUGGGUAUAAUGGUCUUUUAUCUACAUAAAUUAAUAAUUUCCAAUUUAUUUAGGACCGGGUCGUUACACAUAUGACUUAUGAUGCUAUAUUUUUUUAUGAGUUGUCUAGUAAUACUCGUGACCCAUACAUAACUAGUGCUAAUGGCUUGCCCUAUCCAAUUACUGGCGAGGGCAUAAUCUCUCACUCCUACUCUGUCCUUGUCUCGUGUGUUACUCGUUCCCAAUAUCCAUUGUAACUUGUUGUUUGUUGGCCGAUUACUUGAUACACUUAAUGCUUAUGCUACUUUCUAUCCUACACAUUGCUCUUUUCAGGAUCUCAAGACUUGCGAGACGAUUGGGCAUAGUAAACGGAUAGGGGGCUUAUAUUAUUUGACAUUGUCUUCUGCACCAAUUCGUGGUUGUGUCAUUCAUACUGUUCAAAGUUGUAGUGUCAAGGACAAAUAACAAAUUUGGUUAUGGCAUCGUCGCUUGGGACACUCGUCGUUCGGCUAUCUUAAGCGUCUGUUUCCAUCUUUAUUCCGCUCUUGUGACGAGUCCAGUUUUAAGUGUGAGACAUGUAUUUUGGCCAAGAGUCAUCGCACUGUGUUUCUUUUAAGUGACAGUAAAGCUGCAAAACCUUUUGAUUUAGUAUAUUCGGAUGUAUAGGGACCUGCUCGUGUGACUUCUAAUGGUUUCUAUUGGUCUAUUACUUUUAUUGAUGACUGCACUCUCCCCAUAGUCCGGAAUUACCAACGCCACGUAUGGAGCCUGUACGCACGCCGAAAAAUCCUACGCCACGUGGGACCUCAUCAUCAUAUCACAUAGUCUCCCCAUACGCCGGAACUACUAAAGCCACGUAUGGGAUUCGUCUCAACGCCGGAAAAUCCUACGCCACGUGAGACCUUACAAUCACAGGAUGGUACUUACACAAUGUAAUCAAACCAUCUUUAUCUCUUUAAUAUAUAUAUAUAUAUUCCCAAUUUCCCCAAGUUUAAAACAAUAAACUAGUUCCUUAAACCCACUAAUUAACAUAACUCAACUAAUGAUCAAGACCUAUUGAAAGGACUCGCCCCGAAUUUUCUCAAAACCUGAGACGAACCCUUUGGAAGUCCUGACAUCACCUCGAUGCCAGGCCCACUUACUAAAAACCGAGACUUCCUGCCGAAAUUUCGGCAGAGUCUCCCCUAUAAUUUGGACAUUUUCCAAAAUUUAUACCUGCAUGAAAAUGCAUUUAAUAUUCCCAAUUGGCAGCAUGCACAAUAUAAUUUCAUGCAAUUCACAUAAAUGGCCUUCGGCUUUCCAAUAAUUCUUAACCAGUUACCAAACAAUUCAAAUACCAAUUAUGACUAACAUUUAGUCUACGGCUGCGCCUAAUAACCUUAGGCUGCCUACGUACCCUCCUUGAGGGAUCAAGCCACACGUAGUUCUUCCAUAAAACUCAAUUCCACACAUAGGUGAUACCUUAUUUCAUCUCUCUGUAUUUCACAUAAUCUCCCCAUACGCCGGUACAACCAACGCCACGUAUAGGGCCUGUCAACACGCCGGAUAACCUACGCCACGUGCGACCAUGCCAUACUAUCAUCAUAUCUCCCCAUACGCCGGUACAACCAAUACCACGUAUGGGGUCUGUCUCAACGCCGGAUAACCUACGCCACGCGAGACCUGCACAUCAUAUCACAUAACUCCCCAUACGCCGGUACAACCAACGCCACGUAUGGGGCCUGUCCCAACGCCGGAUAACCUACGCCACGCGGGACCUCAACAUCAUAUCACAAAUCUCCCUAUACGCCGGUACAACCAACGCCACGUAUGGGGUCUGUCGACACGCCGGAUAACCUACGCCACGUGCGACCUCAACACAAUAUCACAAUAGCUCCCCAUACGCCGGUACAACCAACGCCACGUAUGGGGCCUGUCUCAACGCCGGAUAACCUACGCCACGUGAGACCUAACUUUCACUUGGUGGUGCUUGUAGUGAAUCCAACAUCCAGGGAGGUACCUAAAGUAGUGCGUAUAGCACUCCAAACUGACAUUCUAGACUCUGUUGUACCCAUGUACAACCAUAUAUAAUUAUAGUUAUAUAAAUUAAUUCUAAUAUUGUGUAACCUUCCACAUUCAUCUAGCACCCGAUAAUCCCCCUUAGAAAGGUGAGAUUACUCCGGGAGACUCACGGUCAACCAAGGGUCAAACUACUCUAACUCUGGUCAACCGGACCUGCAGAACCCACGACCCCCAAUUUCCGAUCCGAAAGUCUCUAUGGGUUCUACCAGGUAUAGGACACUUGUCCUGCAAGUUUGGUUCAGAUCGGACGGUCGAAUUUCUCACGAUCGCACGAUCUGACAAUUAAUAUAAAAUAUAAACUUUAAAAUUAUUAAUCGAAACAUCCGGGGCUCCGAUUCACGAUCCGUGAAUUCCUACACGAUCCUAGAAUUACCUAGAUUAACAUAUAUUAAAUUUGGGACCAUCCGACGGUCCCAACCUGUCGAACCCGGAUAACGUACAAUAUACGAUCGUCCGUUCGAUAGUCAAACGACGUCCGAAUUGAGAUCCGCGAAAUCCUAUGCACUCGUGACAACCUAAGGAUCUCAUCGGAAUACAGUGCUACUUUUUCUACAGUGCCCAAAGCGAUAACGCUUCGCCGGAAAAUCUCAACAUCACGGCUCCAAAAUUCCUACUCUAGGUAUAACACCCUAUUUGGAGCCACUUUUGUUCUUGGACCUACCCCAAAAAGUGGCCGAAAAUGGCCGAUCACGGCAGCCGAAGUUUCGGCCGAUUUUCAAUUCGAAAAUCGAGUUGUCUACGCUAAGAAUCGAUCUAAUCCUACCCAACCAUCAGCUAGAGUAGCUCGAGAGGUUCAAAAUCCAUACCUGGGUCGACGGAAUUGGUGGCCGGAGGAGGGAGAUCGGCGGCUUUGAAGUUUGGACGACGUCGGCCGCUUCAUCUCCAGAUUCCGGCGAAUCCGCGGCGGCUGGCGGCGGGAGGUGGCUGGGGUAGGAAGAGGACGACGGCCCGGUCAUUUUGGUACCGGUCCCGUCGUCAUUGGUGGCCGGAGGAGAGCACGGCCGGCCAAAACGUGGCCGGCGGUCGUCGCGCGCGAGAGAGGAGAGAGAGAGAUCGCGCGGAGGAGAGAGAGAGAGAGAGAGAGAGAGAGAGAGAGAAAACCAGAUUUUUAUAAAAAAAAGUCCCAUUUUGAAAUAUUUACGAUGUGCCACUGGGCUUCUUUUGACCAUAUCUCUCUCGUUACAACUCCGAUUCAAGCCCACUACGUGUCUAUGAACUCGUCUCAGUACGACCUAUCCAAAAAUACAAGUCACGGUCCCAAACUCUCUCCGGUUAAAAAUAUGACUAAAAUACCCUUAAAUAAUGAAAUAAUUAAAUAAGGGUUAAAUUUGGGGUCGGGGUGUUACAUCUAUCACCAGGAUCAUUAUAAUCCUCCGAGGGAGGUGAAACUACCUCGGAAGACUCACGGUCAACCAAGGGUCAAACUACCCAAAUUUAGUCAAACGGGCCCACGAGACCCGCGACCUCCCGAUCUGAAAGUUCCUAUGUGUUCUACAAGGUUUAGGACACUCGUCAUGCAAGUUUGGUCCAGAUCGGACGAUCAGAUAGCUCACGAUCGGACGGUUAUUAUAAACAUAAACUUUAAGUUAUUAAAUCGGAACAUCCGGGGCAAAGAUUCACGAUCCGUGAAUUCCUACACGAUCCUAGAAUUGCCUAGAUUAACAUAUAUUAAUUUUAAGACUAUCCAACGGUCUGAACAUGUCAAACCCGGAUAACGCCUAAUAUGCGAUAUGCGAUAUCCGAUCGAUGAUCAAACAAUAAUCAAAUUCAAAUUCGAGCAUACCGUCACGCUCGAGACGACGAGAGGGUUAUUUUAGAACUCUAAGACAAGCCACCACAUGGCCCACGCGCUGACAGCGCGUGGUUGUCUAGAGAAAUUUCCAGCGGCGGGAAAAACUCCAAACCGCCAGCCAAGACUCCCAGGUUAGGUAAAUCACAUGUAGUGGAACAACUUUUGUUCUUGGACCUACCCCAAAAAGUCGACGGAAGUGGCCGUCGGAGGCCGAAACUGGCCUAAACUUCUAUCGCUUAAUUGACAACCAAAAUGCAGCAAUUGAUCCUAAAUAACCCAACCAGCAGCUAGAUCAGAUUGAGGGGAUGGAAAAGCAUACCUAGAUCGCAUGAUUUGGUUACCGAAAACGUCCGAACGAGCUUCCGAAAAAUCCGCAAAAAACCUUUCGGAUUUCUGCAAUUUCCGGCCAGCACCAGCAGUUCCAGCAGCUGAGGUUGGUCGGAAAAGGAAGAGGAGGUGGCAGCGGUUUGAACAGGUCCGGCCUCGUUGCCGGUGGUGAUCCGUGGUGGCAACUGUGGCUCUUGGAAGCCACGGCUGUGCAGAAAAAUGAAGGGGGAGGGGGCUGCGCGCGUGGGGAGAGAGAGAAAGUGAGAGAGAAUCAGAUUUAUCAAACCUUUUUUUGCCAAAAGUACGAGUAUGCCACUAAGGGUAAUUUGAUCGUAUCUUCUUCGUUACAACUCCGAUUCGAGCCCAUUACGUGUCUACGAACUCAUCUCGCUGUGCUUUACACAACGGUACGGUUGAAAUUCCCAAAUUCCUUCCCAGUCAAAAAGUCAACUUUAAACCUAAUAAAAUAUUCUAUGGGCAAAAUGGUAUUUUCUCUGAAUAAAUUAGUGUUUACUAAUUUAUUUAGGACCGGGUCGUUACAAUACCCAAAAAUUUCCUGUGUCAGAAUCAACACAUGGCAGCAGAGAAAGAAAGGGGAAUAGGACAAAAUAGUUGGUUAUCCAGCUGGAAAUCCUACAGAGCAAGGAUGACUAGUUAUACGAGAAACAGAUGACUAGUCAUCAUUUUAUGAAAUCAAUUUAAUGCAAUGUGAUGGAAUGCACAAUUUACCUUUGUCAAUUUGCUUGAACCUCUAUACGAUAGUUGUUAGUUAAGAACACCUAGAGAAACUAUUCUUAAUCUAAACUUGAGCUUGAUAAAAAUAAUAAAAAUCUUAUUACAAGAUUAUCAAGGAAAGUGUUGUGUCUACCCAAGUGCAAGUAGUCACACGUAGUAAUAAUCUUGGAAGUCCAAGUAUCGUAUCCUCAAGGAGCAGGUAGGCAAAUAUCUGCACACAAAGAAAUAAUUAAACAUACCACAAUAAAAGUGACAAGCAAAAUGGAAAAGUUAUUUAUUUGAUUGUUGUGAAAAUUGAAUUUAAAAAUGAAAUAUCAAUAAUGGAAAUGCUAAGGCAUCAAGGUUCAAUUCUUUAAACAAAAUAUGUUUCAUGCUCUUUACUCCAGAUUAUAACUCGAUUAAAAUCAUCAUCGAGAAACUUUAACCGGAAGAUAAAGAAAUUAAAACCAAUUUAAUUUUUCAAUGUAAUCUUUUAUUAAUGAUUGUUCAGAAAAUGGAAUUGCUUAAUAUCUACUCUUUUAAUUUAAAAGCAUGCCAAGUCAGUUCUUAACAAUGAGAAAAAUAAAAUUGAACUCAUGAAAAGGUAAUAGCACUUAACAUCAAUCAAAAUAAAAGGAUAUGAAAAUAUUGAACAACCAAAAAUAAAAGAAUUUAGCAAUUCAUACCGUAUAUUGGAUUAAAGAACAAUUCACAAACUUACUUAAAGAACAUUCCCUUUAGCCUUAGCUAGAGUUCUAGCAACUCAAUUACAAAGGAAAACAUAAACUAAAUGGAUAAAGAAAUCAGUCAUAGUGGUGCCCUUGCCAAAGAAGUUGAUGGGUAAUUUAUAGUGAAUGAGGUGAGUGGGAAGUUAAUACAUGGGUAAUGAAGGGUUUAAGUAAGGGAUUAAUUGGAUUAAACAUUGGUUGAUGGUGGAGAGUUAGUGGAAAAGAAAUAACGGUGAGGUAAAUAGGCGUUAAAUGGCUAUGAAUGACAUGAAAUAGGCUCUUUAGCUUCAACGGUUGUGUCUUCUCUUCUCCCUCUUUACUUCUCUUUAUAAUCACAAUAAUCCAACAAUCAAUUCUUCAAUAAAAUCCGCCAGCAAUUCUCUUCACACCUAGCUUGAACUUGGACAAAUGUAUGUCUUCAUCUUUUGGCUUUCUAACUUCCUACCGAAGAUAAAUUCACCUAAUAAGUUCACCAAAUUAAUAUAGAAAAUUCAUAAAUCCAGUUGAUGAGAAUAAAAUGUAACAAUAAGUGAAAUUAUAUUUAUUAAGUCAAAAUUAUAUCAUAAAGUCUCCAAAAUAAUAUUAAAAAUAUAUAAUUUAAGACUCUCAUCACAAAGCCAAAAGAAAAACUCAAAAUGCAUACAUUAACAGUUUUGCCAUAUUGAAUUAAUGUCUUCUAGCUAUGUACCUUAUCUUUUUGCCGGGCCAUGAGUUGAAUGUAGAGGCAGAGCAUGGACUUGGGUCAAGUUUGACUUGUAAAAUAAUUAGGAAUUGAAUGGCUCCUACGUUCAAUUAUUUUAUUAUUAUUAUUAUUUUUUGUCCGAGCCAUUCAAUUCCUAAUUAUUUAGAUUUUUGAUCUAGUUAGCAUCCACAAUCAUGCUCUCUAUUUUUUUUUUUUGGUCAUAAAUGCCAUAACUCUUUUUUUAUUGGUCCAUCUCUAUUAAAAAAUAAAAUAAAAAAUAGUUAGCAUUAAAUAAAGGUUUGAAAUUCUCAUUAAAUAAAGCAGCAUUAAAUUAUAGGGAGCAACUAGGAGUCAUUUCUCUCUCCUCAAGUUUAGGAGCUCCUACAGGUCUCCCUAUUUUAGGAGGUAGAUAGGGAGCAUUGUUGGAGUUGUAUUUUUACAAUUUCUCCCUAAAAUUUGUCUAAGGAUGUGGUUUAGGGAGCCCAUUGUGGAUGCUCUCAUCUCAAGGAAAGAAAACCCCAAGUUUGCAAGUAAUUUUUCUACGUAUGUAUAUAUGAAAAACUGACAUUUAUGAAAAUAAUAAACCCAUAUUUUUAUGUAAGCCAACUUUCUAAAUUCAUGUACUGAUAUUUAUUAGGGAAAUAUUGGAGAAACUGAUUAUUUUGAAAAAUUAAAUGUGAAAAACUGAACAAAAUUUUGACGGGUUACAUAUGUCAACUCAUUCAGCAGCUUAGGUUGUGAAGACCUAAGCAACAACCCUAGUGCACUGUCGAUCACUUCAGUGUCUACCGAUUUUCCUUUCCAUAUUGUUAGAUUAUUCCCUGCUGUAACACUUGCAUUUAGAAAAUAAUAGUACAGCUCUUAUUAGCAACAGUUUUACACACUUGCAUGAAUCUCACUAUGUUAAAGCAAUCACAUAGCACACCUUUAUUGAAAACAAAGCUAGCCCUGAUCCACUCCUUUACAUACUUAAAAACAAAACAAAACGAAAAAAAGAUAGGGAGAAAAUGGCUACGGACUUACUGCCGACAAAAAGAGAUAAUAGCGAACACUGUUUGUAUGACAGUGAGUAUGAGAAGAGUAACCGCUGCAAAGAGAGAAAAAGCUGCCCAGGCCCAGGGUGAGUUGAAAUACUUUUGGCUCAAAUAUGCCAACCAUCUGUUCCUGCACUUCUUGCAGUACUUGUUUAGAUUGUCAGCAAGACCACCAAAAUAGAAAUUUUGCUGGUCCGGAGCAACCCCCUUGCAAAGUUGGUUAAUCAUAGUAGAAACCUUAUUGUUGUCACCUAGUGUGUUUACAACAAUUUCACUCUCAACAAGUAAAUCUACAUCCCUUUUGGUUUUUACAAAUUUAUCCAGGAGGAAAACAUAAUCGCUUAAGUAAUUGUCUGUGCAAUGGCAUUGUUCAAAGGCAAUGAGAUUUCUGAGUAUAAGCUCUGUGUCAUCACGUAUUUCUAGUUUUGGAAUUUUCAGAGUUCCAUUAUGGAACUGUAUCGCGAAUAAGUCGUUGCUUGACUCCAGACGACUUGAUUCCGGACGAAACUUAACUCUGGCCUGGUGUAGUUUUGUCACGCUGGGUAUACAUGGGAGUUCUCCAGCUUCUGAGGUACCGGUAUCCAAAUAUUGCACAUGUAAAGUUCUAAUAAAAUCAACAAAAUGUAAAGGUGGUUCAGUCCCCUCCACUUCGUCUUCCGACCUCUGUAAACCCACUACCUUUUUGAAGAAAUGGUAAGAGAGCUUAAUCAUUGAAGGCCUCUCAGUCUCAGAAUUCUUAACUCUGACUUUGCUUGCAUCGAAAAGAUCCUCAAGAAUGAAAAAUGGCAGCUAAUUUUCGGGCAAAAGCAUGUCGGGCACUAUAUUUGUUAACAUUUAUGGUUUUUUAAAUAUCCAGUCAUUAUAUCGUCUCGCAAUUCUUGGAAAUGGUACCUCAACAAUAGCUCAAUGACAAAGGCAGCAUCAACUAGAAUGAUACUUACAAACUUGUCGCUACUCUUGAAGUGCUGAGCGUUUCCAUAACGACCACGGAGUUCAUCUUCUUGGGCCUUUAUUUUCUCUGCAUAAUCCUUCAAGCUAACCUUAUUAUUCCGAUGAAGAAAAUUUUGUAGGUACCUCGGUUUGUACUCUUCCAUGGCUUCUAAUUCUUUGUUGUCAUGGUGAAUUGGGCCUAUUGAGACUACUUCCGGGGUGUAAGCGUUAUUUCUGCCCCGUAGUCACGAAGGAACCCUGUAGAUACAGCACUCAUCAGAGGGCCUAUUGAGACAAACUAUCCAACCGCCGCUUCAAAUCUGCUACUGGGGUUUUGUGGUUUUCUACGCCAUGUGGAGCUCCAUUGCUGCAUCCUUCCACUUCUAUUAUGUGUUGUUCUGAUUGUAAGUGAUGAGGGUUAUUGGCACCAGGGGCGGAUCUAGCCCUUUUUUGGCUAGGCAGCCACCCAGUCGAGAAUUUUCAUAAAAACAAAAUAGGUACGUAUUGUUGUAAAUGUAUGAGUUGGUGGAUGACCACCAUACCUCUUAGCAUUCACCUUUUCUAAUUCUAUGUAACUAUACACUAAAUGCCAUAGUUAUGGACUUGUAACUUAUGAGUUGUUAAUGUUUUCUUACGUGUAAGCCUAUAAAUAAGAGGGCUAUCUUGGCAUAUGUGUUCGUCACUAACUAUAUAAUUUAAGUUGUUUUCAGUGACUAAUUUAAAUAAUUGUCAGAAAAUUUGGUCAUUAAAAAUUAAAAAAUAAGGGUCAAUUAUUUUAGUGACCAUGAAGUAUUAUUAGUCAUUAAAUUCAUUGUAUUUGUGACCAUUAUUUAUGUGGAAUUGGUCACUACUGACCUUUUUUCUUGUAGUGUACAUUCUUGCCUUAAUACAGUUAGGCUUAUUUUUAUACUAAUUUCUCUAACAUAACUUUUGCACAUUCUUUUUAUAUUAUAAUAAAUAAUCUUACCCAGUUGAGUUAUAAACCAUUUUCUUUUAGCACGGAAAAUCGACAUUUUGACAGAGAGUUGAAAAGCACUCCCCAAUUUUAAUGUCAACCACUUGGAAAAAAAAAACAUAAAUUUAAUGACAACAAUUACAUUUAGCAAUGCAACCUAAAAACUCAACCUUUGCGCUCCUUUCACCACGCAGAUAGCAGGGUGAGGAUAUUCGAAUAAGAACGAAGACAGAAGCUAAAGGAAUUGCGAUAGCUAACCAUAGUCUGCAUUUCUUACCAUCUGAACAAUGCCACCAUUUUGUUUGGUAAGUAUUUAAUAACAUUUCUUGCUCUACAUAAAGUAAUAUUAAAGCGAAAUUUCCCUAAAUUUUUCUUACCAACAAUCCAUACCCAAGAAAAGGGGAGAUUCACUAUUAUACUCAAUAUAGGAGCCCAACUUAUUUAUAAUAAUUAUAAAAAAAAACCCUCUAUGAAAUGGACUUUAGAAACACACCUAAAACCUAUUUACAACAAAACAAAAAGACUUUUAACUUUUUUUAAAUUACAAAACUGUCAUUGAUUUCUUAAACAAACCCAACCCCAAAACCUCAUAAAAAAGCCCAAAUACUCAAUAAAGCAGCAAAGUAAUUUAAUAAUAAAAAUUAAAUUCAAUAGAGUCAGCUGUUAUUUUUUGGGUUAUUUUUUAUUUGUUUAUAGAAAUUAAAGAGUGCUGCUAAAAGAACCCUAACAUUAACUAAAUACACCAAAUGAUCUAAGUACACCCUAAUAUUUUAAUUAAAAUACAAAAUUAACUAAGUACACCUUAUUUAACUACCAAAAUUACCCGUGUUACACCCUAAUACACUCUAUCACUGUUCACCCGUUUAGUUUUUGCUCCUGUGAUGGAAGGGUAAAGUUCCCCACUGCCUUGGAAACCAUUGACUGGUCAACAAGUCAGCUUUCUUUGCUAUGUGAGCGUGCCACUGUUAGCAAUGAAAAUCCUAACAGACUUCUUAAAAUGGAUACUUGCGCCCAAGUUACUGAUUUCUAAACAGUGAUUGUGAUUUGGGUGAGGAAUAUCUCCAAGUAAGUUCUUUUCCUGCAUCAGGCUGGUGAAGACUUUAUAAUUUUCACAGUAUAAAUUGGUAGUUCUUGCCAGAAUAGAUGAUAUAAAGUGGACGGUUUUUAGGCAGAACUGCGUUUUACAAAAUUAAGAAGGAAAAAUCAACUCUAAAAAGACAAAAAGAUGGCUGGAAUCCCACUUCUGCCUGGGUAGAAACUUCAGAUCCGGGCUGGACCGAAUACAUUCAUGAUGGACUGAGCUGUUAACAACUUCAAUUGCUUAGCUUUAGCUGUAAAUCGAUACCAAAGUUCAAUUUUGGCAGAGCUUUAAUCUACUUCAAGCCUUGGAAGGCUUUUGAGCGGGCAGAACUGCCGUCUCUUCUGGCUAAAAGAGGCAGAAAUGGCUGAAUUUGAGGUUUACUGAGCUGGAACUGCACUGUUGUACCUGUUCUGCUUGGUCAGGGCUUUCCAUAAAUUUGUUGAGGUUUUCAUAUUUGUGAAAAACUCAAACUCUGCUUGUUUUGGCUUUUGCUGAACCAAAUUUGUAACGAGAGAAGUCUUGUUUUGAAUGACUUUUCUCUAAGUUUGAGCUUUUGAAAUUCUAGGAGAGAGAGAGAGAGAGAGCUUUUGAUUGCUCCAGUUUGUUUGAAGGUUCUCAAUGAUCAAGUGAUCAUUUUGAGUUUUUGCCUUUAGCUUAUUUUUGGUUGUUUGUUUGAUUAUCCUUUGCUCUAUUCACCUUCUCCUAUAUUUAUAAGAAAUGCUUUGAAGUAGGGUUUCUUUCUUUUAAUAAUGGGCGGCCAAAAUUCUCAAAAGGUCUUUCAUUUUUUUAAAUACGAAGAAAAAGGGGUUUUCUCAAUUUUGGCAAAUAAGUUCUCAACAGUCAAUUCCAUUGAAAGAGAACCUGACUUUUCUUUAAUUCCCAACUGCCCUUGUGAGAGCUCAAUCGUGAUGGUCAGUUUGCUUCUCCAUUUUGAACAACUUCCUGUUUCCUGUUUAUCUUUUUAGAAAAUACAAUCUGGGUAUCCCUUGAAAGAUGGUGCCUUUUUUGGAGUAGAAACAAUGUCUCUAAAUAUAAAAGGGUUUUUUUUUUAUCUUUUGGUGGCAAAGAUUUCAAAGACGUCCCUUCUUUUCGCCUGCCUCUGUCAACUUUUUAUCAACCCAGUUGAAAUUGUUGACUUUCCUAAAUCAAAAAAAGAGAUUCACGUGGGUCUGUUCCUUUUGGCUCCUUCCUCUCUUUUAAUCAUGCCUAACCUCUUUUGAUUUUACUGGAGCCAUGGGCUGAUUGCUUCUCUUUUCGAGGCCCAAGUUUAUUUGCAGAGCCCAAACUGCUUGGGCCCUGUGGUUUUGUCUUUGUUGUUUUUGGGCUUUUUAGGCUGGACGUGCCAAAAUUAGGCCCAAACAAUGUCCCCUAAGUUUGAAUCGUUUCUAGAACGGUUCGAGAUUUAAUGAUUUUGGCCAUUAAUUCGUGCGCGCCAACUUCUUUCGUUUAAUGCACGUCUGCCUACCACGAGCUAGACUUCAUGGGAAACUGUUUUGUUACUAGCUAGUUACUUAGCUAGUUAUUAUCAUAUGGCGUCUCGUCUUCCUCUUCCCACGAUUUCAAGCCCCUUUUUUAAGAAAUUCGAAACUCCAACUUCUGUUUAUUUCAAAAACUAGCUUCUUUUUAGACCUCGACAAUUCUUAGUUUUCCCCAGAAUUCUCACUUUUUCUUCGACCAGACUCUGCCUUUCUUAUCAUUUCCUUUCCUAGUUCAACACUUCUGAUCAUGUCUUCUCCCAAGACUCGUGCUCAAGGUUGGUCCUCCUCAGUUCCUCCUAAUUACAUCACUGGGACUGGGAUUGACAAUCACGCGAUAGAGGUUAGAAGCAAACUGAUAGGACCCGCCCCGAAUUUUCCAAAACCCAAGGCGAAUCCUGUGAAAUUUCCGACAUCACCCCGAUGCCGGGCCCACUUACUAAACACCGAGACUUUCUGCCGAAAUUUCGGCAGAGUCUCCCCUAUAAAUUGGACAUUUCCCAAAAUUUCAACCUGCAUAAAAACACAUUUAAUAUUCCCAACGGGCAGCAUGCACAAAAUAAUUUCAUCCAAUUCACAUAACGGCCUUCGGCCUUUCAAUAAUUUUCAACAAACUACCAAGCACACUAACAAAUCAAUUCAUGCCUCAAACAAGGCAACCAAUAAAUUCAAAUAUGCAUUAUGACUACCAAAUUUCGACAUGCAUCAUUUUGCUUUUCCAAUCUCAAUAGAUGAGGUUUUAACCUCCUAACACAAUCACAUCUAUGUUCGCGGCUGCACCUAAUAACCUUAGGCUGCCUACGUACCCUCACUGAGGGAUCAAGACACACGUAGUUCUUCCUUAAACCCAAUUCCACACAUAGGCAAUACCUUUAUUCAUUUCUCUGUAUUUCACAUAAUCUCCUCAUACGCCUGUACUACCAACGCCACGUAUGGGGUCUGUCAACACACUGGGUAACCUACGCCACGUGCGACCUCACCAUAUUAUCACAUAAUCUCCCCAUACGCCUGUACUACCAACGCCACGUAUGGGGCCUAUCGACACGUUGGAUAACCUAUGCCACGUGCGACCUCAACAUAAUAUCACAUAAUCUCCCCAUACGUCAAUACAACCAACGCCACGUAUGGGGUCUGUCUCAACGCCGGAUAACCUACGCCACGCGAGACCUGAACAUCAUAUCACAAUAGCUUGCCAUACGCUGGUACAACCAACGCCACAUAUGGGAUCUGUCGACACGCCGGAUAACCUACCCCACGUACGACCUCAAUAUAAUAUCACAUAAUCUCCCCAUACGCCGGUACAACCAACGCCACGUAUGGGGUCUGUGUUAAAGCCGGAUAACCUACGCCACGCGAGACCUGAACAUCAUAUCACAAUAUCUCUCCAUACUCCAGUACAACCAACGCCACGUAUGGGGUAUGUGGACACGCCGGAUAACCUACGCCACGUGCGACCUCGAUAUAUUGUCAGGUAAUCUCCCCAUAUGCCGGUACUAUCAAUGCCACGUAUGGGACCUGUCCGCAAGCCGGAUAACCUACGCCACGUGGGACCUAACUUUCACAGGGUGGUACUUGUAGUGUAACCAAAAUCCGGAAAGGUGCCUAGGGUAGUGCGUAUAGCACUUCAAACUGACAUUCUAGACUCUUUAUACCUUUACAAACAUAUAUAAACAUAUAUAAUUUAAUUCUAAUUGUGUAAACCUCAACAAUAGUCUAGCACCCAAUAAUCCCCCUAGGAAGGUGAGACUACUCCGAAAGACUCACGGUCGACCAAGGGUCAAACUACCCUAACAUUGGUCAAACAGGCCCACGGGGCCCACGACCUCCAAAUUCUGAUCCGAAAGUUCCUAUGAGUUCUCCGAGUUAUAGGACACUCGUCCUGCAAGUUUAGUCCAGAUCGGACGAUCAGAUCGCUCACGAUCGCACGAUCUGACGGUUAAUAUAAAACAUAAACUUUAAAUUAAUAAAUCAAAACAUCCGGCACUCCGAUUCACGAUCCGUGAAUUCCUACACGAUCCUAGAAAUACCUAGAUUAACAUAUAUUAAAUUCAAGACCAUCCAACGGUCCCAACCUAUCGAACCCAGAUAACGCGCAAUAGGCGGUAUCCGUUCGAUAUUUCCCUUUAAUAAUUUAAAUAAGGGAUUUAAUUUGGAGUCGGGGUGUUACAAUCUACCCUCCUUAUAAAAAUUUCAUCCUCGAAAUUUCAUACCUGCUAGAAGAGGAAUCUGCCAGAACUGACUUUAGGAAGAAGUUCCUGAGUGUCACUCUGCCAAGAGAUCUGCCCCACGGAGGUGGGAAGCCUCCAAACUAUCAUUUGGGAGCAGAAGUCUAUCAUCGCAACUUCUGUGCAAGGCAACUUGGCUGCCCCAGCUUAUUCCACUAAAAUCAUACAGAAGCUGCAAUCGGGCCACUUCCUUGAGAGAUGCGGAUGAUCUGGAAGUGCACAAAGAUGCUAGAUGUGCAGUAAACAAGAUAAAUAACAGCGCAGAUGCCCUCUAUCCAGCCUGGGAACUGAACUCCUGCAGUUCUGCCGAUUUUGACGCUUGGUGGAAAUCCAGGUUUCAUGGUCUGCCAGCCUCCAUUGCUGCACUCAAGGUGAUUUUUGAGGGCUGGGACUCCUGGACUGUCUACGCGGAGGUGGAUGCCAAGAACUUCAUGGUGCAGACCAUCAAAGACAUUAAUGCCCAGGGUAUAGAAGGUAACUUUCAAUUCUGUCUGUCUUGCCUAUUCUGUCUCUUAGUGAUGAUGCCUAACAGUUUUGUUCUGUAUAUAUCAGACCCUUAUUUGACAGAAAACAUAGGUGGACAGUCUGUCCAAGCUGGAGAUGUGAUUGGUAAGUUUUUCACUAUUCUGUUCCUUUCAUUAUUUUCUUGCUUGAUUGACUUCUGACUUUGUCUAUUUCUUGUGUAGUCAUUGCUGUCAUUGCUGCUGGGACUUGGAGCUUCCCUCUGGAGAUGAAGAGGAUCUAGCUGCUGAGGCUAUUCCUUUUGGCAGAACAUCCAGCUGCUGAGGCCAUUCUUUCUAGCAGAAGGAAGAGAAAGGAAAUUUCUUCUGCCCAGCACAGUGCUGCUCAGCCUGCGACUUCAGGUAAGUUCUGACAGUUUGAGCUUUUCGUAAUUCUAUUUUGUCCUAUUCUGCCUUAUGUUCUAAUGGUUUAUUGUCUGCUUAUUGUAGCUGAAAGUUCCUCUCCUCCUCCUACUAAGUCAAAAAGACUUAAAAAGAGGACUGUGGUGGAAUAUAUGGCCAUGGAGGAGUCUGCAGCAGUUCCCACCAACACUUCUGGGACGGAUGAAGAGCUGAGAGAGGCCUUCAAGACAGUGGAAUAGGAGAAAGAGCUAGAAGAAACAGAAGAAGAACCUCAAGAAAAGGCAAAAGAAAUGGAAGAAAAUGUGAGUAUUGUUUUCUGGCUAUGUCAGCUUUUCUUUUGUUUCUUCAUUUCCUCUGUUCUGACUUCUGUCUAUGUAUAGAAGGAAAUCCCCGCUGAAGUGAUUGCAUAGAGCAUUGCUUUGGCGCAGAGGCAGCAGGAGAAUCAAAGGGCAGAGCUGACCAGCUCGGAGUUGGCCCUUUUUGAAGACGCAGAGGCAGAACACUCAACUGUUGUUCCAGCAGCUGAGGAGCAGGUGGAGCAGUCUGCAUCAGAGCCUGUGGAGCGAGCAGAACUACCUGUUGCAGUCCCAGCACCUGGAGUGGAAGUGGCUGCUGUUGUUCCCGAAGUUGUGGUAAUUUUUAUUCUACUUCUGUCCACCUGUUUCCUGCAAUUCUGUUCUGUCUGUGCUUCCUUAUCUAUUAGUCUUUUCAGGUAGAAGUGCCUAGGCCUGCUGGGGUUUUGGCAGUGGUGACCAGCCCCUUGAAGCCUCUCAUCGUUGCUGUAAGUGUUAAUGCAUUCCUGGGCUUUUUCUUUUCUGUCUCUGCCUAGUUCCUACUCUUGUUCUUUUCUGCAUAUGCCUAUCCAUUCCCUUCCAAGUUCAUCUGCCACAGCUUCCUAUGCUGAUUCGGAGCUGGCAGAAUUUGAGGCUCUGGAUCUGAACGCCCAGCUAGACAAGCUGAACCCUAAACCCUUGAGAAACUCAGCUCCACUCCUUGCAAGGCAAAGUCCAAGGCAGUGGAGGAGGCUAUGGAGAGACUGAAGAUCUGGCAAUCAACUGAUCUGGAGCUGGAUAAGGACAGGGAAGCUGUUGACCAAUUGAUGAAGGAUCUGGACCUUCUGCACAGACAGAACAUGGCCCCCAAACCCAUACUUGAGAUGAGCCUUGGCUUGGGAAGAGAUGUGCUCAACCUCCACGACCGUUACGAGGAUCUCAAGCCCACCUUCAAGACCUCUGAGUUCUGCAAAGCCACCCAUAAAGCCAACUUGGCUGACUAUGCAAAGCAGAAGGCAGAACUGGACCAGAUGGUUGCAGGAUACAAGGAAGCCAAAGCCACUAUAGACAAGUUGGAGAAGCAGAUUGAAGAGCUUCAAAAACAAUUGGCAGAGUGCAGAGAGGUGCAGAGCAGGCUCGGGGCUAGACUGAGCUCUAAGACCAAGGCCACCUUCCUUGUGUAGAAUAUGGUUUCAGCUUCUAGGCCAGCUUUGGAAAUUGCAGAGGCUUCAAUCCACCAGGGGUGCUACUUCAGAAGGAACUCUCCAUUAAAAAGGCCAACUUGCAAGAAACCCUUAGGAAAUUAGGGUUUUAGAUUCUAGUUUUUUUUUAAAGAAAUGUAAUAAAUAAUUUAGCCAUAAAAAGUGGCUAUAUUUAAAUAAAAGUUCAUUUAUUUUUGUGGGAAUUCCAAAUUCUUUCGACAAAAAGAAAAGAGAGAAAAAGUAAUUUAAAGCAUACUUAACAAAUUACAACGAAAAUGAAAGUGAUCAGAAAUUCAAACAACAGUUUUAUCUUGCUGUCUCUCUAUUCCGGGAUCUGUCUGUACCGCCUGUGAAUCCCACAUAGUUGGAUAGAACUUUUUUAACCAUUUGUCAUUAAUUGGUGCAGUAUGGACAUCUCCAUCUCGAUCAUGUAAUCUGUAUGCCCCCAUUCCAAGGAUCUGAUUAAUUAUGAAAGGACCUUCCCAUGUAGGUGACCAUUUUCCAUAACCAUCUAUAUGCGUUCCAAGGGGCAGAACUGCUUUCUAGACUAUUUCCCCCUCUUCAAAACUCUUGUUCUUGACUCUUUUGUUGUAAGCCCUUGAUACAGCUUCCUUUCCUGCUAAGAGUUUGUUGAGGGUAUCGAUCCUGCUUGUAUCCAAUCCUUCCAGUUCUAGCAUCAUAGCUUGAGAGUAGUCUUCUCCAACCAAACUGUGUUGAUGAGCAAUUCUGAGGGAUUGGACUGCUAUCUCCAUAGGCAGAAUUGCAUCGUGGCCAUAGGUGGUCAUGCCAGUUGCUUCUCUUCUUGAAGUUCUAUAUGCCCACAGAGUUUCUGACAACUUCUCAUGCUACUAUUUUGGAUUUUUCUCAAGCAUUUUUCUGAUAAUGUUGAUGAUCACCUUGUUACUUGAUUCUGCCUGCCCAUUAGCUUGGGCAUAAUAAGGGGUGGAUUGAAGCAGUUUGAAUUUAAAUGCUCCUGCCAUUUCCAACAUUUCUCCAGAUAUGAAAGAAGAUCCCCUAUCAGUUGUGAUUGAUUCUGGAAUGCCAAACCUUUGUAUAAUCUGCUCUUCUAUGAAAGUGAUGAUUUCUUGAGAUGCUGUGGACUUAACAGGCUUGGCUUCCACCCAUUUGGUAAAAUAAUCUGUAGCUACAAUAAUAAAACAGUGUUGUUUGCUACUGGCUGGAUAAAUCUUACCAAUGAGAUCCAUUGCCCAUCCUCUGAAAGGCCAUAGUUUUACUACUAGAUUCAUGGGAACUGAAAGAGCCUGCUGGAUUAGCCGAGCCAUUUCCUUUUAUGCUACCGAUUUCUUUUAUGCUACUGAGCCGGGCAAAACCAAUAAAAUAAAGAAAGGCAACGAAUUUAUUAACCGAGUAUAAAGGAGAGAGAGGGAUUCGAACCCUCGAUAGUUCUUUGUUUCGAACUAUACCGGUUUUCAAGACCGGAGCUAUCAACAACUCGGCCAUCUCUCCGAAAUAAAAUUUAUAUUUUAUUCCACCUAAUAGAACAUGGACAUAUGAGUUGAUACGAUUACUAUCUAUAGAAAGAUAUCAGGUGUGAGUCUAUAGGUCUAUCUAUCUGUAUAUAUAUAUAUAAUAUAGAUGCAUGAUCCAGCAAGCAUGCCCCUGAAGUUGACUUACGCUCAAAUGUAGAAGAAUCAGCCAUGGCAAAUAGGUAGCUGAAUUGCAGCGGAAUAGAUGAGCAACGGUGUCACUCCCCCUCAUAUCCAACGAUGUAUAAGAGUCGAGAUUUGGAGAAAGCAAUACCGAAAAAUAAAGUUGCAGAACUCAAAUAAAGUUGCAUCUAUCUCCCCAUCAAAUCCGACACUGGUAAAGGGUCGAGAUUUGAAAGAGGAGAAAUUGAAAUAAUAGUAAAGAGACUCAAACAUGCAGUCUCAUGGCAGAAACAAAUGCAAGAGGGGAAGAUGGUAGCAUACGGUUGUCCCAUGAAGAAAAAACUUUAGAAAAGGAGAAUAGUAAGGGAGGAAACCCAGCAAAUCAUGAACAGAGACAAAGACAAAGAUAAGGUACUCAAACUGAGAAGCGGAAAGGCAACUCAAGAGAGCAACCGAAGAAGACAGAGGCCCGCAGAACAGUCAAAGGAAAGGCUCGGCGAGUGGUGACGAUGCUCGCGGAGGAAAGCAACGGCUCGGUGAGCAGUGACGAGGCUCACGGAGUAAAGAGACUUGUUAUGAAGUUUCAAAGAUAGAGAAGCUGAGACAUCAAGAAAGACCAUCUGGCAUACAAAGAUGAAAAAUAAAAUUUUUGGAACAGUAGCAAAGAAGCAUGUGAAGGCUAGGUGCGGUGAAAACACAUAUGAAAGGAUGAACAAAAGAAGAUGACUAUACAAGAUGAAGACCCAUGAUGGGUUAGAAAUGAGGAGUGCCAACGACUCUCAAUUUGGCAGAGGCUAUCACAGGUUAGGAACCUGGCUCUGAUACCAUGUCAAACAAAGUAGGGUAAAUAUUCAGUUAUGCUCAGAUAUGCUCAUAUUAUUAUUCUUCUCCAAUAUGGAGAUAUUUAUACAAGUACAAAGAUGUGUUAACCCUAAAUAAAAUAGAAAAUAUAUCUAAAUUACAAUUGGAAGUAAAUCUCUAUUACAAUAUGAGUAAAUAAUAAUUGAUAAGUAACCAAAAUUCUAAUGAAAUAAGGAACUAAAAUCCUAAGUAAGUAAGGACUCGCCAACGAAUAAUAGUACAACUCUUAUUAGCAACAGGUUACAAACUUCUUCUACAACACACCAACAUGAAUCUAGCCCUGAUCAAUUCUUUUACAUACUUGAAAACAAAACAAAACACGAAAAACAAAAAACAAGAAACAAGAUAGGGAGAAAAUGGCUACGGAGAGACUUACCGCUAAUACUUGAUCAAUAACAGAGAUAAUAGAGCACACUGUUUGUAUGACAAUGAGUAUCAGAAGAAUAAUAGCUGCAAAGAGAGAAAUAGCUGCCCAAGGUGUGUUGAAAUACUUUUGUCUCAAAUUUGCCUUCCGUCUGUUCGUGGUCUUCUUGCAGUACUCGUUUAGUUUGCCAGCAAGAUCACCAAAAUAGUAGUUUCCGUGGUUCGGAGCAACUUUACUGCAAAGCUUGUUAAUCAUAAUGGAAACCUUAUUGUUGUCACCUAGCGUGUUUACAACAAUUCCAUUGUCAACAAGCAACUCUACAUCCUUUGGGGUGUUUACAAAUUUAUCCAGGAUGAAAACAUAAUCGCUUAUGUAUUUAUCCACGCAAUUGCCUUGUUCAAAGGCAAUGAGAUUUCUAUGUGUAAGCUGUGUAAUCAUGUAUUUCAAUUUUUGGAAUUUCCAAGGUGUUUUUCUUGAACUGUAUAUCGAAUAAGUUCUUGCUUGAUCCCACGUUAAACUUAACUCCGGCCUGGUGUAGUUUUGUCAUGCUGGGUGUACUUUGGAGCCCUCCAUUUUUUUUUCUUUUGGCAGAUGUAAAGUUCUAAUAAAAUCAACAAAAUGUAAAGGUUUUUUAGGAUCAGGAGGCAUAAAAGACUUACGGAAGGCUGGUGAGUUCUCCAAGUUUUCUAAACGCAGUGCCUGUUGGAAGAACUUGUAAGAGAGUUCAAUUAUUGAAGGCUCCCCAGUCUGAGCACCUGUGAGAUUGUAAAGAUCCUUGAGAAUGAAAAAUGGCAGCUGAUUUACGAGCAUAAGCAUGUCAGGCAAUAUAUUUUGUAGCACCCAUGGUUUUUUAAAUAUCCAAGCAUUAUCAUCCUGCAAUUUUUCUUCCUGAAAUUUUUCUUCGGAUUUAUUCCUCAACAAUAGCUCAAUGACAAAGGCGGCAUCAACUAGACUGAUAUUCACAAAAGCAGCAAUGUUAAACUUCUUAGGGCUAGUUUGGCGUUGCUGUGUUUUAAAAAAAAAUAUGCUUCUGCUGUGCUGUGAAAAUAAUCAGCUGUGAAAAAAAGCUACUAAGCGUUUGGUAAACUGUUUUUGAAAAACUGUUGUGAGUAGUCAAAGUGUUUGGUAAAUUUUUAUCAGAAGUGUUUUUAGUGUGUAUAAUGACCAAAAAGGACAUGAUGAUGAAAUUGUUUGUUAUUUUCUUCAUUCUUUUUCUACUUUUUUUUUUAAAAAAAAAACCCAAUUUCACUACAUAAAUUUUUAUUCUUUUUUAAUUCACACCUUUUUAUCAAAAAAUUUAAUCUACAAUUAACAUACAUAUUUUACCAUAAAUUAUAAAUUACUAUUAUAACAAAAGUAAUUCUAAAUAUUGUUAUAUUAAUAUGGGCUUCGGACAUGACAAAAAUACAAAAAUUGUUCAAUUUUAAAAUGCCCCAAUAGAUCACUACAAUAUAAAAGAAGCUAAUUAGAUGCAUUCAUUAAACUUGUAGCGAUGCUAUUUCUUAAUGCAUUCAUUAGCUUCUUUUUUUGGUUUCCAAUGGUUCUCUAACAAUUUUAACUAAAAAAACAACCAUAAUGCUUUGUGAACAAUAAAUUCAAGUCCAAAUCUACUAAUGCCCACACCAUACAUAUAUACAUAAUUGUUUCUUUCAUAAAACUUGAAGAUUCAAUAGUAAUUACACAGUUUACCAAUCUUGAUUCCAACUAUAUCCAUAAAAUUAAACUAUAAUUAGAAACAGAGGAGCUACAUGUGAUUACUUAUAAAUGUUGCCCACUCUCAUCAUCAUCUUCUUCCUCCUCUGUACUUUGCCUUUCACAAAUGGACAAGACCAGAUGGUAACGUACACGACAUGGUCCACAUAUAGAUAAAUUUUGGGUUCACUGGAGAACAUAAAAGAGUUUUUACACGAAUACAAAGUUAGUUAAGUAGUGAAUAAGGUAAAACUAUUCUGUACAAUUCUAGCUGAUGCAGUCCAAAAAGAAUAUAUGUCUAAUAACUUAAAUAACAAUAAAGAGAAACAAAAACCUCAUGAAAAAUGCUAGAGUAAAAGUUACAUAACUGAAUCGAUGGACAGAGAACUCCACAGGCAGAGAAACAGCAACAAAAAUUGUCAAAACAGUAGCAAGACCAUGUUGGAGUCAAGGCCAAAGAUCAUAUUUCCUGUGUAUCUUCUUCCAUUCUGAAUUAUUCUCGUAUUCAAAUACUGUAACUCUAUUUCAAGUGCACCCCAAAAUACUUAUCUAAGGCCAGUACAUAGGACUUCAUAAAGGGUGCCAUAAAAAAUAUUGCCCCUUAAUUGAUAAACAGAACCAAGAUCCCAAUGGCACACCAAAACUAUACCAACCACACCUACAUAAUAUGGACAGAAAAUCCUGUUGUUCUGACCUCUAACCACACCAAUGACAUUCAUUAGGAAAAUACAAAAGAUGGGUACCCUGCAUUUCUAACAUUUAAGAUAAAAUUCACUGCCAGCUAAUCACAAAUUUGAAAAGAUGGCAAGAAAAUUGGCUAUGCUUUAACAAAAACCAGAGCAGUCCUUGCAUAGACCUGACUUUUUGCUCCAAGCUUUAGCAGAUCACUUACUGGUAGAGAGCAGAGAACAUGUAUGUGAAUAUCUGAAGUUGGAAGGGUAAGCCAUCACAAACACCAAGAGAUCUGAUUCUCAUCUCUUGUUACAACAACAAAUCACAAACACCAAUACAUCUGAUUCAGAAUCUCAUAAACAAUGGAGGAACAAACACAUAUUCACACACAUAUAAAUCCCUAAACCGAAAAAAAAAAAAAAAAAAAAAAAAAAAAAAAAAAAAAAAAACAUGAAAGUAAUAGGAGAAUCAAAUUGAUUUGGGCCAAAAUUGCCUAAAAAGAAAACACUCCUAAAUAAACUUCAAUUCACUUUUAAAAACAGUAAAACGUGAUUGAAUCGUUCUUUAAAACAAUUCCCUAAUAUACAUGCAUGAUAAUGACAUCAUUUACCCCUAAAUCAAAUGCCUUUCACUGGUUAAGCCACAAGUCUGUGUUUUGGGGAUUGCUGAGCUGCAUCAAUCCUGCCAAUGUCAAUUCUGCCCCUAGGCUCUCUCAAAGUGCAUUUACAACCUAUGCUAACAUAUACUAGAGUUUGUGCUAGUAUCUAGAAAAUGCCAACACUAAUUUCGUAACACGUAGAAAUUGUUACAUAUUGGAAGUUUUUAUCAUUUUUUCUUCCAGUCUCUCCACCACUCACUAAUACAGAUUACUCAUGUGAUGAGUUUACAAAACCUAUUUCUCUACUCCCACAAAGACCAUACUUUUUCUCAAAAGACUAUAUCACUUUAUCUCUAUCUUUGUGAAAUGUAAAAAGUUGAAACUUUAAUGUCAAAUCUCGACAAAAGAUGAACUUCCAUCAAUUACAUUGAAUUUGAAUUUGUUGAACUUAAGUGGUUUUACUUUCUCUGUCAGCGUUUGAUGACUUGAUUUGUUAUUUACUUCUUCUUUUUUCCUUGGAAAUGUGUUCCAUCAACGUGAGGAAGAAAAAUAUGCACAAAUUAAUAUAUUUAAUAGAAGCACAAAUUAAUAUUUACAAAAAUAUGCACAAAUCAAGUAAAAUUAAUAAAGCAUAAAUUGGAAAGGGAAAAUAUGUAGAGGAUGCAUUGUAGGAUUGCUCAUGCCAAUAAUUGUACCCUCUAAAUAUAUAGGGACAUAAUUUUUUUUGUUUUCAUGACAUGUGGUCCUCAAAUUAUUGUUCUUAGCGGACUCUCCACCCCUCUCGAUUGAAAGCCUAUUGUGUAAAUCUUCAAUCCUGAAUGAUCCACCUAAAACUCAUGUUGCAAUACACAUCCACCCAUUCUCAGGCCAAUUAUUACUCCUAGUGGGCUCUCCACCCCCUCUCAAAUUUAAGUGGUCCAUUAUUAUUAACCAUAUAUUUUAUGGACCAGCUAGCUGUGAGGUUUUAUCUCAAAAACCUUUCUCUCACAUGCCACAAUUUAUGUCUGAUACAUCACAUCAUGCCAGUUGUCUCAAAUGAAUUUAAGUGAGUGAGGCAGUGUUACUUCUGGGUACCCCUCAUCGUUCGUGUAUAAAAUGGUGAAGCCAGUUGCUACUGUUACCAUAAGAGCCAGCUCCGACUUUCAAAAUAAAAAUUCCAACAAUGAUCUUAGUGCCUUCAAACGCAUGAGUUACUGAACAUGCAAAUAAAUACACUAUGAAUAAUAAAAGUGUUUGAUAAAUCACCAAAUUAUGGAACACUUGAUGAUUUAUCUCAAAUAAAAAUUCCAAGGCUUAUUUUAUAGAAUUUUUCUUUAUUACAAGAAAGAAAACAUGUUGAAAACCAAAUCUCCAAUUUCCAAGGCUUGACAGAAAAUCAAAAAAAUAUCUUUCCUAUUCUAGAGAUUGGUCACAUGUAGUUCAGAAAAUCAAAAAAAUAUCUUUCCUAUUCUAGAGAUUGGUCACAUGUAGUUCAACCAAUAGGAAAUGAGAUAUUUAAGAAAGCAAGAUUUUGAUCAAUAUCAAUAUCAAAUGAAUUCUUAUACGCCUAGUCAACUAUUAAGGGUAUCUUGACUCUUUGAUAUUGUGAUAUGAUUGAAACAUGAUUUCCAUGUUAGAAAAUUAAGGGGAUGUUAAAACAUGAAAGUAAUAGGAGAAUCAAAUUGAUUUGGACUAAAAUUGCCUAAAAAGAAAACACUCCUAAAUAAACUUCAAUUCACUUUUAAAAAUCGUAAAACAUGAUUGAAUCGUUUUUUUAAAACAAUUCCCUAAUAUACAUGCAUGAUAAUGACAUCACUUACCCCUAAAUCAAAUUGUCACGCCCCGGACCUGGGGGUCAGUGGAAAUCCCGCGCCCGGUGCGUGAGAAAAUAAAAAGUAAAAUAAAAUAAAAAGAAAGCCGAAACAAGGGUUUAAAAUAAACUUCUCUUAUAAAAAUAACUCUAAAAUCUUAUAACUUUACAAGAAAUAAAUAAAGCUCUAUCAUUCUUAUCUAAUUCAGACUCAACUGGUUUAGUCCUUGUCUUGCCCACUAAUUCAUCUGAAAAAUUAAGAGUGUUGCUAAACGAACCCUAAAAUUAAUUGAGUACACCAUACUACCAAACAAUUUAUUGAAUUUGUCAAGGUUUUGUUUCUGGGAACUCACGAGCAACUUUCCAGUGGGUUACCCAUCCUAGGAUUGCUCUAGCCCACAACUCGCUUAACUUCGGAGUUCCUACGACUCCGAAGCCAGUGAGCUCCCAAAAGGCCUCGUGCUAGAUGGAUGCGGGUGUGCACAUAUAAGGCACAUCACCACCUCUCCGUUGAUUGAUGUGGGAUCUUACAAAAUUACUAAUUUAUUCUAAUAUAAAAUGAUCAAAAAAGAUAAAAUAAUAUUGGUAUCUAUUGCUUUGAAUCCAUGCCUUCAAACAAAUUGACUUAAUUUUUAACAAACAACACGGAGUCCAGGAGAAGUGUAUUGAUCCAAGUUGAUUUUUGUAUGCAUAAAACUUAAACAAUCAAUAACACAAAGCAGUUCAUGCUGAAAUAUUGGAAACCCACACCCAAAGAGUUCUCCGCUGCGAGGUUGAAGGCAGGAGAGAUGGGUGACAGAUUUUACUUCCACUGCGAAGUUGGAGGCUAGGAGAGUCUGUGACUGCCAUGGUUGAGGGAGAAGAUGCGUUCAAAAUGCCUAUUGAUAUUUUACAUUAUUUUCUAUACAAGUUAACAGUGUUUGUGUAUUGUUAAAGGUGGAGAGACGUGUCAAAAUUUUAGACAAAGGACAGGAGGAGAUAGGGAAUUUGGGGACAGCAGAUCUCAACUCCCUUGAGACCCUAUUCUCUACGCCACCCCUCCCCCUCAACAACCCUAGUCACCAUUUCUCCUUCAACUCCAACGGCAACUCAUUAAAACCCAAUUCUCAAAUGCAACAAUCUAAUCCCAAUCCCAAUUCAGAUGUUUCUAAAAAACCAAUGGUUGUCGUGGUGGAGAACUGCAAUUCCAGGUGGUGGUGGUACCACAUGGGAGAGAGAAAAAAGAAGAAGAAGAAGCAGCAGAGAGAGAGUUUUUUAUUAUAUUAUUAUUUUACUGUAAUUUUUUAAUUUAAAAAAUUAAAAAAAUUAAAAAUUAAAGAGGAUGUACCAUGGGUAUUUUUGGUAGUUAAAUAGGGUGUACUUAGUUAAUUUUCAAUUUAAUUUAAACAUUAGAGUGUACUCAGUUAAUUUUAGGGUUCAUUUAGCAGCACUCAAAAUUAAACAAGGUAAGGGAUGAGCAAGUAGGGACAUGAGACCUUGCCACAGUAGAUUGAUAUAACUAAAUAUUAUCAUAAACAUCGAAAUAUAUAAAUAUUAUUAUGAUAGGAUUCAUAAUAAUUAAUAUAAAAGUAUAACAACAAGAUUUACAUUUAUGUACCAAGAUAAUUACACAUAUAAAUAUAACCAAUAUAUAUUUUUAUAUAUUUUAAAAUACAAGUCUUUACGUAAAUGCCCUUCACGGGUCAAGCCACAAGUCUGUGUUUUGGGGAUUGCUUAGCUGCAUCAAUCCUGCCAAUGUCAAUUUUGCCCCUGGGCUCUCUCAAAGUACGUUUAAAACCUAUGCUAACAUAUACUAGAGUUUAUGCUGUAUCUAGAAAAUGCCAACACUAAUUUCGUAACACGUAGAAAUUGUUAGAGAUUGGAAGUUUUUAUCAUUUUUUCUUCCAGUCUCUCCACCACUUAUUAAUACAGAUUACUCAUGUGAUGAGUUUACAAAACCUAUUUCUCUACUCUAGCAAAGACUAUACUUCUUCUCAAAAGACUAGAUCACUUUACCUCUAUCUCUGUGAAAUGUAAAAAGUUGAAACUUUAAUGUCAAACCUCGACAAAGUGUUCUACUUUACAAACUUCUUGUGUCUACCAAUUUCUACUAAAAUUAAUUUCUCUACGGUGCUCAGAUUCAUCAUAUGUGUGUCCUUAAUUUUAGUGGAAAUUGGAAGUUUCCAUAAUUUUUGCUUUAAGUCACUCUUCUGAAGGAAGUUGAGGUUCCACUCCAUAAUCCAAAAUGUCAGGUUGACUUAUGGCAAACAAUGUAAAUAUGUAGGAGUACUAUGACCUUUUAUAGCAUUUUUAGUUUGAAUUUGGGUUUUAUACAUAGAUUUCGAAAUUAAUAGGUUGAUGCCUAGGAAAUAGAAAUUGUAAGGGCCUAUAUUAGACUAGCCCUCUUAAAAAAUAUAUUAAUUAAUGAAUAUUUGUUCUUCUUGUUGUUUUGAAGUAGUGGUGGGAGGCAUACCAACAAAAAAAAAAAUAUAGUGAAGGCUUAUAAGAGCAUUUACAAUCAUGCUCCCUAUUUUUUAGUUAAAAUUUAGCUAAAAAUAGAAAAAAGUUAUUAUAGGAGCUCUUUAUAAAAUUUGAACUCCAAUCAUACUCCCUAGUUUAGGGAGUCAAAAAUACUAUAGUUAUUUUUUAAUUCAAUUUGAUUUUGGUUAAUCUCUAUAAAUAAAUAAAAAUAUGAAAAAAUAGUUAACAUUAAUUAAAAGUUUAAACUAUGCAUAAAACAAAGAAACAUUAAAUUAUAGGGAGCCACUAUGAGUCGUUACUCUCUCCUCAGAUUUAGGAGCUCCUAGAGGUCUCCCUAUUUUAUGAGGUGGAUAAGGAGCAUGGUUGGAGUUGUAUUUCUUCAAUUUCCUCCCUAAAAUUUGUCUAAGGAUGUGGUUUAGGGAACCCAUUGUGAAUGCUCUAACUCUGGUAAAACACGAGUGACAUGGACAACAUAUGUUACGUCGUACAGAAGAUUUUUGGGUUUCUUUAAUUGGUUAAGUAGCAUCCACAAUGAGCUUCCUAAAUCAUCUCCUUAGACAAAUUUUAGGGAGGAAUUGGAAAAGUACAAUUCCAACUAUGCUCCCUAUCCACCAACUAAAAUAGGGAGACCUCUAAGAGCUCCUAAAUCUGAUGAGAGGGAAAGGACUCUUAAUGACUCCUUAUAAUUUAAUGUUGCUUUACUUUAUGCAUAUUUUGAACUUUUAAUUAAAUCAAAUUAUUAUUUUUAUAUUAUUUUGUAUACAGACGGGUUAAUUAUAUUAAAUUAAAAAAUAAUUAAAAUAUUAAUGACUCUCUAAACUAGGAAGCAUAAUUGUAGAUCAUCUUAUAUACCUUAAUUUGAAGAUUCUUUAUUUGGGUUUCUUUCAAGACUUAUCACCUUAGCCACACCACCUACACGUCUGCAAGCUUCCGUAAUCUAACAAGGAAGGGGAGGCUGCGCAAUACUUAUCACCUUAGCCACACCACCUACACCACAAGACCAAUAUGUGUAGUCCAGCAGGCUUUCCAAUUUUAAUAUAUAUUAUAAAAUAAAAUAAAAAUCAAUCUAUUAUCAUAUAUAUUAUAAAAUAAAGAUUAUUGCUCCAUCCUCCAUGCACUUGCAUGCCCUCUUACAAAGUGUGAAGUAGAUUUUGUGUGCUCCAAGUCAUUGACGAGAGCUGUAACAUGGUUAGCUGGAUUUAUAAGAUCUUUUCUUUUCUGGGAAUUUUCUGAAUUAAGAAAAAUCAAGUAAAAUUAAUAAAGCAUAAAUUAGAAAGGGAAAAUAUCUAGAGGAUGCAUUGUAGGAUUGCACAUGCCAAUAAUUGUAUCCUCUAAAUAUAUAGCGACACAUUUUUUUUGUUUUCAUGACUUGUGGUCCUAAAAUUAUUGUUCCUAGCGGGCUUUUCACCCUCUCUCGAUUGAAAAUCAAUUGUGUAAAUCUUCAAUCUUGAAUGAUGCACCUAAAACUCAAGUGUCCCAGGCCAAUUAUUGCUCUCAUACCACUUGUUGUAAUAAACAUUCACCCAUUCUAAAGGAAAGAUAACCAUCGAUAUUAUCUGAAAUUUAACCACUUAAGUUCAUUAUGAUUAACUAUGUAUCUUAUGGACCAAUCCAAUCGUAAGGUUUUAUACUCAAUUAGAUCGACCAAUACAAAGUUCACACUGGAUUAAAAAGGGCUAUCGGUAGGGGAGUGUUCGGCACCCUUUACUGUGGAGCGCAACACAAGACCCCUUGCAUGCCCUCACUAAGUUGAGCCCAACUAUUUUUGAGCAUUAACAAUAUAUAUAGAUUGAAAAAAUAAAAUAAAAAUCAAUCUAUUAUCAUAUAUAUUAUAAAAUACAUAUUAUUGCUCCAUCCUCCAUACACUUGCAUGCCCUCUUACAAAGUGUGAAGUAGAUUUUUUGUGCUCCAACUCAUUGACUAGGGCUGAAACAUGGUUAGUUGGAUUUAUAAGAUCUUUUGUUUUUUGGGAAUUUUCUGAAGCACGGAAAAUCAAAUAAAAUUAAUAAAGCAGAAACUGUACCCUUUAAUUAUAUAUGGACAUAUGUUUUUUUGUUUUCAAGUCUUAGAUGACAUGGGGACCCCUCUCAAAUUUAAGUGGUCCAUUAUUGUUAACCACAUAUUUUAUGGACCAUCCAGCUUCGGUACAUUUCUCCCACAUGCCACAAUUGUAUAUUCACAAUUACGUCUGAUACAUCACAUCAUGCCACUUGCCUCACAUGCCACAAUUGUAUAUUCACAAUUACUUCUGGGUACCCCUCAUCAGUCGUCUAUAAAAUGGUGAAGCCAGUUGCUACUGUUACCAUAAGAGCCAGCUCCGACUUUCUUUAAUUUCUUGCUACAUCUGUUGCUAAGUUAAUUUCAGUCCUAAUGGGGUUUCAUCUCCCACUCAUCUUUGCUAUUCUCAGUGUAAGCUCUGCAAUUUGAUUAACUUUUCCAUUCUCUCUCAUUGUACUCUAUAUAUAUAAAUGAAAGUUUUGUGUUCCUAUAAUUCUCUCCGAUUUUAUUUAGUACGUACUUAAGUGUCGUCCACUAAUUAAUUACACUUUGUGAGAUUUGAUUUUAAUUAGAGUUCGAAUUAAUGUUGCAGCUAGCAGCGGUUGCACUGGCAAACAAUGCUGCUCAACCAGCACCUCAACUUUACUGGAACUCCGUCCUGCCAAACACACAGAUGCCAAGAUCUAUCAGUGAACUUCUGCAUCCUGGUUUGUGUUCAGCUCUUUAUAAUCUUAGAUAUCUCUUCUACCUGCCAUUUUACUAAACUAUGUUCGACCACAUAUUUAUCAGUUAACUACUGUCAUUACAAGAAUGACACUUAUUUUCCAAUAUAAUUUGCAGACUCCACAAAUGAAGAAAAGAGCAAACCUGAAAUUUUCCCAUUGCAGGGCAAUAGAGUUUACACUCAAAGCCAUUAUAAAAAACGUCCUCCUCCUCCAUCUGACGAGGGCAAACCUGAAAAUUUCCCAUUGCAGGGCAAUAGAGUUUACACUCAAAGCCAUUAUAAAAAACGUCCUCCUCCUCCAUCUGACGAGGGCAAACCUGAAAAUUUCCCAUUGGCCAAUAGCUUUUACACUCAAACCCAUUAUAAAAAACGUCCUCCUCCUCCAUCUGACGAGGGCAAACCUGAAAAUUUCCCAUUGGCCAAUAGCUUUUACACUCAAAGCCAUUAUAAAAAACGUCCUCCUCCUCCAUCUGACGAGGGCAAACCUGAAAAUUUCCCAUUGGGCAAUAGCCAUUACACUCAAAGCCAUUAUAAAAAACGUCCUCCUCCUCCAUCUGACGAGGGCAAACCUGAAAAUAUCCCAUUGGCACGUUCAGGUUACCAACGAAAAAAUUAUGGAGCAAGUCCUCCUCCAUCUGACAGUCAACUAAAGCAUUAUAAAGACUUAGCUAUUUUCUUCUUCGAGAAGGACAUGCGCCCGGGCACAACUAUGAAGUUCCAAUUCCCUAGAAAUUCAAACACGGCUACUUUCCUGCCACGCGAAAGUGCUCAAUCGAUCCCCUUCUCCUCUAAGAAACUACCAGAAAUUUUCAACCAUUUUUCAGUGAAGCCAACAUCUGAGGAAGCCAAAACAAUUAAGCAAACAAUCGAAGAGUGUGAAGCUCCAGGCCUUAAGGGAGAGGAAAAAUAUUGCGCCACAUCUUUAGAAUCAAUGGUUGAUUUUAGCACUUCGAAGCUUGGAACAAGAAACGUUGAAGCAAUCUCAACGCAGGUAUUGGAAGAAGGAGCCACCAAGUACAUGCACAACUAUACAACAAUCCCGGGACUGAAGAAGUUGGUAGGUGACAAAGUCGUUGUGUGUCAUAAGGAGAACUAUCCCUAUGCUGUGUUUCUCUGCCAUGCAAUAAAACAAACAGAAGCUUAUGUUCUCUCCCUGAAAGCCGAUGAUGGGAUGAAGGUGAAAGCAGUAACCAUCUGCCAUCUAGACACAUCAGAAUGGGACCCAGAGCAUUUGUCCUUCCAAAUCCUCAACGUUAAGCCCGGAACCACUCCCAUCUGCCAUUUCCUUUCCACUGAUGCUAUUGCCUGGGUUCCAAAACACAAAUCUGCAUGAUCAUCACUUAGCACUGUACGUAUAAUAAGCUUGGUCGGGUUGCACCCUAGGCCUGCAUAAUUAUCUCCCUACUUAUUUCUGCCUCUUCAUCAUGCGGUGUAAGAUAUAUGAUGAGAUGAAGUUUUCUCUUGUAACUAUGUAGACUACUUCAACUUGUACUCAUAAUAAAGCACGCUGUUGGGGGGUUCUACUUAAUUUCGUUCUCUCCAAUGUUUGAGUGUUGAAUUGUUACGUUGGAAUAGGCUGCUAAUGCAUGUAGUUAGAGAAGCCUUCAUUUAUAUCAAAGUCCUCAAACUAUCAAGAAUUAAUGUAUCCAGAAACAUAUACCAAGACGCAAAACAACAUAUUUUCCAUUCUCUGUCUGUAACACCAAGGCAAACUUCCUUUAUCACAUCAUUUAAAGGAUCAAAUUCCAGUACUAAUCUAAUCCAUCAUGUAAAGCAUACAAGUGCCUACCUAAAUUUGUCCAUUGGAUAUAUAUGUCACUUUUUAUUUUUUGAUAGAGAUAUAAAUGUUGAGAAAAUUAGAGUACACAACUCCAAUAUAGACUUGUUGGAGACAAAACAAGUAAACAAAUUACUUGUAUUAGACUCACAAAAUAUUACAACAAGACAACUCUCAAAGAAAAGACAAACUCUCACACUUCUCACAAGGACUACUUAACUUUAUAGCUUAUUGCAUAUAGCAUAUGCAAACACAAUUAGAACAUACCUACGUACACUAUGGGAACACUCGUGUAUAUUUGAACACAAGAAAACAUGUGCGCACCGUGCACGGUUCACAUGAAGUAAGAAAUGAAGAGGAAAUAAAGAAGAAGAAUACAAAAGAAAAUGGAGAUGAGAAAAAAAAAACACGAAUAAUGAAAAAUGAAUUGACAAUUAUAUAUGGUUGACAUUAGAUCUAAUAUUAUAUGUAAUAACUAAUGAUCUAAAAUAAACAUUAAAUCAAACAAUAAUUAAAAGAUUUGACAAUAUAAAAAUUUACACGUCAGCAAACUCACCAUGGUAAGUUUGCUGACGUGUAAAAAUUGUGAAUGGACUACAUCGAAAAAUAAUUGGCUUACAUCAAAAAUUAAAAUCACGUGGGUUAUUCCUAAGAAACCUUAAUAUUUUUAGGUUUAUAUAUUUUUUGUAUUUAAAAAAAAAAAAAAAAAGAGAAAUCUGACCAUGUAUGUAUGAUGAUGAUAUGCAUGUUAUUUUUAGACCUAAGGUAAAACAGACAAACUUUUUACUCCAUUUUUCAUGAGGUUUAUCACAAUAAUUAAACUGUUAUAUCCUCCAUUUUAGAUCUCAUGCUUCCAUUUAAAGAAAAGAAUAUCAACAACAAAAAAAGAAUAAAGUUACAACAUUGAUCAAUUCAAAUGUCCAACUACCGGAUCAUGAGCCCUUGCACUUAGCGAUAUGCAGAUAAAUGCGUAGUGUCUUAAUGCAGAAGCUCGGGAUCCCCAAUUACCAUUGAAACAUAAGAAACUAAAAUCUGCAAGAAAAUGCUAUCAAUUGAAAAAACAAUAAUUAAAAAACAAAAAAAGGAAGGGAAUUCGCACCCGCUAUGCAAAAAAGAGCAAGUCGGUUCAAUGAUUUUUUUCUUCUUCUUUUUGUUAUGGAAAUGAAAAGCUCAAUGAUGGGCUAUAUAUAGGAAGAAGCUCAAUGAUUGAAUUAUUAUCUUCUAUCUACAUUCUACCCUCUUCCUCGCUACAUACACAAAUGGUGCACACCAGUAACUAAGCUUGUUUUGGGUUUGGUGGCCCACUGUAAAAGCUCAAUGGAGAUGGUUUGAGGUAGAAUUUUCUCCUAUUUCAAUAGGACAAUGAUGAGAUCUAUGUAACAACAAAUUUCUUUAAUAAUGAUAACUAAAAAAAGUGUGAUUCAUUGAAUAUUUGCGGGGUUUUGUUCUAAGUCAACACCUCAAAUUCCUUUUACACCAUCAAAUUCAAAAAGUUUUAUUCAACCAUCUCGACCUUAUGCUAAAAAUUUAUUUUGUUCAUACUUAACGUACUAGGUAUUUAUUUUAUACCAACGAGUACGAUGGUCCAUAUAAGUAUUCUAAUCAUUCACUCCAGUUGCAGGCCCCAAUAAUUUAGAAGGGCCGAAGGUCUUUCUUUUUUUCUUUUUUCUUUUUUGAGAAAUUCUAUGAUUGCAUUCAUAAUUCAGGCAAAAAAGUCACUAGCCACAAAAGGGCCAGUACAACAACGGAGCGGUCUAAUAUCAAAAUUAAGACAAUCUAGUGUGUCUCCACUAACGAUCAGGCGAGCCGAUGGUCUUUCAUUGGAUGAAAGCUUCUAUCUACCGACCCCACUAUAUGAACUAUGCAAUGGUGAUGAUGUUACAUUGCAAAAAAUAAAAAGUCAAGGUUUCUUAUUAAUGUUAAUGAAGGCAUAGCAAAAAAUUUAUAGCUCCAAUGGUUCAAAGCAGUUACCCAUGCACUUGAGAUUCUGUGUUUGAAUGCCCUCUCCCCUAAUAUUGCUUGUAUAAAAAUAAAAACUUCUAAAAAGACAUUAAUAUUGUAUUCUAUAUUCUAUAAAGUGUUGGACAUGUCUUAUAUUGUUGACAACCCCCUAACACUUUGGUGGUGCCUAGUUAUAUUCAAUUCGUAUGUAUUUAAUUUGCCACUUACAUUCUUUCCUUAAUACAUUUAGGCUUAUUUUUAUACUAAUUUCUCUAACAUAACUUUUGCACAUUCUUUUAGUCUCUAAUAUAUAUAUUUUCUAAUAAAUAAUCAAGAUCUAAUAAAUAAUCUUACUCACUUGAGUUAUAAACUAUUUUCUUUUAGCACAGAAAAUCGACAUUUUGACAGAGAGUUGAAAACGACUCCCCAAUUUUAAUGUCAACCACUUGAAAAAAAAAACAUAAAUUUAAUGAAAACAAUUACAUUUAGCAAUGCAACCUAAAAACUCAACCUUUGCGCCCCUUUCACAACGUAGAUAGCAAGGUGAGGAUAUUCGGAUAAGAACCAAGACAGAAGCCAAAGGAACUGCGAUAGCCAACCAGAGUCUCCAUUUCUUACCAUUUGAACAACGCCACCAUUUUGUUUGGUAAGUAUUUAAUAACAUUUCUUGCUCUACAUAAAGUAAUAUUAAAACGGAAUUUGCCUAAAUUUUUCUUACCAGCAAUCCAUAUGGACAAAAAUAAAAUAAAAUAAAUAAAUUUACAAUUAUACUCAAUAUAGGAGCCCAAAUUAUUUAUAAUUAAAAAAACUUAUAUGAAAUGGACUUUAGAAACACACUUAAAACCUAUUUACAACAAAACAAAAAAACGUUUAACUUCUUUUAAAUUACAAAACUAUCAUUGAUUUCUUAAACAAACCCAACCCAAAAACUUCAUUAAAAAAAAAAAGCUCAAAAUAUUAGACUCACAAAAUAUUACAACAAGACAACUCUCAAAAAAAAGACAAACUCUCACACUUCUCACAAGGACUACUUAACUUUAUAGCUUAUUGCAUAUAGCAUAUGCAAACACAAUUAGAACAUACCUACGUACACUAUGGGAACACUCGUGUAUAUUUGAACACAAGAAAACAUGUGCACCGUGCACGGUUCACAUGAAGUAAGAAAUGAAGAGGAAAUAAAGAAGAAGAAUACAAAAGAAAAUGGAGAUGAGGAAAAAAAAAACACGAAUAAAUGAAAAAUGAAUUGACAAUUAUAUGUGGUUGACAUUAGAUCUAAUAUUAUAUGUAACAACUAUUGAUCUAAAAUAAACAUUAAAUCAAACAAUAAUUAAAAGAUUUGACAAUAUAAAAAUUUAUUGAGGACAAAAAAAGGCAAAAACUUAUGAAAAAUGGAAACAAUAAAUAUGAACUGAGUCAUCAACUCACCAUGGUAAGUUUGCUGACGUAUAAAAAUAGUCAAUGGACUACAUCGAAAAGUAAUUGGCUUACAUCAAAAAUUAAAAUCACGUGGUCUACCUACUAUAUAGGAUGAAAAAAUUAGGUGAACAAUAUACUUACACCAUGGGAACACUCCUAUAUAUUUGAACACAUGAACACGUGUUCAAGGUUAUAUAUUUCAUUACCUUCACAAUAGGUACCAAACCGUACCAUGCGAACAUUCAUAUACGCACAACAUACUUAUAACAUACCUACACUAUGGGAACACUCGUGUAUAUUUGAAAACAAGAAGACCUGUGCACCACCGUGCACGGUUCACAUGAAGUAAGAAGAUGAAGAGGAAAUAAAGAAGAAGAAUACAAAAGAAAAUGGAGAUGAGAAGAAGAAAAAAAAACACGAAUAAUGAAAAAUGAAUUGACAAUUAUAUAUGGUUGACAUUAGAUCUAAUAUUAUAUGUAACAACUAAUGAUCUAAAAUAAACAUUAAAUUAAACAAUAAUUAAAAGAUUUGACAAUAUAAAAAUUUACACGUCAGCAAACCCACCAUGGUAAGUUUGCUGACGUGUAAAAAUAGUCAAUGGACUAUAUCGAAAAAUAAUUGGCUUACAUCAAAAAUUAAAAUCACGUGGGUUAUUCCUAAGAAACCUUAAUAUUUUUGGGUUUAUAUAUUUUUUGUAUUUUUUUUUUAAAAAAAGAAAAGAAAUCUGACCAUGUAUGUAUGAUGAUUGUUGGUAAAUUUUAACAACAAUAUUAAAACCUUGCAAGUGCACAAAUCAAAUGAUAGUAUAGUAAGCAAGCAAGGGUCGAUCCCACAGAGAUUGUGAUCUAAAGAGAUGUUUAUCAAUGUCACGCAAUGAAAAUCAAAACAAAGGACUUCCAAACACAAGCCAACACCAAGGGGGGUUUUGAUUUGUUUUUGUGAAUCAAACAAAAUAAGGAAAAGGAAACAAAAGAGAAUUUAAAUUAGAGUUUAAGAGAAAUUGGUUUAAAAACAAUCAAGAACAAUAGCUAGGACUUACUAUCCACCUCCAAACAAUCAAUCAAUCCAUAAACAACAAUAGAUAAUCAAUUUCUAGCAAGCAUAUGAUGACGACACUCACAACAAGAUCAUGGCAUUUGACUCGAGUUGUAUGAUUCUCUCUUAAGUGUAUGUAAAGUGUAUGGCAUUUACAUCAAUACGUGUAUUCUUAAUUAAAAUCUAGUAUGACAUUUACUCAAAUUAACAAUCAAGAAUCCAUUAAGAUCAAAGAGAAUAUGAGUGUCACAAAAACCCUAAAACAUGACAUUUGUUAUUAGGAAUUCAAGAAUCGAUUUCUCAUAACUAGUUCUUAACCCAAUUAUUCGUUGCAAACAAGAACACAUUCAAUAUGGCAAUUGACCUAUGUUCUACAACAAUUUAAUUCCAAUACAUGCUUCUAAGUUAGCUACUCAAAGAAACAAAAUACCAGAAUUCACAUAACAUAGAGAAACCGAAAUCAUCACGCUUGUAGAAACUAAAAAUCCAUUAAACUUGUUUAUAAAAUUGAAAUCAUGUCUAGGGCUUCAAGAUUAAGCCCUAACUAACAAGAAAUUAGUUACUCAUGGUCUUGGAUGAACUCAAAAAUAAAUACAUAAGAACUGAAAAUUAAAAGAAGGAAGGAAAAGAAAGAACUCGUUCGCAGCUUUCUCCUCUUGCGCAGUUGACCUCUUUAGGACGUGAAUCCUUUUUAUCAGGCCUUGGCUCGUCUUUUAUAUCACUUAUAUCAGAGUUCUAAACCCUAAAAUUGACUGAAAAGUCGUCCAAGAAGUCUUGAUAAACAAGGAAUCCAAAUAGGAAAGUAAAAAUCACAAUUCCUAACUCCACUGGGAUAUACAGCUCAGCCCAAUGUUCACACGAUUUGGGGAUCUUCGACCUUGUAGAAAAAUUAUUAAAAAUAUAUUUUAGAAAGAUAAAUGUCUUAUCUUUCCAACAUAUAUAGCACGUAACUUGAAAAAUUUGGAAAGGCUUCCGUUUCUUCACAUUCACGUAACAUGUACGAAACUGUCCUGUCUGCACGUGGGCUAACUUUACUUGUAAUACUGUACCAAUUGGCUCGGUAGAAAAUUCUAGAAAAAUAAUAGAUUGAACUUCAAGAUGUUAGCUUUCAUCUCCAAUUGGUCUUGUGCUAAAAUUCCUCCGAAAAGUUGAUUUUCCCUUAAAAACCUUCUAAGAGCGCAGAAAAGCUGAAAAUCAGAAGAAUAAAGUAAUAAGCCCUUUUUAAAUCUAAUUCUCUUACAAAACCAAAGUAAAAAGAGUACAUAAAUGAGUAUAUUUAUGGACUUAUCAAUGAUGAUAUGCAUGUUAUUUUUAGACCUAAGGUAAAACAGACAAACUUUUUACUCCAUUUUUCAUGAGGUUUAUCACAAUAAUUAAACUGUUAUGUCCUCCAUUUUAGAUCUCAUGCUUCCAUUUAAAGAAAAGAAUAUCAACAACAAAAAAAAUAAUAAAGUUACAACAUUGAUCAAUUCAAAUGUCCAACUACCAGAUCAUGAGGCCCUACACUUAUAGACUACGCAUUUUCUCGUAUUUUGCAAAAUUUAGACCAUUAUAAUAAUCUAACCCCUUCAAAUGUGAAACAUCAUCAAGUUUUUUUUCCUUCACUAAACAGAAGAGUUAAGUUUUAUUUGUGGGUAACUAAACUCUUGUUUAGAGCAUGUUUUUUAUUAUUUUUUUCUUUCUUCUGUGUAAAGUAUAAUGGGUUAGAUUAUUAAUUGUGGGUGACUAAAAUCUUGUUUAACAACAAUAGUUAACGUUUGUUUAGAGAAGAAAAAAAACUUGAUGAUGUGCCAUGUUCUAAAGGAUUAGAUUAUUAUAAUGGCCUAGAUUUAGCGAUAUGCAAAUAAAUGCGUAGUGUCUUAAUGCAGAGGCUCGGGAUCCCCUACUACCAUUGAAACAUAAGAAACUCAAAUCUUCACGAAAAUGCUAUCAAUUGAAAAAACAAUAAUUAAAAAACAAAAAAAGGAAGGGAAUUUGCACCUGCUAUGCAAAAAAGAGCAAGUCGGUUCAAUGAUUUUUUUUCUUCUUCUUUUUGUUAUGGAAAUGAAAAGCUCAAUGAUAGGCUAUAUAUAGGAAGAAAAAAAUGGUGCACACCAGUAACUAAGCUUGUUUUGCGUUUGGUGGCCCACUGUAAAAGCUCAAUGGAUGUAACACCCCGACUCCAAAUUAAAUUCCCUAUCUAAAUUAUUUAAUUUAAUUAAAUAUGGAAUUUCCAAUUUACCCUUGGGGUAGGGGUAUUUUGGUAAUUCUCUUAUCCAGAGAGAUUUUGGAGCAACAAGUGGUAUUUUUAGGUAGAUCAUACUUAGACGAGUCCGUAGAUACGUAGUGGGCUCGAUUCGGAGUUGUAAUGAAGAAGUUACGAUCAAAACAAGUUUUUUUUUUUUUUUUUGGAGAAAUUCUAUAUGAUUGCAUUCAUAAUUCAGCCAAAAAAGCCACUAGCCACAAAUGGUCAAUACAAACUAGCAACAAAAGGGCCAUUACAAUAACGGAGCGGUCUAAUAUCAAAAUUAAGAAAAUCAGGUAUGUCUCCACUAACGAUCAGGCAAGAUCGAAGAAACUCUGGCAUAGGCAUCCCAACUAAGAUUGCAAACUUAGAAUAAUAAAAAAGAGAUAAAGCUUGAAAAAACCAAGCCAUAACAAUACAAAUAAAACUCUCACCAAGGAUAGAUGAAAAGCUGUCACAAAGGAGAAAUGAAAAACUCUCACAAAAGGAGAGGUGAAAACUACACAGACAACCCAAAGAGUCUCUGCAACUUAUUCCAAACAUAAAGAAAAUGCAAAAAAGAUGGUGGUGGAGAUCCGACGCCGAAAUGCAGGUGAAGAUCCAACGUUGAGCCGCAGCCGCCUAUAAUGGUUGGAUGAAAAUCCUAACAAAACUAAGAAAAUAGGGACAACCAUUUAUCUUUGAAAAUGGGGGAAGAGGUGAAAGGAGGAAGAAAGGAAGAGAAGAGGGGAGAGGAGGGAAGAACAAUGGCUUUCUCCCCCUUCAAAGUGGAAAAGGCUCUAAGAGUGUUUUUUGGGAGAAAGGGGGCACGAUCAAAACAAGUUUAAUAGCACAAUCAUAAUUAUUUCGAAGUUGGUUUUUAAUAAAUCAGAAAACACACACACACACACACACACACACACACACACUCUCUCUCUCUCUCUCUCUCUCUCUCUCUCUCUCUCUCUCUCUCUCUCCCGUGCGAUUCUUCCUCCCUCGUCAAACAGCAGCGGUGGUUUUUUCCACCGCCACUGCCACACGCCACCAUACGAGGUGGCACCGGUCCCAAAAGGACACCCAGCUCAUCCUCUUCCAACCCCAGCCAAGCCACGCCGCCAGCAGCAACGAGAUUUGCUGGAAACCGCAGAAAAUCCUGCCGGUUUUUCCUAAACUUCAAACCUCUCGUUCUCUCUCAUUUCUCCACCGAUUUGGAUGUAUAGGGUAUGGAUUUCCACCUAUUUUUCAUGAUCUAGCUGAUGGUAAGGUAGGAUUUCAUUAAUUUUGAGCUUAGGUUAGUUGAUUCUCUAUUUGAAAUUCUGCCGGUUUUGGGAUCGCGUUUUCGGCCAUUUCCGGUCACUUUUUGGGGUAGGCCCAAGAACAAAAGUAACUCCAAAUGGGGUUUUACACCUAGGGUAGGAGUCUGGGCCUGAUAUUUUGAGGUUUUUUCGGCAAGUGUUAUCGCUUUAGACACCCACGCACUGCCCGUGCGUGGGCACUGUAGCAAAGGUGCAUUUUUACCCCAAUGUGUUCCCCUACUUGUCACGAGUUCGUGGGUGUGCUCGGAUUCCAAUUCGUAUAUCGUUUGACUAUCGAACAGAUUUACGCCUAUUGUGUGUCAUCCGGGUUCAAUUUGUUCGGACCGUUGGAUCGAGUUCAAAUUAAUAUAUGUUGAUCUAGGCACUCCUAGGAUCGUGUAGGAAUUCACGGAUCGUGAAUCGAAGCCCCGGAUGUUCCUAUUCAAUAACUUAAAAUUUGUGUUAAACGAUAACCGUCCGAUCGUGCAAUCGCGAGCGAUCCGACUGCUCGAUCGAGACCAAACUCUUGGGAUGUGUUUAGGAAACUCUGUUGGACCUUUAGGAACUUUUGGAUUGUAAUUGGGAGGUUGUGGGCCCCGUGGGCCAGGUUGAUUAUCGGUUGACUAAUUUGACUAGUGGGACCGGAUAGUUGACCACGAGUCUUUGGAGAACAUUUUGUCUCUUGUUAAGUACUAAGAUGGCCUUAGGGUUUUACAAGGACGUGCACCCCCUGUGAGUCCUGAGAGUUAGGAUUUUGAAUUAAAGUUCAGUGUUGGAUUUGAGUAUUCAGUUAAUCUUGGUAUUCUCUCAAAUAGGUUCUUUGGCGCUAGGAAUCGUUCUUGACAAAACCGCGGAGGGUUGAAUGCGCUUUGGACCGUGUGUGAGUAGACAUUUAUUUUCUAAAUGGUUUUAUGAAACUCUUGGAUUGUGAUUAUAAUUUGUGUUGUUUUAUGGAUUUGAUGAUUUAUGGUUAUUAGUUUUCUAAUAGAAUAUUAUGCAUAUUCGAAUUUAGUUUGAAAACUAUUUUGAAAGAAUUAUAAAUGGUUUGAAUCAAAUAAUGAAAUUGGGGUUUUAUCUCGGUUUUAAAGAGAAUUUUGAUUAAUUAAUUAAUUAUAAUGCAUACUUGGAACUUUAUUUGGUUUUGAAAGAUUUGUGUUUUAUUUGAGAUAACUAAGAAGGGAUUUGAGAAACAGUGUGGUAAAUAGGGAUUUGUGGAAAAAAGAAAAGAAAAAAAAAAGGGCUUUUAUGAUUAAGUGUUGGAAUUGGAUUUCAAACCCACCCUAGAAACCUAUCCCUGGUUGCCUACAAAAUGUAUGAGAUGCCUUGGGAAUAAAUGAGUUGCCUCGGAAAAGAUAAAAAUGGUUGCCUUUGGAAAAAGUGUAAUAAGUUUCCUUCGGAAAUUAUGGUUGCCUUCGGUUAAGUCUGUGCACAUAACUAAGAUUGUCUAUACCUACAUAGAGACUACUCUGUAGGUAUCCGGCCAGAGUAUAUUGUCUGUACCUGUGUUGACUAUGCAGGUGUCCGGCCAGUGAUUUGCCUGUACCUACAUAGAGAUUACUUUGUAGGUGUCCGGCCAGUAUUUUGCCUGUACCUGCUUAUGUGGUUGUUCGGCCAGGAUUUUCCCACUACACCUAUCUGAUUGUCUAUAUAGGUGGUUGAUGUAACACCCAGACUCCAAAUUUAACUCUUAUUUAAAUUAUUUAAUUAUUUAAGGGGAAUUACAAAUUUACCCUUGAGAUAAGGGCAUUUUGGUUAUAUUCUUAACCGGAGAGAGUUUGGGGUAGGUCCAAGAACAAAAGUGGCUCCAAAUAGGGUGUUAUACCUAGGGUAGGAGUUUGGAGCCGUGGUUUUGAGAUUUUCCGGCGAAGCUUUAUCGCUUUGGGCACCCACGCGCUGCCGGUGAGUGCGGCGGCGCAUGGGCACUGUAGAAAAAGUGGCAUUGUGUCUCGAUGAGAUCCUUAGGUUGUCACGAGUGCGUAGGAUUUCGCGGAUCUCAAUUUGGACGUCGUUUGACUAUCGAACGAAUAUCGCCUAUUGUGCGUUAUCCGGGUUCGAUAGGUUGGGACCGUUGGAUGGUCCCAAAUUUAAUACAUGUUAAUCUAGGUAUUUCUAGGAUCGUGUAGGAAUUCACGGAUUGUGAAUCGGAGCCCUGGAUGUUCCAAAUAAGAAUUUUAAGUUUAUAUUUUAUAUUAACCGUCAGAUCGUGCGAUCGUGAGCGAUCCGACCGUCAGAUCGUGCGAUCGUGAGUGAUCCGACCGUCCGAUAUGAACCAAACUUGCAGGACGAGUGUCCUAUACCUUGUAAAACCCAUAGGGACUUUCGGAUCGGAAAUUGGAGGUCGUGGGCUCCGCAGGUCCGUUUGACCAGGGUUAAGGUAGUUUGACCCUUGGUUGACUGUGAGUCUCCCGGAGUAAAUCUCACCUACUUUUCAUGCUCUAGCUGCCUGUUGGGUAAGAUUGGAUCGAUUCUUAGCGUAGCCAAUUCGAUUUUCGAAUUGAAAUUCGGCCGAUUUUGGGAUCGCGAUUCCGGCCACUUCCGGUCAGUUUUUGGGAAAUGUCCAAUUUAUAGAGGAGACUCUGCCAAAAUUUCGGCAGGAAGUCUCGGUCUUUAGUAAGUGGGCCUGGCAUCGGGAUGAUGUCGGGAAUUCCAAAGGGUUUGCCUCGGGUUCUGAAAAAUUCGGGGCGGGUCCUUUCAGUUGAUCAGUUUUCCCCUAUUCUCGGUUACCUCAGUAUAUUGUCUGUACUUGUAUCACAAAUGCGAGUGUCCGGCCAGUGAUUUUUUCCCAGGAUGUUCCCCUGCCACCCUGCCGAUUUAUUACACAGGGUAGGCCAGUUAUUUUCCCCAUAGGUGUACUUGCAUGGAGAGAUUUCGUAUAACUUGGUUUGAGAUUGGAUUUUUGGAUGAUUUGUGUUUGAGCUUGCUUGAUUUAUUGGAUUCAAAUGAUGUUUUGAAACUGGAUUUUUAUGAAAUUAUAUUUUGAGUUGUAUUGGAUUUAAAUGUUAUUUGAAGUACAAAUUUGGGUCAAUGAUAUUUUAUUUACUAGAGUUUAUUUUACUUGCACAUGUAUUGAUUAUAUUUUGUUCCUGUAUAUAUACUUAUGUGUAUUAAUGAGUUUUCCAAAGGUUUGCAAAAACAGAGGGGUUAGUAUGUUCUGUAUAAUUACUUUCAAGAAAAACUUUCUUUUUGUCUACUCAUGCUUUUACUGUUUUGUGCCCCCAUGAAGUAGAUAGCUCAGCGUUCGGACAUCUACAUAAGCUACUCCGACGUCGGUGAAGUCCUUAUAAUUCUAAGUAUGAGACUUCAUCUUUCGUUCUCAUGGUUCAUUUGGAAAAUAAUUUUGUAAAUUCAACUUCUGUAGUUGCUCUGAUAUUUCCCACUUAGGAUUGAAAUUGAGGCCGGAGGCCAUGUGAAUUUUAUGUGUGCCUUAACUUGUGUGUGCUGCCUGUUGAGAUUAUUAGAUUGUCGGUAAUUGCAGGUGUUAAUUUGGAGAAAGUCCAUUUUAGAGAGGAGACUUUACCGAAAAUUUCGGUAGAAGUCUCGACCCUUUUAUCUUAAAAGUUUGGGUGAAAGGUGUAAAUUUAGUAGUGGGUCCGGCAUCUCUUAGGUGUCGGUCAGAUAGCAGGAUUCGACACGAGUUCCAAUGGGAAAUUCGGGUCGGGUCCUGUUAAUGGAGAUGGUUUGAGGUAGAAUUUUCUCCUAUUUCAAUUGGACAAUGAUGAGCUCUAUGUAACAACAAAUUUCUUUAAUAAUGAUAACUAAAAAAAGUGUGAUUCAUUGAAUAUUUGAGGGGUUUUGUUCUAAGUUAACACAUCAAAUUCCUUUUACACCAUCAAAUUCAAAAAAUUUAUUCAACCAUCUCGACCUUAUGCUAAAAAUUUAUUUUGUUCAAACGUAACGUACUAGGUAUUUAUUUUAUAUCAACGAGUACGAUGGUCCAUAUAAGUAUUCUAAUCAUUCACUCCAGUUGCAGGCCCUAAUAAUUUAGAAGGGCUGAUGGUCUUUUUUUUUUUUUUUUUUUUUGGUUGAGAAAUUCUAUGAUUGCAUUCAUAAUUCAGCCAAAAAAGUCACUAGCCAAAAAAGGUUGUUACAAUAACAGAGCGGUCUAAUAUCAAAAUUAAGACAAUCUGGUAUGCCUCCACUAACAAUCAAGCGGGCCAAUGAUCUUUCAUUUGAUGAAAGCUUCUAUCUACCGACCCCGCUAUAUGAACUAUGCAAUGGUGAUGGUGUUACAUUGCUAAAAACAAAAAGUCAAGGUUUCUUAUUAAUGUUAAUGAAGGCAUAGCAAAAAAUUUGUAGCUCCAAUAGUUCAGAGCAGUUACCCAUGCACUUGAAAUUCUGUGUUUGAAUGCCCUCUCCCCUAAUAUUGCUUGUAUAAAAAUAAAAACUUCUAAAAAGACAUUAAUAUUGUAUUCUAUAUUCUAUAAAGUGUUGGACAUGUUUUACAUUGUUGACAACCCCUUAACAUUUUGGUGGUGCCUAGUUAUAUUCAAUUCGUAUGUAUUUAAUUUGCCACUUACAUUCUUUCCUUAAUACAUUUAGGCUUAUUUUUAUACUAAUUUCUCUAACAUAACUUUUGCACAUUCUUUUAGUCUCUAAUAUAUAUAUUUUUUAAUAAAUAAUCUUACCCACUUGAGUUAUAAACUAUUUUCUUUUAGCACAGAAAAUUGACAUUUUGACAAAGAGUUGAAAACCACUCCCCAAUUUUAAUGUCAACCACUUGAAAAAAAAAACAUAAAUUUAAUGAAAACAAUUACAUUUAGCAAUGCAACCUAAAAACUCAACCUUUGCCCCCCUUUCGCAACCCAGAUAGCAGGGUGAGGAUAUUCGGAUAAGAACCAAGACAGAAGCCAAAGGAACUGCGAUAGCCAACCAGAGGCUCCAUUUCUUACCAUCUGAACAACGCCACCAUUUUGUUUGGUAAGUAUUUAAUAACAUUUCUUGCUCUACAUAAAGUAAUAUUAAAACGAAAUUUGCCUAAAUUUUUCUUACCAGCAAUCCAUAUGGAAAAAGAAAAAAAGAAAAAAGAAAAAUACAAUUAUACUCAAUAUAGGAGCCCAAAUUAUUUAUAGUUAAAAAAUCCCUAUAUGAAAUGAACUUUAGAAACACACUCAAAACCUAUUUACAACAAAACAAAAAGACUUUUAACUUCUUUUAAAUUACAAAACUAUCAUUGAUUUCUUAAACAAACCCAACCCCAAAACCUCAUAAAUAAAAAAAGCUCAAAAUACUCAAUAAAACAUCAAAGUAAUUUAAUAAUUAAAAUUAAAUUCAAUAGGGACAUCUGUUAUUUUUUGGGUUUUUUUGUUUGUUUAUAGAAAUUAAAUGAUGUAGAAUCUAUCUAUAUUAUUAGUGCUAAGAAUGGAUAUGUGACUAUAUAACUCAAAAAAAAUUUAUAGUAAAUCUACAAUUUUUUUUUAAACAAAAAUCUAUAGAAUCUUUUAUUAGAUCAAUAAUCAAUAGUCACUACUAGAAAAUCUUCAUAUAAGCCACUAAUACACCCGUAACUUAUACAAAUGUGAGCUACUGACAAACCUGUAGCCAAAGAGUAUUGGCCACCUACCACACGACAGUGGUCCAAGCAUAAUGUUGUCAUUCAUUAUUCCCCACAGCAACCAGCAUCCAAUAAAGGGCUGGGCCCCACCCAUAUUCCACCUCUCUUUGUGAAUAUAAAAGAAAUAUUUUUUAUUCAACAUGGACGCAGAAACUGUUGCUAAACUGCAAACUUCUUAAAAUAUUUGUCUCACUUUCUAGAUCCAUGUACUGAGAUUUAUUAGGGAAAUAUUGUAGAAACUGAUUAUUUUGAAAUAUUAAAUGUGAAAAACUGAACAAAAAUUUGAUGGAUUACAUAUUUCAACUCAUUUCAGCAGCUUAGAUUUUGAAGACCUCUGAAGAGGCUAUGCAAUGAGCCUGGCUAUAGUACACUGUUGAUCACUUCAGUGUCUACCGAUCUGUAAUUUUUCCAGAUUGGUUAUAUUUUCCUUUACAUAUGUAUGCUUAUAUUAUUCCCAGCUGUAAGUGUUUUAGCAACAGGGUUACAAACUUCUUCUACAACACACCAACAUGAAUCUAGCCCUGAUCCACUCUUCACAUACUUGAAAACAAAACAAAACACGAAAAACAAAAAACAAGAUAGGGAGAAAAUGGCCUUGAUCAAUAACAGAGAUAAUAGAGUACACUGUUUAGGGUGAGUAUCAGAAGAAUAAUAGCCGCAAAGAGAGAAAUAGCUGCCCAAGGUGUGUUGAAAUACUUUUGUCUCAAAUUUGCCUUCCAUCUGUUCGUGGUCUUCUUGCAGUACUCGUUUAGUUUGCCAGCAAGAUCACCAAAAUAGUAGUUUUCGGAGCAACUUUACUGCAAAGCUUGUUAAUCAUAAUGGAAACCUGAUUGUUGUCACCUAGCGUGUUUACAACAAUUCCAUUGUCAACAAGCAACUCUACAUCCUUUGGGGUGUUUACAAAUUUAUCCAGGAUGAAAACAUAAUCGCUUAUGUAUUUAUCCACGCAAUGGCAUUGUUCAAAGGCAAUGAGAUUUCUAUGUGUAAGCUCUGUGUAAUCAUGUAUUUCAAUUUUUGGAAUUUCCAAGGUGUUUUUCUUGAACUGUAUAUCGAAUAAGUUCUUGCUUGAUCCCACGUUAAACUUAACUCCGGCCUGGUGUAGUUUUGUCAUGCUGGGUGUACUUUGGAGCCCUACAUUUUCUUUUAGGGUCGGAUCUGGCAGAUGUAAAGGUUUUUUAGGAUCAGGUGGCAUAAAAGACUUACGGAAGGCUGGUGAGUUCUCCAAGUUUUUUCUAAACGGAAGAACCUGUAAGAGAGUUCAAUUAUUGAAGGCUCCCCAGUCUGAGCAGCUGUGAGAUUGUAAAGAUCCUCGAGAAUGAAAAAUGGCAGCUGAUUUUCGAGCAUAAGCAUGUCAGGCAAUAUAUUUUGUGGCACCCAUGGUUUUUUAAAUAUCCAAGCAUUAUCAUCCUGCAAUUUUUCUUCCUGAAAUUUUUCUUCGGAUUUAUUCCUCAACAAUAGCUCAAUGACAAAGGCGGCGUCAACUAGAAUGAUAUUCACAAAAGCAGCAAUGUUAAAACUUCUUAGUGUCUUCAUAACAAUGACGGAGAUCACCUUCUCUCUCCUUUAUUUUCUCUAAAUAAUCCUUCAAUCCUACUACUUUAGUCCGAUUAAGAAAGCAUUUUAGGUACCUGAGUUUGUGAUCUUCCAUGGCUUCUAAGUUUUUGCUGGCAUGGUGAAGUGGGUCUAUUGAGACUACUUGUGGUGUGUAGGCCUUUUGUUUUACGUUCCGUAGUCGCUCAGGCACCCUGUAGAUCCAGCAGGCAGGGGACAGGGCACGCAAGUUUGUCAACCGAUUUUCCAUGGAAGUUGCUUGGUUUUCUAUGUCAAAAGAAGCUUCAUUGCUGCUUUCUUCCACUUUCUUCAUCCCCGUAUGUGUUGUUCUGAUUGUAAGUGACGAGGAUGGUGAUGAUUCUAGACACCAUAAUCAACAAAUGUUUCAAUCAUAAUUGACAUUUCAAGAUGCUCCGACAAAAAAUUAGAAAACAUUCAUCACACAAUGCGAACUCAUACAAUAGAUGGGUUGAGAAGAUCCACACAUUGCAAUCAUACAAUCCAAUUGCACAGGGAUUAGUCCCUAUUCUCCUCUCUCUCUCUCUCUCUCUCUCUCUCUCUCUCUCUCUCUCUCUCUCUCAAAAAGAUUUUCAUAUCGAUAACAUCUUAUUGCAAGGGACUGGUACAUCAAGUAGUGAAGAACAGAAAUUCAUAUUCUUUCAAUCAAAAUGUAUAAAUUUUGAAAAAGUUUGUUUUAUUUUUGGGGGAAAAAAAUCUGAACAUAUAUGUAUGUGCAUAUUAUACGUAGAUCUAAGGUGAAAACAGACCAGAUUUUUACUCCAUUUUUCAUGAGGUUUAAGUUCAUGAUGUAUAUAUUUAUCUCAAGUGUAACAUCUCACAUCGAUCAACGGAGAUGAGGUGAUGUGUCUUAUAUGUACAUGCUCGCCUCCAUCUAGCACAAGGCCUUUUGGGAGAUCACUGGCUUCGGAGUCAUAGGAACUCCGAAGUUAAGCGAGUUGGGGUUAGAGCAAUCCCAUAAUGGGUGACUCACUGGGAAGUUGCUCUUGAGUUCCCAAAAACAAAACUGUGAGGACAGAGAGGGGGGCCCAAAGCGGCCAAUAUUAUUCUACGGCAGAGCCGAUCCUGGGAUGUGACAAUUUGGUAUUAGAGCCACACUGCCGUGUGGUGCGAGUGUGCCGAAGAGGACGUUGGGCCCUUGAGGGGGGUGGAUUGUAACAUCUCACAUCGACCAACAGCGAGGGAGUGAUGUGCCUUAUAUGUACAUGCCCGCCUUCAUCUAGCACGAGGCCUUUUAGGAGCUCACUCACUUCGGAGCCAUAGGACCACCAUCCCAAGUUCAAUAUACAACCCAACAACCAUCUUAGCCAUCUUCUCAUUGAUCUUCCACCCAGCAUCCAACACUAUCUUCAUAAACUCUUUAGCUUAAUAUCUCUGUUGCUUUUGUUUUUUGUUUUUUUUAAUUUAAAUUUUUUAGUUUUUUUUUUUGGUUGGUGCAGAUUCAAUGAUAAAGAACAUCGAACUCGUCGCAACAUCCUGCCCUAGAUCCGAACUCUACCACCAUCACAACCCUCCCUCUCUCGAUCUCCAACCAACCUUAACACCCAACUUCAAAUCUUGGUUGUUUGAAACUCAGCCCCCUUCUCAAACCCCACCCUCUCUCUCUCUCUCUCUCUCUCUCUCUCUCAAAAUCAACAAGAUUUUCAUGUCAAUAAGAUAAGAUCUCAUUGCAAGUGACUUGUAGAUGAAGUGGGAAAGAACAAAAAGUCAUAUUCUUCCAAUCAAAACGUAUCAAGUCUAACAAAAUUUCUAGUUAGUUUGCUUUAUGAUAGUUGUUUUUUGAAGGGGUCCUUAGAUCCAAUCUCAAAAAGUUUGACUUUUAUUAUGUUUAACUCUGGUUUUUGCAAAUUUUUUUUUUUAUCUCUACCCACUAACUUUUAUCUCUCAUUUUUAUUACCCAUUUUACCCUUUAAAAUAAAUAUGGUAAUAAACUAAAAAUUCUGAUUCAAUGCAUGUUCAUAAGAGAAUUAAGGCCCCGUUUGGGAUUGCUUUUUUUCGUCAAAAACUUGUUUCACUUUAAAGUUAAGCAGUUUAAGGUGUUUGGUAAAAAUAAAAUAUCCUGAUUAUUUUAAAAGCAGUGGCCUUUUGACAGCUGCUUUUAAAAGCAGGUUCUGGGUUGCUUUUCAAAGCUGCUUUCAAAAGAAGCAAAGAUGAACUUUUAAUGAAUGUUUUUUAAUUCCCAAAAUACAAUCAUUCAUUUUAAAAAAUGACACCACCUCCACUUCCACAUCCAACUCCACCACUUGCACCACCACAUUCACUACCUCCACAACCACCGCCAUUACCACCACCACCACAUCCUUCUCCUCCUCAUCCUCCGCCACCACCACCAGAAGCAGAUCCAGAAAUUUUUCAGGAGAGGGGCAAUAAUGAUUUUGAUACUGCCCAAUUAAAAACAUAUUAUGAAAACCAGACCCUUAGUUAAUUUAAAGAUUAAUUAGCACGAUAAAAUAAAUACAUAAUUAAUAAUAAAAAUAUAUUAUCACAGUGAAAGAUUAGAUCAACAAACAAGUAGUAUCAAUCAAAUCCUAAUUAAACAAAAACUCUAAUAUCAAAGUGUGAUUUGAGAUCAUUGUGCAAGGACUCUUCUUCGUUGUUGUUUUUUAUUAUUUAAUUUUUUUGACAGAUGGGCUUCUUCAAAUUGGGAGCAUUGAGGUAAGCCUUUUGGUAUUACAUUAUUAUUAUUAUUAUAAUGAAAUAUUUAUUAUAACAACCAAGUAAUUGAAGCCAAACAAUGAAUCUUGAAACGGUUUGCACAAAAAACGAAGAGUUUGAAUUUUUGAAAAACACUUCAUUUAAACCAUUAAACAUAGAUCAAGGACGACGCCGUUUGUGACAAAUAAAAAUAGGGUUGUCUUCUUCAUUCGUGAACCAGAGCCUCCAUCAGGACACACCUCUACAACUCCUCCUCUACAACACAGUGUGUGCCUCAAUCGUGUAACUUGCCAUUUGCGAUUCAGGAGGCCUUAGAUCGUCGCACUCACGAGAUGCGCCUUGAUACACUUUUAAACGCUAGANNNNNNNNNNNNNNNNNNNNNNNNNNNNNNNNNNNNNNNNNNNNNNNNNNNNNNNNNNNNNNNNNNNNNNNNNNNNNNNNNNNNNNNNNNNNNNNNNNNNNNNNNNNNNNNNNNNNNNNNNNNNNNNNNNNNNNNNNNNNNNNNNNNNNNNNNNNNNNNNNNNNNNNNNNNNNNNNNNNNNNNNNNNNNNNNNNNNNNNNNNNNNNNNNNNNNNNNNNNNNNNNNNNNNNNNNNNNNNNNNNNNNNNNNNNNNNNNNNNNNNNNNNNNNNNNNNNNNNNNNNNNNNNNNNNNNNNNNNNNNNNNNNNNNNNNNNNNNNNNNNNNNNNNNNNNNNNNNNNNNNNNNNNNNNNNNNNNNNNNNNNNNNNNNNNNNNNNNNNNNNNNNNNNNNNNNNNNNNNNNNNNNNNNNNNNNNNNNNNNNNNNNNNNNNNNNNNNNNNNNNNNNNNNNNNNNNNNNNNNNNNNNNNNNNNNNNNNNNNNNNNNNNNNNNNNNNNNNNNNNNNNNNNNNNNNNNNNNNNNNNNNNNNNNNNNNNNNNNNNNNNNNNNNNNNNNNNNNNNNNNNNNNNNNNNNNNNNNNNNNNNNNNNNNNNNNNNNNNNNNNNNNNNNNNNNNNNNNNNNNNNNNNNNNNNNNNNNNNNNNNNNNNNNNNNNNNNNNNNNNNNNNNNNNNNNNNNNNNNNNNNNNNNNNNNNNNNNNNNNNNNNNNNNNNNNNNNNNNNNNNNNNNNNNNNNNNNNNNNNNNNNNNNNNNNNNNNNNNNNNNNNNNNNNNNNNNNNNNNNNNNNNNNNNNNNNNNNNNNNNNNNNNNNNNNNNNNNNNNNNNNNNNNNNNNNNNNNNNNNNNNNNNNNNNNNNNNNNNNNNNNNNNNNNNNNNNNNNNNNNNNNNNNNNNNNNNNNNNNNNNNNNNNNNNNNNNNNNNNNNNNNNNNNNNNNNNNNNNNNNNNNNNNNNNNNNNNNNNNNNNNNNNNNNNNNNNNNNNNNNNNNNNNNNNNNNNNNNNNNNNNNNNNNNNNNNNNNNNNNNNNNNNNNNNNNNNNNNNNNNNNNNNNNNNNNNNNNNNNNNNNNNNNNNNNNNNNNNNNNNNNNNNNNNNNNNNNNNNNNNNNNNNNNNNNNNNNNNNNNNNNNNNNNNNNNNNNNNNNNNNNNNNNNNNNNNNNNNNNNNNNNNNNNNNNNNNNNNNNNNNNNNNNNNNNNNNNNNNNNNNNNNNNNNNNNNNNNNNNNNNNNNNNNNNNNNNNNNNNNNNNNNNNNNNNNNNNNNNNNNNNNNNNNNNNNNNNNNNNNNNNNNNNNNNNNNNNNNNNNNNNNNNNNNNNNNNNNNNNNNNNNNNNNNNNNNNNNNNNNNNNNNNNNNNNNNNNNNNNNNNNNNNNNNNNNNNNNNNNNNNNNNNNNNNNNNNNNNNNNNNNNNNNNNNNNNNNNNNNNNNNNNNNNNNNNNNNNNNNNNNNNNNNNNNNNNNNNNNNNNNNNNNNNNNNNNNNNNNNNNNNNNNNNNNNNNNNNNNNNNNNNNNNNNNNNNNNNNNNNNNNNNNNNNNNNNNNNNNNNNNNNNNNNNNNNNNNNNNNNNNNNNNNNNNNNNNNNNNNNNNNNNNNNNNNNNNNNNNNNNNNNNNNNNNNNNNNNNNNNNNNNNNNNNNNNNNNNNNNNNNNNNNNNNNNNNNNNNNNNNNNNNNNNNNNNNNNNNNNNNNNNNNNNNNNNNNNNNNNNNNNNNNNNNNNNNNNNNNNNNNNNNNNNNNNNNNNNNNNNNNNNNNNNNNNNNNNNNNNNNNNNNNNNNNNNNNNNNNNNNNNNNNNNNNNNNNNNNNNNNNNNNNNNNNNNNNNNNNNNNNNNNNNNNNNNNNNNNNNNNNNNNNNNNNNNNNNNNNNNNNNNNNNNNNNUACAAACCACAACCACCAACUCCACGUUCAUCACCACCACUACCUCCACUCCACCACUACCAUUACUACUACCACAACAUGAUUAGUACAUAACACUUUUAACAUCAUGUCUAUUUUAGUCAUUAUUCACAUUUACAACAAUUUUAUAUUAAAAUUUACCAAACGGUUUUGACACUGCUUUUUGUACUAACAGCACUUUAAAAAUAUUGUUUAUCAAACAUGGAGUGCUUUACUUUACAGCUAAUUAUUUUCAAAGCACAGCAAAAGCAAAUUUUUUUAAAAGUGACAGCAAUCCUAAAAAUUCUAUACUCUAACACAAAAAAUAAAAACUAAAAACAAAAAUUAAAAUGGUUAUCAAACAUACACUUAUAUUACAAAGAAAAUAUCAAAUAUUGAACUCAUCAUAAGAGAACACAGAAAAACCUCACCGCUUGCAACUCGUACACCACCACUACACGAACAACUGCUAAUUAAAAUGAGUCACAUGUGGUACUUAACUCUAAAAACUUAUUCAGAUUAUAUAUCGUACUCCUCGAUCAAAACAACCAUGAAACAUAAGUGAUUUAAACCUCUAGGCAAAUGGAAGGUAUAUAACAAUUUAUAGAACAAUACAGUAAUCCAGAAGAAAUAUUAUGAAAUAAAAAGAAUAAAAAGUAAAAAAAGAGAAGGAAAGGAAUUCCCACCUGAUAUGUAUAAGUAUGAAAGGAAGGACCAAGUUUGUUUUGCCUUUGGUUAAUGACUAGAAAAGCUCACUUGCAUAUUGCUUUCUCCGGCCGUAGAUGCAAGAGAAAUUUUCUCUUAAUAAUAGCACAAUGAUCGGGUAAUUGUAAGAACAAGUUGAUUUUAAAUUCAGGUCAAGUCGUAGAUUUCUUGCCUUUUCUAUUCUCCUUCCUUGGACAUGAGCUGUUUAAUCUUGGACUCUUCCCCCAUCAUGUUGGGCCUGUCUUCUUCUUGAGGAUUGUAUAGGCCCAGGAAAUGCUUCAAGGUAGUUUUUGUGUUUUGGGCCUUGAGACCCAACUUCACAAAAAGAAAAUAGAUUUGACCAAAAAACAAAUUUGAAGGAUAUUGAAAUUGUACCUGUAGGAUAGGUUAAAACACCAUAAGGGAGGUAAAUAGUACGUUUACAGAAUUUAAGUGUAAUAAUUGAAUAAAAACAUGCCCAGAGGAUUGAUAAGUGAUAUCAAUUCUUGAAUAUACAGAACGUAAAAUAAAGGAACACGUAGAAAAUUAUUUUAUGUGGUAAAACUCUAUCUCUGGGGAACAUCCACGGGGCUUUUUAGUCCAAAAUAAUCCAUUAUAGAACGAUGAUUACAAGAAGUAUUCACACACUUAUCCUAGACACAUUCUAGAUUAUGUUUACUGACCUCUUCUCAACUUCUGUCUCGAGAUGAUCUUUCGACACUCCUUAUGUUGAACGCAAUACUGGUCACGAUUUCUUCAAGCUCCCUAGAGUUCUUCCAACUCUCCUUGUAUUGAAUCCGACACUAGUCACGAUCGAUUCAAGCUCAUUGGAGAAAAACUGCCACAACGGUCUUAGUGCCCUCAAUCGUAUGAGUCACUGAACAUGCAAAUGAAUACAAUAUAAAUGAUAAAAGUGUUUGAUAAAUCACCAAGUUAUAGAACACUUGAUGAUUUAUCUCAAAUAAAAAUUCAGCUUUACAAAGUUUAUGAUGAAUUGAAAAUAUGAUCGUUAAAGCUAUCUAAACAAAGAAGACGAAGGUCUUAUUUUAUAGAAUUUUUCUUUACAAGAAAGAAAACACGUUGAAAACCAAAUCUCCAAUUUUCAAGGCUUGACAGAAAAUCACAAAAGUAUCUUUCCUAUUCUAGAGAUUGGUCACAUGUAGUUCAACCAAUAGGAAAUGAGAUAUUCAAGAAAGCAAGAUUUUGAUCAAUAUCAAUAUCAGAUCAAUUCUUAUACGCCUAGUCAACUAUUAAGGGUAUCUUGACUCCUUGAUGUUGUGAUAUGAUUGAAACAUGAUUUCCAUGUUAGAAAAUUAAAGGGAUGUUAAAACAUGAAAGUAAUAGAGAAUCAAAUUGAUGUGGACCAAAAUUGCCUAAAAAGAAAACACUCCUAAAUAAACUUCAAUUCACUUUUAAAAAACAGUAAAACAUGAUUGAUCGUUCUUUAAAACAAUUCCCUAAAUAUACAUGCAUGAUAAUGAUAUCACUUACCCUUAAAUCAAAUUGUCACGCCCCGGACCCGAGGGUCGGGUGGAAACCUCACCGCCCAGUGCGUGAGAAAAUAAAAAGAAAAUAAAAUAAAAAGAAGCCGAACAGGGUUUAAAAUAAACUUCUCUUAUAAAAAUAACUCCAAUCUACAACUUUACAAGAAAUAACUAANNNNNNNNNNNNNNNNNNNNNNNNNNNNNNNNNNNNNNNNNNNNNNNNNNNNNNNNNNNNNNNNNNNNNNNNNNNNNNNNNNNNNNNNNNNNNNNNNNNNNNNNNNNNNNNNNNNNNNNNNNNNNNNNNNNNNNNNNNNNNNNNNNNNNNNNNNNNNNNNNNNNNNNNNNNNNNNNNNNNNNNNNNNNNNNNNNNNNNNNNNNNNNNNNNNNNNNNNNNNNNNNNNNNNNNNNNNNNNNNNNNNNNNNNNNNNNNNNNNNNNNNNNNNNNNNNNNNNNNNNNNNNNNNNNNNNNNNNNNNNNNNNNNNNNNNNNNNNNNNNNNNNNNNNNNNNNNNNNNNNNNNNNNNNNNNNNNNNNNNNNNNNNNNNNNNNNNNNNNNNNNNNNNNNNNNNNNNNNNNNNNNNNGAUUUCAAUUGGUAUUCAGAGCGUCAGCUCUUAAUACAAAUAGAGAGAUCCUAGGAUUUGUUUUGGUGUUUAGGUGUGCUCACUGUGGAACGGGAUCGAGUUGCUGGAUCUUGCAACUCCCCUCCUUAUUUUGAUGGAAACAACUACGCUGCUUGGAGAGAAAAAUUUGAGAUAUUCCUUGAUGCUCUUGAUGAGUACGCAAGUGAGUAUCUCACAAAAGAGUGGGUUGCUCCUGUCAAGACUGUUGAGAGUAAUGUUGUGCCCAAGCCUAGGUCGGAAUGGACUGAAGCUGAGGUGUUUGCUGCAUAUUCAAACAAGAAGGCCAGAAAUGCCUUAGUUACAGCCUUGUCUAGCACACAAUUUUCACAUAUACAACACAUCCUAAAUGCGAAACAGGCUUGGGAUAAACUAAGGGUGGUUCAUGAAGGGGAUGACCAAGUUAGAUCCCUAAAACUUCAGAUGAUGCCUGCACAAUUUGAAGAACUUAGGAUGUCUGAAACUGAGUCUAUUUCUGAGUUCUAUGGGAGAGUUGAGAUGAUCACUAAUGAAGCCAUGAGUCUCGGUCAACCUAUUGAUGAGCUUCUUGUUGUUCAGAAAAUCCUUCGUGUUCUACCAUCUAGGUUUAGAGCAAAGAAAACCGCAAUCAUGGAGGUCCAAAACUUAAAUGAAAUUAAGCUUGGCAAGCUCGUAGGAAAAUUGAAAACCUAUGAGAUGGAGUUGAAUAUGGAAAAGAAUGACACUAAAAAAUCAAAAAAUGUUGCACUUCAAGGAGUGAAUGAUUCCUCUCUGAAAGGUGGUGAAAAAUCCUCAGGUUUUGAGGAUGAGAUGGCUUUGUUUGUCAAAAAAUUUAGGAGAAUUCUUAGGGAUAAAGGAAAGUUUGCUAGAAAGGGCAGCUCUGGUAGUGAGAGACAAGUUAGACCAUCAACUGAUCAGUCUAAUGAGAGGAACAAGGAUGUCAAACCUUUCACUAAAGAUUUUAGAAAAUCUGUCAAGUGCUUCACAUGUGGAGGCAUUGGGCACUAUGCUGCCCAUUGUGCAAACAAUCAGAAAAAAUACUCCAAAGGAAAGGACAAGGCCAUAAAAGUUAGCUGGAGUGAGAGUGAAAGUGAAGUGUCUCAAGGGGAUUCAUUUUUCUCUGAUAAUGAUGACCAACAUGUUGCUUUUGUUGCCUCUGUGCAGUCAGUGUCUGAUAAAUCUGAUUCUGAGUCAGAUGACCUGUCAUACGAGUGAUUAGGAAGAAAAUAUGAUUGUUUGUUCAAAGAGACAUUGUCUUUGAAAGAAGAGAGCCUCAAACUUGAGGCCAACAACCAUGAACUUCAACAUGAAAUCCUCAUCUUAAAAGAAACCAAAAAGGAGUUGAGUGACAAAUUUGUGUCUCUAGAAAAAGAAUUUGUUGCACUUGUGUCAAUUAGGAGUAAUCUUGAAAAUCAAGUUAAUGUGCUCAAGGAAAGUAACAUUGGUUUCCAGAACUCAAACAAAUUGCUCCUAGGUAAAUUGAAUGAAGCAAAAAAGUAAGGUUAUAUCUAUGACCAUUGGUGCCUCAAAAAUUGACAAAAUGUUGACUAUGGGAAAACCUCAUGGGGACAAAGGUGGUCUUGGAUUUAAUCAUUUUGAUUCUAGUUCGUCUAGCUCUACCACUAGGUUUGUCAAUUCAAAAACUCCAACCAUGGCUUCUCUUGAUGCUCAGCCGGUAGUCAAGAAACCUAAGUUUGUUCCAACUUGUCACUGGUGUGGGUUGACUGGUCAUAUUCGAUCAAUCUGUCUUAUGUACAAAAAGGAUAAGACUAGAAAAUUGUCUUCAAAAUCUAAAAAUCCAAGAUCUUUGCAAGAUCAGGUUGAUCAUUUGCUAAAAGAAGUAACUAAGAUUGCAAAACUUGUCUCCCUUAAAAUGUGUUCACCUAUUGUGCCUAAGUCUACUUGGGUUGAAAAAGGUCAUACCAAAUGUCUUGUUGUGCUAAAUGCUUUUGCUGCAUCAAACACCAACUCUUGGUACUUUGAUAGUGGCUGUUCCAAACAUAUGUUUGGUGAUAAGAGUGUCUUCUCAUCUCUCAGUCCUUUUGAUGGAGGCACUGUGACUUUUGGUGGAGGUCACAAGUCUCAAGUUUUUGGAAAAGGUACUGUUUGUAUCCCUGGUUUACCCGAGCUUAAGAAUGUUAGAUGUGUUAAGGGUCUUACAUCCAAUCUCAUUAGUGUGAGUCAGCUGUGUGAUGAUGGAGUAAUAGAAGUUAGAUUCUCCAAGCAUGGGUGCAAAAUCGUUGGAAAAUGUGGCAAUGAGAUUGUGAGCGUGACUAGGUCUAGGGACAAUUGCUAUUGUAUUGAUGGUGUCAAUGAUGAAAAAGAAGUAGUUUGCAAUAAGGUUGUGAAUGAAACAAGUGUCUUGUGGCAUCAAAGGCUUGGACAUGUGAACUUUAGAGACUUGCAUAAAUUGUCCAAGAAAGAGUUAGUGAGUGGAUUACCAAAGCUUGACAAAUCUGAUCAACAUGUUUGUGAAGGAUGUCAAUUGGGGAAGCAAGUUAGAGUGUCUCAUAAGAAGGUCAAACACAUUCAAACACAAGUAAGCCUUGAACUUGUUCACAUGGACAUUGUUGGUCCUAUCCAAACCUUGUCCCUUGGUGGAAAGAAAUAUAUUCUUGUCAUGGUUAAUGAUUUCUCUAGGUUCACUUAAGUCUCAUUCUUACGUGAGAAAUCUGAAACUUUUCUAAGGUUUAAGUCUGUUUGUCAUCUUUUGCAAAAAGAAAAGAUGACUAGUCAUCUGCCUCUUGUUAGAAUUAGAACAGAUCAUGGUUCUGAGUUUGAGAAUUCUCAGUUUCUGAAAUUUUGUGAAGAAAUGGGAAUUAAGCAUGAGUUCUCUGCACCUAUUACACCUCAACAAAAUGGUGUUGUGGAGAGAAAGAAUAGAGUUCUUGUUGAGAUGGCUCGGGUGAUGCUCAAUAGCAACAAUCUUGCUAAACAUUUUUGGGCUGAAGCUGUAAGUACAGCUUGUUAUAUCUCAAACAGGGUAUUUUUGAGGUCUGGUACCAAACAAACUCCCUAUGAGAUUUGAAAAGGAAAGAAGCCUAAUGUGUCAUAUUUUAGAGUCUUUGGUAGCACAUGCUAUAUUUUGAAAGAUAGGGAGCAUCUUCCUAAGUUUGAUUCUAAGUGUGAUAAGGGAAUAUUUCUAGGGUGUUCCACUUUAAGCCGAGCUUAUAGAGUGUACAACUGUAGGACCAGAACCAUCAUUGAGUCCAUAAAUGUCAAAAUUGAUGAUUUUGCUGCCUCUACUGAGAUGGCAUUAGAUGAGAAUGGUCUUUUUUCUCCUCAUCUCGUGCAAGAAUCUCUAGGUCUGGAUCUUGUAGUUGACCUGUCAACUUUCGGAAAUUUUGUCCCAGUUGACCUGUCAACUCCUUCAACCUCUAGUUCCAUCUCAUCUAUCCAAGUUGUCAGCUCCCAUGCUGAUCAUAGCCCUCUCACUCAAACUGAGAGUGUCAUUAUUGGUCCUCUUAAUCAGGGAGUGAGAACUAGGAAAUAAUUAGCUCAAGAAAUUAGUCAUGUGUGUUAUGUCUCAAAAGAAGAACCUAAGAAUGUGAAAGAGGCGUUGAACCAUGGUGAAUGGUUUCUUGCAAUGCAAGAAGAGCUGAAUCAGUUUGUUAGAAAUGAUGUUUGGUACCUUGUUCCCAGACCUACCAAUACAAAUGUUGUAGGUACUAAGUGGAUUUUCAAGAACAAAACUGAUGAGCAAGGUAAUGUUGUUAGAAACAAAGCUAGAUUAGUUGCUCAAGGUUACACUCAAAUGGAAGACAUUGACUUUGAUGAAACUUUUGCCCCUGUUGCAAGACUAGAAUCAGUUAGAUUACUUCUUGCUAUUGUUUGUCACUUAAAAUUCAAACUUUAUCAAAUGGAUGUCAAAACUGCUUUUUUGAAUGGUAUUUUAAAUGAAGAGGUCUAUGUUGAACAACCAAAGGGUUUUGAAGAUCCACAUCAUCCAAAUGAUGUGUUUCAGUUAAAAAAGGCACUCUAUGGUUUGAAACAAGCUCCUAGAGCAUGGUAUGAGAGGUUAUCUUCUCAUCUUCUAAGAAAUGACUAUGUUAGAGGGUCAAUUGACAAAACUUUGUUUGUCAAAAGGUUCAAAAAUGAUGUCUUGAUUGCUCAAGUGUAUGUUGAUGAUAUUAUGGUUGGUUCUACCUCUGACUUGCAUGUUCAAGAGUUUAUUCAUGUCAUGACUAGUGAAUUUGAGAUGAGUCUUGUAGGUGAGCUUAACUAUUUCUUAGGUCUUCAAAUCAAACAAAGCCAUGAUGGGAUCUUUGUAUCUCAAUCGAAAUAUGCAAAAAAUCUUGUGGAAAAGUUUGGUUUUGAGGAUGCAAAAUCUGCAAGAACUCCAAUGAGCACUAGUGCUAAAAUUCAUAGAGACUUGCAUGGCAAAAGUGUGGAUCAAACUCUCUAUAGAAGUAUGAUAGGAAGUCUUCUCUACUUGACUGCUAGUAGACCAGAUAUUUCUUAUAGUGUUGGAGUGUGUGCUCGGUUUCAAAGUGACCCAAAAGAGUCUCACUUGUUUGCUGUUAAGAGAAUCAUAAAAUAUGUGAGUGGGACUGUUGAGUUUGGGUUGUGGUAUACCUAUGACACUUGUGUCAGUCUGGUUGGUUAUAGUGAUGCCGAUUGGGCAGGUUGUAGAAACCCCUCCCGGGGGGGGGGGGGGGGGGGUCUUUUAUGUAGGCAACAACCUUGUUGCUUGGCAUAGCAAAAAACAAAAUUCUGUCUCCUUAUCCACUACUGAAGCAGAGGAUGUUGCAGCUGGGAGUUGCUGCACUCAACUCCUUUGGAUGAGACAAAUGUUGGAAGCUAUGGUCUUGCUCAAUCAUGCUUUCUCAUCUAUUGUGACAACAUGAGUGCCAUAGACAUUUCUAAAAAUCCUGUUCAACACUCUAGGACUAAGCAUAUAGACAUUAGGCAUCAUUUUAUUAGAGAUCUUGUGGAAGAUAAAAUUCUAUCUUUGGAAUUUGUUCCCUUUGAGAAACAGCUAGCAGAUAUACUCACCAAGGCCUUGGACUUUCAGAAACAUGUCACACUUAGGCAGUCCAUUGGCCUUUGCUCAAUUGAUUGAUUAGCUUGUCUGUUCCUUAUCUUCAGCACAUUGCAGAAUUGUUGACUAGUCAUCUUCGUUUUAGUUGACUAGUCAAAUAUUUUUUUGGUGUGUAAAUGUCUAAAACAUAUGCUUCUUCUGAUCUCUGGUGGUAUGAAGUUUGAAUCAUUUUAUGCUUUGCCUGAUUUGUGGAUAAUUCCCCCCUUCUUGUUUGGAGCCAUUAGAUGAAAUCUUUUGGUGUUCUUUCGUCCUCUUGUUGAGACAAGUGUUGUGAUCCAUUAUGGACAAUCAUUGUUAUAAUCUCCUAUCUUUUCUCACUCUCUUAGGCAAUUUGUUUAGCAUUAAACAAAAAAUAAAAAAUAAACAAAAAAUAAAAAAAAUAAAAAAAAGUGUGACCAAUGUAGUCACGACUCUAGGAAGGUAUAAGGUGUUAUGAUUGAAGAAUCUAGAGCAAGAGCCGCAAAAUUGGGCCACUCAAGCACUUAAGUCUAGGAUGUGCAAAUAACAAGGAUAAUAAAUGGCCAGAUUGAGUGAUGAAAAUCAAAUAGGUUGGGUUUAUGCCUUGAGUUUGUCUUGAAGGUUUAUUAUAUACUUGUCUCUCCAAGAGGGGUAUUUCUUCUUCUCUUGUGUUCUUCUUUUGGCUCUGAACCUCCUCUGUCCAUUUUGCCUUAUCUCUGAGCAUGAAAUCUAAUUCAUAUUCUAUCUAUCAGAGUUAGUUGCACUUGUUUUUGUUUGCACAUGUGGUUAUCUUCUCUCUCUCUUCCUUCCUGUGCUUGAAGAUUUGGACUAGGCUAUAGUAGCUAAUAGAUCGUUGAUCACUUGAUAUAUUUGCUAGUUCAUGUUUGUGUUUUUUUUUUAAAAACCCACAAUCUUGUCUUCCACAGGGUCGAUACUAACUUUGAUGCGUGUCAUGAUAUUGCCUUAGUUGACUAGUCAUCUAUGCUUAUGGUUGACUAGUCAUCCGGUUGUGUUAUAUUUGAUGCCCGUCAUGUUAUUGCCUUAGUUGACUAGUCAUCAUUUUUGUGGUUGACUAGUCAUCUAGUUCUGCCUGUUUUUGUUAUUGCCUUGGUUGACUAGUCAUCAUGCUCAUUGUGGUUGACUAGUCAUCAGGUUUUUCUCCUGAACAAUACGUCCUUUUCUUUAGCGGUUAUUCUUAUUAUUUUAUUUUUUUUUCAUUUUUUUUUCUUCUCUUUUUUGUGUUUUGAGCGGUUCUUUUUCAUUGGGGUCAGUUUUCGCAUUUUUUCCUUUUUAGGUCUGUUUCCCUCUUCUUCGUUAGAGUCUACUUUCACUCCCGUUCUCUCUCUGUUCUCUUCAGACACAAACCCAGGCCCCCGCUUCCCUUUCUCCCUCUGUGUUAGUCUCUUCGCCCCUUCUUCCCUCUGUUUUUCUCUUCCAAUUUCUUCCCGCUGACCACCAUGUCGUCCUCCGCGCCCUUCCUCACUUACCAGCGCCGCUCCAAAUCCAAAUCCAAUGACAGAGUGGAUUUUAUACCCUCCAUUCCUAGGGCUCCUAGGACUCGCUCUUCUCACUCUGUUCCCGCUGGAGACUCCUCCCCGUUUGUGUCUCCUGAGGCAGCCUCGUUCUUCGAUGGUGUUGUCUCUAAAAGGAAGUUUGUGCCUGAGAGAGCUUACCAAAUUGAUGCUCCCCCCUUAGCGGCCCAGGGUUCUGCAACUCAGAUUUUUGAGCACUGCCAUCUCCAUUCUCUCAACACUCUGUCUGGUAAGUUCAAUGCUUCUGUCGUUAAAGAGUUUUACUCGAAUUUUCCUGCUGAUCCUAAGGGGUCUAAUUAUCAGUGUGUUGUUCGUUAUGUGCCCAUUACUCUGAGACCCUCUGUCAUUAAUAGGGUUUUAGGUUUUCGGUCUUGCCCUGGUUUUGAUUCUGAUCAGUUUGCUCUUGCCUCUUCUCAAUACACUAUUGAUCUAUUUAAAACCAUGGCCUAUACUGAUCAAACAAUGCCCCUGACUUCUAAAGGUGUUCCUAUGAAGUCUUAUCUGUCACCAUUCUACAAAUUUCUAUGGGAUUUUAUCUGUCACAAUGUUCUCCCAACUAGAAAUAAUUCAAACCCCACUUUGGCUGGCUGUCAACUCAUGAUUUCAAUGGUGAAUCAUGAUAAAAUUCCCUUUGGGGAUAUUCUUUAUCAUGCAAUUCUUGGCAAAACCAUAGGUCAUGGUACAAAACACAAAGGGACUCUUGUCUUCCCAUGUCUUAUCCAGCGUCUCUGUGAGAGAAACCAGGUGGUUUUUCUUGACUCUGAUCAGUGCACUCCUCCUAUUGCUCCAUUUGGCAAGGCUUUUGUUGCCCUUAGCCAAAAAGUUUCAAAAACUUUUCUCACCUCUGUGUCAUCUACUUAUGAAAAUGACUAUCUUAGAUCUCAGCUUGCUACCAAGGAGAAACAUAUUCAACAUCUGUUAAGCCUCAUUCCAUCCUCUUUGGUUCCUGCUGCUGCUGCUGCUGAAGUACAUCCUCAGCCGACUCCUGCCACGGAGGUCUCAGAUGAUUCUGUAGAUUCUGAUGAGUCUGCUGAUUCUCUUGUUUUUUAGCUACAGUGAUCUUGUAGGCAAUGUCCUAGAUAGGGGGAGUAUUUUUGGACAAGUAUAUGUUUGUAAUUCCCUUGUGGAAAUUUGUUUUUGCUUGGGUAGUCUGUGCAUCUUGAUAGGGGGAGUUGUGUUGUAUUAUUUUGAACAAGUGAUUUUUGCUUUGUAAUCAACCUAUGCUAUGUGUUUUUCACUUUGUUCAAAUCUGAUUAUCUGCCUUGUGUUUCAUCCCCUUGUAUGCUGACUCUCUCUCCUUGCACUUUCCUUAUCAACAAGGAGGAGAACACUCUCAACCCCCAUAUUGCAUAUUGUUUCAAAAUUCUGUGAUAUAAUAUGCCUGUUUUUGUGCCUGGAAGAUUGGUUGUUCUUGCAGGUAUCCUCACUUCAUCAUCUCCUUAGGCUUGGUUUUGGGUUGAGUGUUGUUAGAGAGUGUGUUGUCAAGGAAAGCCAAAAAGGGAGAGAUUGUUAAUGUAUGCAUUUUGGGUUUUUCUUUUGGCUUCCCUUGACAACUUUGUAAUAGGAUCUCUAUUGUUAUUUAUCAAGCUCAAGUUUAGAUUGAGAAUAGCUUCUCUAGGUGUUCUUAACUAACAACUAUCAUAUGGAGGUUCAUGCAAAUUGGCAAAGGUAAAUUGUGCAUUGCAUAACAUUGCAUUAUACUGUUUUCAUAAAAUGAUGACUAGUCAUAUGUUUCUUGGAUGACUCGUCAUCCUUGCUCUCCAGCUUGAUAACCAACUUUUUUGUCCUAUUCCUUUUUCUCUCUCUGCUGCCACAUGGGAUUCUGACCUAAGGGUAUUUUUUGGUCUGUAUAGGCCUUGCGAUUCCUCUUUUGGCAAGCCGUCUCUUUUGUGUAGAAUUGGAGGAAAGAUUGGUUUUCUAUAUUUCCGUUCUUCUUCCACAAGAAAGAACAAUAUUUCAUCUAUGAGUUUUUCCAAAUUGAUUUCUUUAUGAAAAAACUGCAUUUGAAAUAUGAAUUUGCAUCUAGCUUCAUAAAAACAUUCUCUCAUUUAUAUCUAGGUCAGAUUCACUACUGAUUUCUUCAAGAGUAUGGUUUCUUGAAGAAAUUGGUUAUUCUCCCUUGAAUCCAAAUUUUGGUUUCUGUUUGAGUUGAGCUUGCAAGCUGGUGCCAUGGGAUGAAUGACUGAAGAAGGAGCUGCCAUUGCCAUGAAGAACUGGGCUUCAAGCUUUGCUAAGUUAGAGAAGAAGAUUGCACAAAGGAGGUAUUGCUCAUCUUCCUAAAUAGAUCUAGGUUUUGCUUGAGCUUGCUUGUGUUCCUUUGUAAGAAUCUUUUUCUACUUAGUUGAUUGCCUGGUCGGUUGAUGACCCCCAGUUUUUUCCCAAUGGUGGGUUUCUGGGUGAACAAUUUCUGAUUGCAUUCUUGUAAUUUUUCUGGGUUUGUGUUCUUGGUGGUCGACUAGUCAUCGUAUGAAUUAUGGUUGACUAGUCAUCAUUAUCUGCUGUUUGGUGUUUGCUUGAUUAUGCUGUCUUCACACGUUUUCACCAUAGUUGUUGCUAGCACAGGGGAUGCCUAGAUUGAUGGGUCUUUCUGAGUGCCUAGGUUGUCACUAGUAAUUCUCUAGGCCUGCAGGUACAUCAUGGUAUGUUCUAUGUAUGUUGUUGUUUGGUAUAAUUCAUAUCUGACAGUUGACUAGUCAUAAGAGUGUGUGAAGUUUGUUGCAUUUUUGGCUGAAUAUCUUUUAAGUUUACCCAUCGUCACCUAAGUACCGAUUUCAACAUGAGACCUUGCCACAGUAGAUUGAUAUAACUAAAUAUUAUCAUAAACAUAGAAAUAUAUAAGUAUUAUUAUAAUAGGAUUCAUAAUAAUUAAUAUAAAAGUAUAACAACAACAUUUACAAUUAUGUACCAAGAUAAUUACACAUAAAAAUAUAACCAAUAUAUAUUUAUAUAUAUUUUUUAAAAUACGGAUCUUUACGUAAAUGCCUUUCACGGGUCAAGCCACAAGUCUGUGUUUUGGGGAUUGCAGAGCUGCAUCAAUCUUGCCAAUGUCAAUUCUGACCCUGGGCUCUCUCAAAGCACGUUUAAAACCUAUGCUAACAUAUACUAGAGUUUAUGCUGUAUCUAGAAAAUGCCAACACUAAUUUCGUAACACAUAGAAUUGUUAGAGAUUAGAAGUUUUUAUCAUUUUUUCUUCCAGUCUCUCCACCACUCACUAAUACAGAUUACUCAUGUGAUGAGUUUACAAAACCUAUUUCUCUACUCUCGCAAAGACUAUACUUCUUCUCAAAAGACUAGAUCACUUUACCUCUAUCUCUGUGAAAUGUAAAAAGUUGAAACUUUAAUGUCAAACCUCGACAAAGUGUUCUACUUACAAACUUCUUGUGUCUACCAAUUUCUACAAAAAUUAAUUUCUCUACGGUGCUCAGAUUCAUCAUAUGUGUGUCCUUAAUUUUAGUGGAAAUUGGAAGUUUCCAUAAUUUUUGCUUUAAGUCACUCUUUUGAAGGAAGUUGAGAUUCCACUCCAUAAUCCAAAAUGUCAGGUUGACUUAUGGCAAACAAUGUAAAUAUGUAGGAGUACUAUGACCUUUUAUAGCAUUUUAAGUUUGAAUUUGGGUUUUAUACAUAGAUUUCGAAAUUAAUAGGUUGAUGCCUAGGAAAUAGAAAUUGUAAGGGCCUAUAUUAGACUAGCCCUCUUAAAAAAUAUAUUAAUUAAUGAAUAUUUGUUCUUCUUCUUGUUUUGAAGUAGUGGUGGGAGGCAGACCAACAACAAAAAUAUAGUGAAGGCUUAUAAGAGCAUUUACAAUUAUGCUCCCUAUUUUUUAGUUAAUAUUUAGGUAAAAAUAGAAAAAAGUUAUUAUAUGAGCUCUUUAUAAAAUUUGAACUCCAAUCAUACUCCCUAGUUUAGGGAGUCAAAAAUACUAUAGUUAUUUUUUAAUUCAAAUUGAUUUUGGUUAAUCUCUAUAAAUAAAUAAAAAUAUAAAAAAUAGUUAGCAUUAAUUAAAAGUUUAAACUAUGCAUAAAACAAAGAAACAUUAAAUUAUAGGGAGCCACUAUGAGUCAUUACUCUCUCUUCAGAUUUAGGAGCUCCUAGAGGUCUCCCUAUUUUAUGAGGUGGAUAAAGAGCAUGGUUGGAGUUGUAUUUCUUCAAUUUCCUCUCUAAAAUUUGUCUAAGGAUGUGGUUUAGGGAGCCCAUUGUGAAUGCUCUAACUCUGGUAAAACACGAGUGACAUGGACAACAUAUGUUACAUCGUACUGAAGAUUUUUGGGUUUCUUUAAUUGGUUAAGUAGCAUCCACAAUGAGCUUUCUAAAUCAUCUCCUUAGACAAAUUUUAGGGAGGAAUUGGAAAAGUACAACUCCAACUAUGCUCCCUAUCCACCAACUAAAAUAGAGAGACCUUUAGGAGCUCAUAAAUCUGAUGAGAGAGAAAGAACUCUUAAUGACCCCCUAUAAUUUAAUGUUGCUUUAUUUUAUGCAUAUUUUGAACUUUUAAUUAAAUCAAAUUAUUAUUUUUAUAUUAUUUUGAAUACAGCCGGAUCAAUUAUAUUAAAUUAAAAAAUAAUUAAAAUAUUUAUAACUCUCUAAACUAGAAAGCAUGAUUGUAGAUCAUCUUAUAUACCUUAAUUUGAAGAUUCUUUAUUUGGGUUUCUUUCAAGACUUAUCACCUUAGCCACACCACCUACACGUCUGCAAGCUUCCGUAAUCUAACAAGGAAGGGGAGGCUGCGCAAUACUUAUCACCUUAGCCACACCACCUACACCACAAGACCAAUAUGUGUAGUCCAGCAGGCUUUCCAAUUUUAAUAUAUAUUAUAAAAUAAAAUAAAAAUCAAUCUAUUAUCAUAUAUAUUAUAAAAUAAAGAUUAUUGCUCCAUCCUCCAUGCACUUGCAUGCCCUCUUACAAAGUGUGAAGUAGAUUUUGUGUGCUCCAAGUCAUUGACGAGAGCUGUAACAUGGUUAGCUGGAUUUAUAAGAUCUUUUCUUUUCUGGGAAUUUUCUGAAUUAAGAAAAAUCAAGUAAAAUUAAUAAAGCAUAAAUUAGAAAGGGAAAAUAUCUAGAGGAUGCAUUGUAGGAUUGCACAUGCCAAUAAUUGUAUCCUCUAAAUAUAUAGCGACACAUUUUUUUUGUUUUCAUGACUUGUGGUCCUAAAAUUAUUGUUCCUAGCGGGCUUUUCACCCUCUCUCGAUUGAAAAUCAAUUGUGUAAAUCUUCAAUCUUGAAUGAUGCACCUAAAACUCAAGUGUCCCAGGCCAAUUAUUGCUCUCAUACCACUUGUUGUAAUAAACAUUCACCCAUUCUAAAGGAAAGAUAACCAUCGAUAUUAUCUGAAAUUUAACCACUUAAGUUCAUUAUGAUUAACUAUGUAUCUUAUGGACCAAUCCAAUCGUAAGGUUUUAUACUCAAUUAGAUCGACCAAUACAAAGUUCACACUGGAUUAAAAAGGGCUAUCGGUAGGGGAGUGUUCGGCACCCUUUACUGUGGAGCGCAACACAAGACCCCUUGCAUGCCCUCACUAAGUUGAGCCCAACUAUUUUUGAGCAUUAACAAUAUAUAUAGAUUGAAAAAAUAAAAUAAAAAUCAAUCUAUUAUCAUAUAUAUUAUAAAAUACAUAUUAUUGCUCCAUCCUCCAUACACUUGCAUGCCCUCUUACAAAGUGUGAAGUAGAUUUUUUGUGCUCCAACUCAUUGACUAGGGCUGAAACAUGGUUAGUUGGAUUUAUAAGAUCUUUUGUUUUUUGGGAAUUUUCUGAAGCACGGAAAAUCAAAUAAAAUUAAUAAAGCAGAAACUGUACCCUUUAAUUAUAUAUGGACAUAUGUUUUUUUGUUUUCAAGUCUUAGAUGACAUGGGGACCCCUCUCAAAUUUAAGUGGUCCAUUAUUGUUAACCACAUAUUUUAUGGACCAUCCAGCUUCGGUACAUUUCUCCCACAUGCCACAAUUGUAUAUUCACAAUUACGUCUGAUACAUCACAUCAUGCCACUUGCCUCACAUGCCACAAUUGUAUAUUCACAAUUACUUCUGGGUACCCCUCAUCAGUCGUCUAUAAAAUGGUGAAGCCAGUUGCUACUGUUACCAUAAGAGCCAGCUCCGACUUUCUUUAAUUUCUUGCUACAUCUGUUGCUAAGUUAAUUUCAGUCCUAAUGGGGUUUCAUCUCCCACUCAUCUUUGCUAUUCUCAGUGUAAGCUCUGCAAUUUGAUUAACUUUUCCAUUCUCUCUCAUUGUACUCUAUAUAUAUAAAUGAAAGUUUUGUGUUCCUAUAAUUCUCUCCGAUUUUAUUUAGUACGUACUUAAGUGUCGUCCACUAAUUAAUUACACUUUGUGAGAUUUGAUUUUAAUUAGAGUUCGAAUUAAUGUUGCAGCUAGCAGCGGUUGCACUGGCAAACAAUGCUGCUCAACCAGCACCUCAACUUUACUGGAACUCCGUCCUGCCAAACACACAGAUGCCAAGAUCUAUCAGUGAACUUCUGCAUCCUGGUUUGUGUUCAGCUCUUUAUAAUCUUAGAUAUCUCUUCUACCUGCCAUUUUACUAAACUAUGUUCGACCACAUAUUUAUCAGUUAACUACUGUCAUUACAAGAAUGACACUUAUUUUCCAAUAUAAUUUGCAGACUCCACAAAUGAAGAAAAGAGCAAACCUGAAAUUUUCCCAUUGCAGGGCAAUAGAGUUUACACUCAAAGCCAUUAUAAAAAACGUCCUCCUCCUCCAUCUGACGAGGGCAAACCUGAAAAUUUCCCAUUGGCCAAUAGCUUUUACACUCAAACCCAUUAUAAAAAACGUCCUCCUCCUCCAUCUGACGAGGGCAAACCUGAAAAUUUCCCAUUGGGCAAUAGCCAUUAUUCUCAAACAGGGUAUGCAAAAGGUCCUCCUCCUCCUCCUAAAAUUUUCCCAUUUUCAGGUUACAGUCGAAAAAGGUAUGGAGGAAGUCCUCCUCCUCCUUCUCCAUUCGUUCAAAAAGACUAUGGACAGAACGAUAAACAUUACGUUCAAAAAAACUAUGGAAAAGUUCCUCCUCCACCUGACAAUCAACUACUCCAUUAUAAAGACUUGGCUAUUUUCUUCUUCGAGAAGGACAUGCGCCCUGGCGCAACAAUGAAGUUCCAAUUCCCUAGAAAUUCAAACACGGCUACUUUCCUGCCACGCGAAAGUGCUCAAUCGAUCCCCUUCUCCUCUAAGAAACUACCAGAAAUUUUCAACCAUUUUUCAGUGAAGCCAACAUCUGAGGAAGCCAAAACAAUUAAGCAAACAAUCGAAGAGUGUGAAGCUCCAGGCCUUAAGGGAGAGGAAAAAUAUUGCGCCACAUCUUUAGAAUCAAUGGUUGAUUUUAGCACUUCGAAGCUUGGAACAAGAAACGUUGAAGCAAUCUCAACGGAGGUAUUGGAAGAAGGAGCCACCAAGUACAUGCACAACUAUACAACAAUGCCGGGACUGAAGAAGUUGGAAGGUGACAAAGUCGUUGUGUGUCAUAAGGAGAACUAUCCCUAUGCUGUGUUUUUCUGCCAUGCAAUAAAACAAACAGCAGCUUAUGUUCUCUCCCUGAAAGCCGAUGAUGGGAUGAAGGUGAAAGCAGUAACCAUCUGCCAUCUAGACACAUCAGAAUGGGACCCAGAGCAUUUGUCCUUCCAAAUCCUCAACGUUAAGCCCGGAACCACUCCCAUCUGCCAUUUCCUUUCCACUGAUGCUAUUGCCUGGGUUCCAAAACACAAGUCUGCAUGAUCAUCACUUAGCACUGUACGUAUAAUAAGCUUGGUCGGGUUGCACCCUAGGCCUGCAUAAUUAUCUCCCUACUUAUUUCUGCCUCUUUAUCAUGCGGUGUAAGAUAUAUGAUGAGAUGAAGUUUUCUCUUGUAACUAUGUAGACUACUUCAACUUGUACUCAUAAUAAAGCACGCUGUUGGGGGGUUCUACUUAAUUUCGUUCUCUCCAAUGUUUGAGUGUUGAAUUGUUACGUUGGAAUAGGCUGCUAAUGCAUGUAGUUAGAGAAGCCUUCAUUUAUAUCAAAGUCCUCAAACUAUCAAGAAUUAAUGUAUCCAGAAACAUAUACCAAGACGCAAAAUGUCACAUCCCGGAAUCAGCUACUUCCCAGUGGGUCACCCAUCCUGGGAUUGCUCUAGCCCCCAACUCGCUUAACUUCGGAGUUCCUACGAUUCCGAAGCCAGUGAGCUCCCAAAAGGCCUCGUGCUAGAUGGAUGCGGGUGUGCACAUAUAAGGCACAAUACCCCCUCUCCGUUGGUUUGAUGUGGGAUCUUACAAUCCACCCCCCUUAAGGGUCCGACGUCCCCGUCGAUACACUCGCACCACACGGCAGAGUGGCUCUGAUACCAAAUUGUCACAUCCCGGGAUCAGCUCCGCCGUAGCACGAUAUUGUCCGCUUUGGGCCCCCCUCUCUGCCCUCACGGUUUUGUUUCUGGGAGCUCACGAGCAACUUCCCAGUGGGUCACCCAUCCUGGGAUUGCUCUAGCCCCCAACUCGCUUAACUUCGUAGUUCCUACGAUUCCGAAGCCAGUGAGCUCCCAAAAGGCCUCGUGCUAGAUGGAUACGGGUGUGCACAUAUAAGGCACAAUACCCCCUCUCCGUUGGUUUGAUGUGGGAUCUUACACAAAACAACAUAUUUUCCAUUCUCUGUCUGUAACACCAAGGCAAACUUCCUUUAUCACAUCAUUUAAAGGAUCAAAUUCCAGUACUAAUCUAAUCCAUCAUGUAAAGCAUACAAGUGCCUACCUAAAUUUGUCCAUUGGAUAUAUAUGUCACUUCUUAUUUUUUGAUAGAGAUAUAAAUGUUGAGAAAAUUAGAGUACACAACUCCAAUAUAGACUUGUUAGAGACAAAACAAGUAAACAAAUUCCUUGUAUUAGACUCACAAAAUAUUAAAACAAGACAACUCUCAAAGAAAAGACAAACUCUCACACUUCUCACAAGGACUACUUAACUUUAUAGCUUAUUGCAUAUAGCAUAUGCAAACACAAUUACAACAUACCUACGUACACUAUGGAAACACUCGUGUAUAUUUGAACACAAGAAAACAUGUGCACCGUGCACGGUUCACAUGAAGUAAGAAAUGAAGAGGAAAUAAAGGAGAAGAAUACAAAAGAAAAUGGAGAUGAGAAAAAAAAAACACGAAUAAUGAAAAAUGAAUUGACAAUUAUAUGUGGUUGACAUUAGAUCUAAUAUUAUAUGUAACAACUAUUGAUCUAAAAUAAACAUUAAAUCAAACAAUAAUUAAAAGAUUUGACAAUAUAAAAAUUUAUUGAGGACAAAAAAAGGCAAAAACUUAUGAAAAAUGGAAACAAUAAAUAUGAACUGAGUCAUCAACUCAUCAUGGUAAGUUUGCUGACGUAUAAAAAUAGUCAAUGAACUACAUCGAAAAGUAAUUGGCUUACAUCAAAAAUUAAAAUCACGUGGUCUACCUACUAUAUAGGAUGAAAAAAUUACGUGAACAAUAUACUUACACCAUGGGAACACUCCUAUAUAUUUGAACACAUGAACACGUGUUCAAGGUUAUAUAUUUCAUUACCUUCACAAUAGGUACCAAACCGUACCAUGCGAACAUUCAUAUACGCACAACAUACUUAUAACAUACCUACACUAUGGGAACACUCGUGUAUAUUUGAACACAAGAAGACCUGUGCACCACCGUGCACGGUUCACAUGAAGUAAGAAGAUGAAGAGGAAAUAAAGAAGAAGAAUACAAAAGAAAAUGGAGAUGAGAAGAAGAAAAAAAAAACACGAAUAAUGAAAAAUGAAUUGACAAUUAUAUAUGGUUGACAUUAGAUCUAAUAUUAUAUGUAAUAACUAAUGACCUAAAAUAAACAUUAAAUCAAACAAUAAUUAAAAGAUUUGACAAUAUAAAAAUUUACACGUAAGCAAACUCACCAUGGUAAGUUUGCUGACGUGUAAAAAUAGUCAAUGGACUACAUCGAAAAAUAAUUGGCUUACAUCAAAAAUUAAAAUCACGUGGGUUAUUCCUAAGAAACCUUAAUAUUUUUGGGUUUAUAUAUUUUUUGUAUUUUUUUAAAAUAAAAAAAAGAAAAGAAAUCUGACCAUGUAUGUAUGAUGAUGAUAUGCAUGUUAUUUUUAGACCUAAGGUAAAACAGACAAACUUUUUACUCCAUUUUUCAUGAGGUUUAUCACAAUAAUUAAACUGUUAUAUCCUCCAUUUUAGAUCUCAUGCUUCCAUUUAAAGAAAAGAAUAUCAACAACAAAAAAAAGAAUAAAGUUACAACAUUGAUCAAUUCAAAUGUCCAACUACCGGAUCAUGAGCUCCUGCACUUAGCGAUAUGCAGAUAAAUGCGUAGUGUCUUAAUGCAGAGGCUCGGGAUCCCCAACUACCAUUGAAACAUAAGAAACUAAAAUCUGCAAGAAAAUGCUAUCAAUUGAAAAAACAAUAAUUAAAAAACAAAAAAAGGAAGGGAAUUCGCACCGCUAUGCAAAAAAGAGCAAGUCGGUUCAAUGAUUUUUUUUCUUCUUCUUUUUGUUAUGGAAAUGAAAAGCUCAAUGAUGGGCUAUAUAUAGGAAGAAGCUCAAUGAUUGAAUUAUUAUCUUCUAUCUACAUUCUACCCUCUUCCUCGCUACAUACACAAAUGGUGCACACCAGUAACUAAGCUUGUUUUGGGUUCGGUGGCUCACUGUAAAAGCUCAAUGGAGAUGGUUUGAGGUAGAAUUUUCUCCUAUUUCAAUAGGACAAUGAUGAGCUCUAUGGAUUUUUUUUGUUUGUUUAUAGAAAUUAAAUGGUAUAGGGUCUAUCUAUAUUAUUAAUGCUAAGAAUGAGAAUAUGACUAAAUAACUCAAAAAAAAUUUAUAAUAAAUCAACAAUUUUUUUUUUUUAAAAAAAAAUCUAUAGAAUCUUUUAUUAGAUCAAUAGGCACCACUAGAAAAUCUCCAUAUAAGCCACUACUAAUACACCCGUGACUACUGACAAACCCGUAGCCAAAGAGUAUUGGCCACCUGCCACACGACAGUGGUCCAAGCAUAAUGUUGUCAUUCAUUAUUCCCCACAGCAACCAGCAUCCAAUAAAGGGUUGGGGCCCACCCAUAUUCCACCUCUCUUUAUGAAUAUAAAAGAAAUAUUUUUUAUUCAACAUGGACGCAGAAACUGUUGCUAAACUGCAAACUUCUUAAAAUAUUUAUCUAACUUUCUAGAUCCAUGUACUGAGAUUUAUUAGGGAAAUAUUGUAGAAACUGAUUAUUUUGAAAUAUUAAAUGUGAAAAACUGAACAAAAAUUUGAUGGGUUACAUAUUUCAACUCAUUUCAGCAGCUUAGAUUUUGAAGACCUCGGAAGAGGCUAUGCAAUGAGCCUAGCUAGUGCACUGUUGAUCACUUCAGUGUCUACCGAUCUGUAAUUUUUCCAGAUUGGUUAUAUUUUCCUUUACAUAUUCUUAUAUUACCGAUCACUUCAGUGUCUACCGAUCUCAUAUUUCUGGCAGAACAAUAAAUCUUUCAACAUUAAAAGUUUAAAACUCCAAGAUGCUAAAUUUAACGUUAAAAUAAAUAAUUAAAAGGGCUAAUGAAACCUAUAUGCCCAGGUGAGGAGCAUGCCACAAACUUAUUUCAACCCCAAAACUUCAUUAAAAAGCCCAAAACACUCAAUGAGGCAUCUAAGUAAUUUAAUAAUUAAAAUUAAAUUCAAUAUGACCAGCUAUCAUUUUUUGGGUUUUUUUUUGUUUGUUUCUAGAAAUUAAAUAGUAUAGGAUUUAUUUAUAGUUUUAGUGCUAAAAAUGGGUAUAUGACUAAAUAUCUCUAUAAAAAAAAUACCUAUAUGUUUGAGAAACAAAAUAAUAAAACUACAACAUAGGUUAAAAACAUUCUAAUAAACUCAAUACAUAUGGUCUACGUACUAUACAGGAUGAAAAAAUUACAUGAACAAUAUACCUACACCAUGGGAACACUCCUGUAUAUUUGAACACAUAAACACGUGUUCAAGGUUAUAUAUUUCAUUACCUUCACAGUAUUCAUCAAAACCCACCAUGGGAACAUUCAUAUACACACAACAUAACAUACCUACACUGUAGGAACACUCGUGUAUAUUUGAACACAAGAAGACAUGUGCACGGUUGAUGUGAAGUAAGAAGAUGAAGAGGAAAUAAAGAAGAAUAAUACAACAGAAAAUGGAGAUGAGAAAAAAAACACGAAUAAUAAAAAAUGAAUUGACAAUUAUAGAUAGUAGACAUUAGAUCUAAUAUUAAAUGUAAUAACUUUUGAUCUAAAAUAAACAUUAAAUCAAACAAUAAUUAAAAGUUUUGACAAUGUAAAAAGUUAUUGAGGACUAAAAAAGGCAAAAACAUUUGAAAAAUGGAAACAAUAAAUAUGAGCUGAGUCAUCAGCUCACUAUGGUAAGUUUGCUGACGUGUAAAAAUAGUCAAUGGGUUAGAUUAUUAUUUGUGGGUAACUAAAAUCUCGUUUAACAACAAUAGUUAACGUUUGUUUAGAGAAGGAAAAAAACUUGAUGAUGUGUCAUGUUCUAAAGGGUUAGAUUAUUGUAAUGGCUUAGAUUUAAUGAAAUACAGGUAAAUGCGUAAUGUCCAAAUGUAGAGGCUCGGAAUCCUCAUCUACCAUUGAAACAUAAGAAACUAAAAUUUUCAAGAAAAUGCUAUCAACUGAAAAAACAAAAAACAAAAAACAAAAAGGGAAGGGAAUUUGCACCUGCUAUGAUGGGUUGAAUGAUUUUUUCUUCUUCUUCUUCUUUUUCUUUUUCUUUUUGGUUCUUUAGAUCUAGUUGCACAUUCCAAAGAAAUAAAACCUCAGGCAUGCAUGCAAUGCAAGCUCUUUUCCCAUGUUUUCCUCUGUUUUCCUCCUAUUUUCCCAUGCAAACUCUUUUCUUAUAUGGAAGUGAUUAAAGUGUGAUUCAUUGAAUAUUUGCGGGGUUUUGUUCAGACCUAACAAAGUUCUAAGUGAGCACAUCAAAUUUCUUUUACCCAAUCAAAUUCAACUAGGUUUAUUCUACGACCUUAUGCUCGAUCAUUUUCCACAAGCAACCGUCCACGUACCAAGUAUUUAUUUUAUAUCAACGAGUACGAUGGUCCAUGUAAGUAUUCUAAUAAUUCACUCCAGUUGCAGGCCCCAAUAAUAUAGAAGGGCCAAUGGUCUUUCAUUUGAUGAAAGCUGCUAUCUACUGAUAACAAAGUUCAAUGAAGACGUAGGAAGAAACUUUGAGAAGAAGCUUGCAAUUUCUUUUAUUGAUUUUCUCUCUUUUUCGAUCUACUUCACAAUGAACAGUAUCUAAUAUUUAUAUGACAGAAGCACUUAGCUUCUCAGCUACGACUUAACAAACACGUGAACCCACGUGAACUUCUAACUAACUAAACGCAUUAUAUACAUGUCUUUUGCCAAUCAUCCCCCCUCAAUCGCAGUGGUGGCUGGACCAACACUAAGAUUGUGACAGUGUUUCAAAAACAAUGGACUAUGCAGGCCCUUUGUGAAAAUGUCGGCAACUUGUUCUUCAGUAUUGACAUAUCGAACCACCAAAUCAUGACGCUGAACCCGUUCUCUGAUAAAGUGAAAAUCAAGUUCUAAAUGCUUUAUGCGAGAGUUUAAAACUGGAUUACUACUUAAGGCCAAUGCUGAUAAAUUGUCACUAUGUAAGACUGGAGCUUCAGGAACAAUAAUAUGUAAGUCUUGAAGAACAUAUCUGAUCCAAGAGAUAUCAGCAGCACAGUUGGCAAGAGCUCGAUACUCUGCCUCUGUAGAACUACGAGAGACAGAAGAUUGCUUACGAGAGGACCAAGAGAUAGGAUUCUGUCCAAGAAAUACAACGUACCCUGUAGUAGAGCGACGAGUAUUGGGAUCCCCAGCCCAAUCUGCGUCACUAUAGCCAACCAAAACAGAAGAACCAGAUGUAAAUGUCAAACCAUAAGAUAAAGUGCAUUGCACAUAUCUCAGUAUACGCUUAACUAAAGUCAUAUGAAUAUCAGUAGGAGCAGUCAUAAACUGGCAUACGGUGUUCACAGCAUAUGCCAGAUCUGGGCGUGUGAAUGUGAGGUAUUGAAGAGCUCCAACCAAGCUGCGAAACAUUGUAGGAUCAGGAAGUAAUGUACCAUCAGUUGUCAGAACAUGACAAUGAGGUUUACAAGGUGUAAUUGAUGGUUUACAAGUUUCCAUGCCAGCUCUCCUAAGUAAAUCACGAGCAUAUUUAGCUUGGUUGACAAACAAAUCACCAUUGGACUGAUAAGAAACCUCCAAGCCCAAGAAAUAAGUAAGCUGGCCAAUAUCUUUCAUAUCAAACACUUGUCCCAAAUCAUCAAUCACAGAUUGCGCUAGGGUAGAACUUGACCCCGUGAUGAUAAUGUCAUCCACAUACAGCAAAAGAAUAACCACAUUAAGACCAUCAUGCUUCACAAAGAGACUAGGAUCGGAGUGUGAAGAAACAAAGCCCAAAGCUGGAAGAUAUCCAGUGAACUUGGCAUUCCAAGCACGUGGUGCCUGUUUAAGACCGUAAAGAGACUUUCGUAGCCGACAUACAUAAUCUGGAUAAUGAUCAUCAAUGAAUCCCAAAGGCUGUUUCAUGUACACUUCCUCCUGUAGGUCACCAUGAAGAAAGGCGUUUUUAACGUCCAAUUGGCGCAAACACCAUCUAUGAGAUGCAACCAAACUUAAAAUCAAUCGAACUGUGGUAUGACGAACUACAAGACUAAAGGUUUCGUCAAAAUCUAUACCUUGUUCUUGACUAAAACCUUGUGCAACUAAACGAGCUUUAUAUCGAGCAAUACGUCCAUCAGCAUGUCUUUUAAUUUUGUAAAUCCAACGACAACCAACAAUAUUCUUAUCAGAGGGUGAAGGAACUAAAUUCCAUGUACCUUGAGUUUGUAAUGCUUUAAUUUCCUCUGUCAUAGCCUGCUGCCACUCAGACUUUGUACUAGCUUCUCGAAAAGUAUGAGGCUUAUCAAGAGCAGUAAUUGUAGAUAAACAAGUGGAAAAACAUUGAAAAUCACCAAAAUCUUUCUUCUUGCUAAUACCACUUUUAAGACGAGUUUGCAUAGAAUGACCAUGCUGUGGAAUGGAAAUAUGAGAAGAAGAACUAGAGGCAUCUGUGACAGAGAGAGGAAGCAAAACCUGUAAUUGAGCAGGAUCCAAAAUAGGUUGCAUAGUCUGAGCAGAACCUAAGACCUCUUGAGCCUCAUAUGUAGAUACUGAAGAAGAUGAAUUCUCAUUUGAACAUGGGAGAGGAGAGUGAUCAGACUCUGUGGUAGUAACAUAUCUAUAAGGCAAUGAAACUGCUAUAGCUGAGGGAGACAAUUGUGUCAUGACAGAAGAAGAUUAGGUUGAGGAUACUGAAUAAUUCUUCAUUGGAAACUGAGUUUCAUCAUAAAUCACAUGUCUUGAAAUAACCACUUUAUGAGUGUCAGGAUGAAAACAAAUAACACCCUUAUAACCAAGAGAAUAUCCAAGGAACACAUGCUCUGCUGAUCGUGGCUCUAACUUGUGAGAAUUAUAGGGUCGAAGAAGUGGAUAUACUGCAGAUCCAAAAACCUUUAAUGAUUGAAGCUCAGGAUUAUGACCAAACAAUUUGAAGUAUGGAGAUGUCAUUUGAAGAAGCUGACAAGGCAUACGAUUUAUGAGAAAGGUAGCAUGAGCUGCAGCAUAGUACCAAAACUUGUCAUUCAAGGCAGCAGUAGCAAGUAAUGUAAUUGUGGUUUCAAUAAUUUGCCUAUUCUUCCUCUCAGCAACCCCAUUUUGCUGAGGGGUAUAAGGACAUGAAAUCUGAUAGAAGCCAAGAAAUCUUUAAAUGCUUUACUAUUAUACUCCCCACCACCAUCAGAUUGAAAAUAUUGCACAGAAGCUUGAAAGUUCUUAGUAAUAUACGCAUGAAAUUUCACAAGUGUGGGAAAAACCUCAGAUUUAUUGAUUAAUGGAAAAAUCCAGAGAAAUCGAGUACAGUCAUCGAUGAUUGACACAUAAUGUCUUUUCCCAUGUUUUCCUCUGUUUUCCUCCUAUUUUCCCAUGCAAACUCUUUUCUUAUAUGGAAGUGAUUAAAGUGUGAUUCAUUGAAUAUUUGCGGGGUUUUGUUCAGACCUAACAAAGUUCUAAGUGAGCACAUCAAAUUUCUUUUACACCAUCAAAUUCAACUAGGUUUAUUCUACAACCUUAUGCUCGAUCAUUUUCCACAAGCAACCGUCCACGUACCAAGUAUUUAUUUUAUAUCAACGAGUACGAUGGUCCAUUCUAAUAAUUCACUCCAGUUGCAGGCCCCAAUAAUUUAGAAGGGCCGAUGGUCUUUCAUUUGAUGAAAGCUGCUAUCUACCAACCCUGCAAUAUGAGCUAUGCAAUGGUGAUGGUGUUACAUGACGUCAGAAUGUCGUAGGGAAAAUAAAAAAUAAAAAGUCAAGGUUUCUUAUUAAUGUUAAUAAAGGCAUAGCAAAAAAUUUGUAGCUCCAAUUGUUCAAAGCAAUUACCCAUGCACUUGAGAUUCUGUGUUUGAAUCUCCAAUUUUCUCUAAUAUUGUUUGUAUAAAAAUAAAAACUUUUGAAAAGACAUUAAUAUUGUAUUCUAUAUUCUAUAAAGUGUUGGACAUGUUUUAUAUUGUUGACAACCCCCUAAUACUUUGGUGGUGCCUAGUUAUAUUCAAUUCGUAUUUAUUUAAUUUGCCACUUACAUUCUUGCCUUAAUACAUCUAGGCUUAUUUUUAUACUAAUUUCUCUAACAUAACUUUUGCACAUUCUUUUAGUCUCUAAUAUAUAUAUUCUAAUAAAUGAUCUUACCCACUUGAGUUAUAAAUCUUUUUUUUUUAAUCAUGAAAAAUCGACAUUUUGACAGUGAGUUGAAAAGCACUCCCCAAUUUUAAUGUCAACCACUUGAAAAAAAAAACAUAAAUUUAAUGACAACAAUUACAUUUAGCAAUGCAACCUAAAUACUCAAAACCUUUGCGCCCCUUUUGCAACGCAUAUAGCAGGGUGAGGAUAUUGCCAAAGGAACUGCGAUAGCCAAUUAAAAAAAAAAGUAAUGAAGGCUUAUAACUCUGGGUUAAGAGAUUGGUCGUGGAGAAUUUACAUAAUUGGAGAAUGUACCAUCCCACAUCGACCAACGGAGAGAUGGUGAUGUGCCUCAUAUGUACAUGCCCACCUCCAUCUAGCACGAGGCCUUUUAGGAGCUCACUGCAUUCAGAGUCAUUGGAACUCCGAAGUUAAGCAAGUUUAAACUAGAGCAAUCCCAGGAGUGGUAAUCCACUGGGAAGUUACUCGUGAGUUCCUAGAAACAAAACCGUGAGGGCAAGGGGCCGAAAGCAGACAAUAUCGUGCUAUGCCCACCUCUAUCUAGCACGAGGCCUUUUGGAAGCUCACUGGCUUCGGAGUCAUGGGAACUCUGAAGUUAAGCGAGUUUGGGCUAGACCAAUCCCAGGAUUGGUGACCCAUUGGGAAGUUGCUCGUGAGUUCCCAGAAACAAAAUCGUGAGUGCAGGGAGCCCAAAGCCUACAAUAACGUGCUAUGGCGAAGCCGAUUCGGGGUAUGACAGAGAAUAUUCAAAUAUUCAAAAUAUUUAUUUCUUUGGAGUGGAGAUUUCAGCUUGAAGACCAACAAUCAAUGAUCAUGAUUUUAAUCCAAGAAGGCAUAAAUUCAACGACAAAUUUUUGUCAACCCGGGGAGAAUGAUGCAGAUAAAAAGCCAUUAAAGUUUAUGGGGCAUUUGAAUCAAAAGCAUUAAUAAGUUCAAUGCAUGAACGUUUUGUUUUGGCUUCUAAUAAAUUCUAUGUAUUUGGAAUGGAAUAGCUAGAGUCGUAAUUAUUUGGAUGGGGCUUAAUGUAUUUGGAUUAAUAGGUUAAUUAAUUUAGGUGCUAGUUCAAUGUGUGCGGUGAGAGAUUAAGUCUUUAAAUACUUGUAUGCUCAUAUUUCUCAAAGGAGUGGUUGUUGAUAAUUGAAAUUGAAAACAAAGAGAAUGUUCUCUCAUCUUUGCUCAUAAUCUGGAUAUUCUUAGAAUUAACGGGUUUGAGUAUUUUAUUCUAUCUUUUAUGCCAAGUUUCGGGUAUUCUUAGACUAAACGGGGCUUGGUGGUUCGUGGUUCGUGUUUUCCAAUAUCCUUGCUCUUUCCAACAUCCUUGCUCGAGUGCCGCUGCACUAGUUGGUAUCAGAGCGGGAUUCAAUUGCAAAACUGAAAUCCUGUGGAGGAACUGCACCCUAGUUGUGUAGUUAGUCAAAUCUACAUCAGCUGUUAUUAGAAAUGGUUAGUGGUGAUCAUACAUUUGAUCAUUUAUUAGAUUUGGAUCUCCCUCCAGUAUUUGAUCAAUGUUCAGAUGGUUCUUGCGAGAUUUGUUGUGAUUAACAUUUUAUAGUGGAAUGCAUUGAAGAAGUCGUGGAAAAUUAUGUCAACCUUCAUAUUGCAAAUGUCGAUGAUUCCAUCGCUUUAUUCAACUCUCAUGAUACUUUCGAAGUUGUUGAAUAUAUUGAUUUCACGGGGGUUGAAAAUUUCAGUCAUCGUAGUGCAACCACUUUGGUUGAUACCAUAAUUCAUAAUAUCUGGGUUAAGAGAUUGGCAGUGGAGAAUUUACACAAAUGGAGAAUAUUCAAAUAUUCAAAAUAUUUAUUUCUUUGGAGUGGGAGAUUUCAGUUUGAAGACCAACAAUCAAUGAUCAUGAUUUUAAUACAAGAAGGCAUAAAUUCAAGGACAAAUUUUUGUCAACAUGGGGAGAAUGAUGCAAAUAAAGAGCCAUUAAAGUUUAUAGGGCAUCUGAAUCAAAAGCAUUAAUAAGUUCAAUGCAUGACCGUUUUGUUUUGGCUUCUAAUAAAUUCCAUGCAUUUGGAAUGGAAUAGCUAGAGUCAUAAUUUUUUGAAUGGGCUUAAUGUAUAUGGAUUAAUGGGUUAAUUAAUUUAGGUGUGUUUAUAUCGGAAAUAAACGGCCUAUGAUCACCGAACACGUGGACAGGAUUGAUAUUGAUCACAGAACCCCUUCGGCAUGCUUCCUACCGAAGCCAUCUAUCUUGGCCCUUUUUACCAUCGGACACGUGUCAUGCUCACAAUCCAUGUCCACAGUCCCACAUCGGAAAUAUGAGCACAGUGCACACCUCCCAAGGCCUAUUUAAGAAGACCCCUAUCCUCAAAAGGAGGAGAUCAGAACGAACGGUACGCUACCGAUUGAUCUAUCAGUUAACAUUACUAAAACUGUACUUACUAAAGCAUCGGAGAGCCUUCGGCCGGUACCACACCGGUACCCCAAGGAAUUACCGAACGUGUCCUUUUGCAGGUACUUACCCUUCUGAAGUAGAACAUCUUCCGAAGACAGUCACCUGCCGAAGGCAUAAUAUCACUAAGUUGGCGAAAUACGUGCCGAACCACUUUUUCGCAUCAACAGUUUGGCGCCGUCUGUGGGAAUCCAGAAAAAUCAUCAACCCACUAUCUCCAAAACACAUGGGGACCACUUCAGUACCCACGUUCUUAUCGGAAGAAGGGGUACCGUUCGGAAGGUAGACCGGAGCUAGCCCAGCGCUACCCCCAUCCACUCCCUUCGGAAACGCCCCCGCAACCCAAACAACCGCCGAAGCCGAGCUGUUAGUCCAAAUCGCGUCCCUACGGAAGGACAUAGCGAGACUUCAGGAACACAACAACCUUCUUUCGUCCAAAGUGGACGAAACCCAGCAGCUGCUCCACCAGCAGCACACGCAGAACAUCCAAGCAACUCACUCUUCCCAGAGCUUGCAGACCCCCCAUAGGAAGAAGAAACACGAGAAGGUAGCGAGGGCAACGCCCGCACCUUCCAAACAGUUGGUAGUUCCGGCACCCAGGGAUCAGCCGCACAUCCCCAAGAAAGUCUACUCCGAUUGCCGACAUCGGAUUAACGAUCGGGAGGCAGAGAGACAGAGGUCUCCGAUCAGGAUUAGCGCUCGACUAAGGGACUCACGGAUGAAAAUCCUAGGAAGCAAGUCGCCUAUUCGGAAGGUCAGAGGGCUGGACUCCGCAGAGGAGUCAGAAUCCGAAUAUAUCCCUUCCAGGACGCAAGCUUCCACCUACCGUUCGACAACGCCUUCACGGUACUCGGGGGUUAAUUCAUUAAGUCUAGAAAGACGAUCGGAAGAUUAUGGUUCCAAGGAAAUCUCUAGUCGAGACCCUGUUGUCCGACUCCUUUUUCAGAAAGUCCAAAAAAUGGAAAACGACAAAGCUCGCUCCCAAGAACCGGAAUGAGGAAGCUUCGGCCCGGACCAUUCACCAGGCGCAUCCGAGACUCUCGGUAGGAUAAGAAAGUGCAGCAACUGCGUAUACCGUUCUAUAUGGGAACGGAGGACCCCUUAACACACCUCCACUCAUUUCAGUCCGCCAUUGGAUGCAAGGGCCUGAGCGAUGAAAGGCAGUGCCUGCUAUUCCCGUCUUCCCUUACCGAAGCAGCCCUGAACUGGUUCUACCGGUUGGAGCCGGAAACGGUAAAUUCCUUCGACGAGCUGAAACAAAUUUUCCUCAAUCACUUCAUGAUCCAAACGGAUCGUCUUUACUCUGCCGAUGAUCUGUACACGAUUCGGCAAAGAGAGGAUGAACCGUUGAGAGAAUACGCGGUGCGCUUCAGUCACGAAUACUCAAGGUGUCCGAAAACAGACGAUAGGGCAACCUACGGCGCCUUCAAGAGUGGCCUUCGGUCCUCGCAUUUCCGAUACCUAGUACACAGCAGCAACUGGCGCACGUACGAUGAACUGAUGCAGGCAGCAAUCCAUGCCAAAGCCGAAUACUUCAACUCGAAACCCGCGGUUUCGGCACGGCGAGGAGAUGCCGAACCAAGUGCUUAUCCGGUAAAGGCGCCACCCUACGAGAGAGUCGACCCAUAUUUGGCAGGUCAUAAGAGGAAAGACGACCGUGCCGAUCGAAGAGAACACCCGAAGAAGGGAAAAGGGAGGUAUGGUCGCAACGACCACCGAGCGCCCCUGCCGAAUCGUGACCACGGCAAUGAAGUCUUCACCCUAUUGAACACUACCUACGAGGCCGUCCUAAUGAACGAACAAGAAAUAAUACCAAAGCCGAACCUGCGAAGAUCCAAUCGGCAAGACAACCGGGAUACCGGUAAAUUCUGCCGAUACCAUCAGCAUAACAGCCAUAAUACGGAAGACUGUAUAAGCCUAAGAAAAAUUGUCGAACGGUUGAUCAGAGAGGGGAAGCUAGAUCAGUAUAUCGCCCGGCAGCCACCGGCGCCGGUACCGAAUCCAAUUCGGCAGAUAAACAUGAUAAGCACUAUCAGCGGUGGCCCCACCAUCGCAGGAAUGAGCAACCGUUCAAUGAAGCAAUACGUGCGCGCCGCACAAUUUCCGCAGGUAUUCGGCAUAGAGGUGAAUCGGUAUCAUGAAAUACCGAAAGUUCAUUGGGAACCAAUCACAUUUUGCGAAGAGGAGGAAGAGGGCAUCCUCUAUCCCCACGACGACCCAAUGAUCAUUCGAGCAGAAAUUACCGACUACGAUGUAGGACGGGUACUGAUCGAUACCGGGAGCUCGGUGAACAUGAUUUUUGCCGAAGCUUUCCGAGAGAUGGGAAUAAAGGACAGCCAGGUCAACCGGCAGUUGACACCUUUGUUAAGUUUCUCUGGGGACCUGGUCCAACCGGUCGGUAGUGUAAAACUGCCAAUUACCUUCGGCACCGCGCCAAGGAAAACGACGGUAUACAAUCAGUUCCUCAUCAUUGACUGCCCGACAGCGUACAACGUCAUAGUUGGAUGAACGGCACUCACCAGGGUCAAGGCACAUCUUUUCCCCCACAUGCUAUUGAUGAAGUUCCCGACCCCCAACGGCAUAGGAGCUGUCAAGGGAAAUCAGCUAAGCGCGCGGACUUGCUACGCCACGGCCCUCAAGUCAACCUCUUUCAAAAUCCCCAACGAGACCAUGUCUGUACAGGGGAUACCGAACGGUACGGGACCCGUUGACGACCCAAGAGAUGAGCCCCCGACUCCUCACACACAACCCGCCGAGGAACUGGAGACGAUAACCCUGAGCGAAGAGCAGCCCGAUCGUUGGGUUAGAAUCAGCACCAGACUCACCCCUGCCCUCCGAACGCAGUUCAUAGACUUCUUGCGGCGCCAUUCGGAAGUAUUCGCAUGGUCCUACGAAGAAAUGCCCGGCAUCGCCCCAGGGGUCAUCAGCCAUAAACUCAGCAUCUCUCCCGCUUAUAAGCCUGUAAGACAGAAGCGCCGUUCGUACGAUACCGAGCGAUACGAAGCCAUGCGUAAGGAGGUUGACAAACUUCAAACCAUCGGCUUCAUCAGGGAGGCUACGUAUCCGGUAUGGCUGGCAAAUUCGGUGAUGGUCCGGAAGGCUACAUGCGGGUGGUGAAUGUGCCAAGACUAUACCGAUAUGAACAAGGCCUGCCCAAAGGACAGCUUUCUGUUGCCACGGAUAGACCAGCUCGUGGACGCCACCGCCGGCCACGAGCUGCUCAGUUUCAUGGACGCCUAUUCCGGAUACAACCAAAUUUUCGUGCACCCUUCCGACAGCGAACACACCGCCUUCAUAACGGACAGAGGGUUGUACUGUUACAAUGUCAUGCCGUUCGGCCUGAAGAACGCGGGGGCAACAUAUCAAAGGCUCGUCAACAGAAUUUUCGCCAAAUACAUCGGCAGCAUCAUGGAGGUUUACGUUGACGACAUGUUAGUAAAAAGUAGAACUGCCGAAGAACACCUGCACAAUUUUUCAAUCAUGUUCGACACACUGAAAGACUACCGGAUGAGGCUGAACCCGAUGAAAUGCGCCUUCGGUGUAUCUUCCGGGAAAUUCCUCGGAUUCAUGAUUAGUCACAAGGGUAUCGAAGCGAAUCCCGAAAAAAUAAAGGCAAUCAUCGAUAUGAAAGGUCGAAGACGACGAAGGACAUUCAAAGCCUUACCGGACGCGUGGCGGCCUUAACUCGCUUCAUAUCCAAGGCUACCGACAAAUGUGUACCGUUCUUUAAAGCCUUGAAAGGGGAUAAACAGAAUAUCAUAUGGACUGCCGAGUGUGAUAAAGCGUUUCAAGACUUAAAGGACUACAUGGGCAAAGCACCCCUUUUAUCAAAACCACUACCUGGGGAGAUUCUCUCCCUAUACCUUUCGGUAUCUAGCACUGCCGUCAGUUCGGUAUUGAUUCGAAAACCAGAGAAAGCAGAGUUACCGAUUUUCUAUGUCAGUAAGGCACUCCAGAGUGCUGAACUUCGGUAUCCCCCAUUAGAGCAGCUUACACUAGCCCUUGUGGUCUCGGCACGAAGACUUCGGCCAUACUUUCAAGCACACAGAAUCAAAGUUCUGACUAACCAACCGCUCCAGCAAGUGCUCCAAAAACCAGAGACUUCUAGCCGAUUGAUCAAGUGGGCGAUCGAACUCGGAGAGUUCGAUAUACAAUUCAUGCCAAGGCCCGCCGAAAAGGGUCAAGCCAUUGCCGAUUUCAUCUCCGAGCUCACCCCAUCAACAGCACAGGAGAUACCCGAGACCGGGUUGCUAGAGGAACUUGACACCGAGCGCUUUGGUGCCUCAACUCCCGUAUGGAGUCUGCACGUUGAUGGUUCGGCAAACCAACAAGGAUGCGGAGCGGGCUUGGUACUGACAACACCGGACGGACUCAAGAUCGAGUACGCCCUCCGAUUCGACUUCCGAACCUCCAACAAUGAAGCGGAAUAUGAAGCUCUCCUGGCCGGCCUUCGGCUAGCCAAUAGCAUGAAUGCAAAACAAAUCAGAAUUCAUAGCGACCCCCAGCUCAUUGUGAACCAGGUAACGGCGGACUUCGCUGCCAAAGACGCCUCCAUGUAUGCCUACCUUUCGACUACCCAUCAACUGCUCUGAAGCUUUCGAGCCUACGAGAUCAAGCAGAUCCCCAUAAGCGAAAACAGCCAUGCCGAUGCAUUGGCACAUCUGGCUUCGGCAAUUAACGACAAAAUCGGAAGAAAUGUGCCAGUAGAGAUUCUUGCCCAACCGAGCACGGUAGCCUCCGAAACAUGUACCGUACGGUACGAAGAUACAUGGAUGUCUCCUAUCUACUCGUACCUGACCAACGGCACCCUUCCAGAAGACAAGGCCCAGGCCCGAAAGCUUAGGCACCGAUCAGCAAAGUACACCGUCAUCAACGAUGUCCUUUACAAACGUGGCUACACAACUCCAUAUCUCAAAUGCCUUACGGCAGAACAGGGGGACUACGUCCUUCGGGAGAUCCAUAAUGGUGUGUGCGGCGACCAUUCUGGGUCCCGGUCACUCGCCCACAAAGCCUUUCGGCAAGGAUACUUUUGGCCGACCAUGCACCAGGACGCUAAUUCGCUAGUGAAAAAGUGUGAUAAAUGCCAGCGCUUCGGUAACAUACAGCAUAUCCCUGCCGAACCCCUGACACCGAUCGUGAGUCCUUGGCCUUUCGCACAAUGGGGACUAGACCUGAUCGGUCCGAUGCCACAAGGUAAAGGCCAGGUAAAAUAUGCAGUGGUUGCCGUCGACUACUUCACCAAAUGGGUAGAAGCCAAACCUUUAGCAACCAUAACGGCAGCAAAGAUGGAGGAUUUUGUCUGGACUCACAUUUCGUCUGGAUUUCGGUAUCCCAUAUGCUAUCAUUAUCGAUAACGACAGGCAGUUCGAUUCGGAACUCUUCAGGCAAUUCUGCACCGGCCUGAAAAUCAACUUGUUUUUCGCAUCACCAGCUCAUCCCCAAUCGAACGGUCGGGUCGAAGCAAUAAACAAAAUCAUCAUGAAACUACUGAAACGGCAGCUGGACAAAGCCAAAGGAGCUUGGUUGGAGAAGCUUCCUGAAGCACUAUGGGCCAUUCGGACAUCUUACCGAACGUCCACUGGAGAAAUCCCUUUUUCCCUGACUUUCGGUUCGGAGGCUGUGGUGCCUGUGGAAAUUGGCGAACCUUCCUACCGAACGAAAACCUUCGCACCAAAGCCGAAUGAAGAAGCACUUUCUCUAAGCCUUGAUCUUCUUAAAGAGCACCGGGCACAUGCCAACCUUCGGAAUGAAGCCUACAAGCAACGUGUCUCUCGGUACUACGACUCUAGUGUCAGGCACCGCUCCUUCCGAAUCGGAGACUGGGUCAUGCGCAAGGUAUCCCUAGCAACCAAGGAUGCCACGGAAGGAACCCUCGGACCUUAAUGGGAAGGACCCUAUGAGAUCAUCGGGAACCUACCGACUGAGAGACUCCAACGGCAAGACCCUCGGUCAUCCUUGGAACGUGGAACAUCUCAAAUACUACUACAAGUGACCUAGCCUACGGCAGGCCCGAACUGUAACCGCUCAGAAUGUAUUUGUCCUUCAACUGAAAAUAAUAAAAGUCUUCAGCACUAUUACUUCAGAACCUCUUUUUAAUUAGUCUACUAGCCCACGACUGCCAAUAAUGUCGAGUUAACGUUCUACGGCAUCUUUAUUAGCCUACGGCAAUAAAUGACUUUCGGCGACAAUACGUUCGACAAUUUAAACACAUGUUCAGAUUGUUCAAACAACAGUAGAUAAAAACAUGCAUUUGAAUUAGAGAUGCCCUCGGCAUCAAUGUGUUCGGUACACAAAAUAAAAAUAGAAAAAAACUAAUUCUACUAUUAUAAAUAAACGGCAAGGAGCCUCAAGUUUCAUCGGCGGCGACAGCCUCGGCAGAUCCGGAGCCCUCGGCGGCAUCUUCCCCUCGUAUUCUUCAAUCAUGUCCUCCGUCAGCCCUUCCGGUAGAGGAGUAGGAUCAGCGAUGAAGUUCAGAUUCAGCUUCUUCCCGAGGUUGUACCGUUUGAACCGGUACAACAGGUCCGCCAUCUCCGAGCCCACUUCCUUAUCCAGGAGAACAGUGAACUCUUCAGACGAGCGGUACCCCCGGAUAGUUGACCGAAUGGCAGCCUCAAUCUCCGCAGCCUUGGCCCGCUCCGACUCCUCCAAGGCCACCUGCACCGCCUCUUUGGCAGCCUCGGCAUCCCUCGCUGUCGCCAGCGCUGCCUCCAGGAGACCCUUCAUCUCCUCCACCUUCGCCUCCGAAGCGAGACCCUUUUCAGCAGAUGGGCGUGGUCCUGGAGCGCUUUGCCAGCCUCGGCAACCUUGGCCCUGCCGUCCUCGUACGCCUUCUUGGCACGCUCGGCAGCAGCAAUGGCCCGCUUGACGCAGAGCCACAUGUCCAUGGACGCCUACACAAAACAAACAAAGUUAGAAGCAUGCCCCACUUACCAAAAAAAAAAGGACGAAGGAAGAAAGAAAAUCUUAUCGAGGCUUGAAGCCGGAAGGCGCGUCCGGCCUCCUCCCGAAGAAGCUUCUUCGGUAGUUCGUCGAUCUCCAGCAGCUCCAUCUGAGAACCGAGGAUCAUAUGGUUGACGAACUGGACCGUCUUCGCGGGGCAGGCGAUGGUGACGGCUUCGGAAGGACCGUCCACGUCCUCCACCGCAAGGAAAGCCCUUGGGACCUCCGAUUGGCGAGGGCGUUUGGGGACUGGCUCGGCUUCCAGAUCGACUGUCUCCGGCCGCUUGCCGGCAGCCUUGGAAGCUGCGGCCUCGGUAUCCCGAUGCCUCGGUGCAGAGACCUCACCGGCAGUGCGCCCCAGAACAGGCUCGGUGCCCAGCUGUCGCAGGCGCUCCGCGAGGGUCUGAUCCUCCGGAUCCACCACCGCCUGCCGGACGGAAGCUGCCUCGGGCUGCUUUUUCUUUUUCUUGCCCUCCAGGCCCAUCAUUAGGCGCCUCCUGGAGGACUCGUUCAUCUUCUUCGCCUCGGCAGCCUUCUUGCGUCCGUCACUGGUCAAAAGUGUUUGGUCAGUUGGCAAACAAAAGCAACACACAAAAACAAAAAAAAAAAACAAAAAGAGAGAAGGAAAGAUAUACUUACUCUCGGCAGGGUGGACGAGGCCGGCUCUGACAAGGUUGUCGGUGGAGAAGAAGCGUGGGUAAACUCGCUCGGCAGCAGGUACUCUCAGCCUCACUCUGUCGAGCUGCCGGAUCUCACUCUGCUUGGGGCUCGGCUGUUUGAGUUUACCUGUCGGAAGAAGGAAAAUUAGUAAAAUAAAGCAAGAAAAAAGAAGAGAGAAGAGAAGCCAGCCUAUCAAUCGGUAUUUCGGAAACCUACCGGCAAUCUGAAAUGUCGUGGGGACCGGGAAGCGAGGAGGUGUUCCCGAUGGCGAUUCCCAAUCGCCGGAGAGUAGCACCCGCCGAUUCCUCCACGACUUUUGAGAAGUCGGCACCGAGCUGAUGAAGUGCCCCUGCUCGGAAGUCUUCAGGCAGUUCGCCUGAACCCAGCCGCCGUGAUCGGCGCUCUUGGACUUAGUAAUGCUGUAUAAGUACAAGAACUGCUCGUAGGAAGGCUCCCCCUCCUCGGCAAUCCCGAACGCAGCAAUUACCCCGAUCAAGGCCACCCAGAAGUUGGGGUUGUACUGGCCGGGAGCGUACCCGAUCUGGGCAAGGAACUUCUGCACGGCAGGUUUCAACGGCAACCGAACCCCUUGUAGAAGAACGUCGGUGAAGAAGGUCACUUCACCGUUCACUGGGUCGCUGAGGGACUCGACAGGGCUCGGUAUCCUCAUCUUCACCGAGUCCGGAAUGAGGUACUCGGCCCUAAUCCUCUCCAGCUCUCGUUCGGUGAUCUUGUUGGGCUCCAAUUAGUCGACCCCGAACAGAGUCUUCCUAGGCACACCCACCGGUAUCCUAGGCUGCUCUCGAUGGACGAUCGUCACCCUCGGCCGGGAGGGACCGGCAAUGCCCUCACCACGACCGGAGGUGGAGGCCUCAGGCUGAUGCUUAAACGGGCCGACGCGGGUACCGUCCUUGUACACCACGGUCAAGGGUAGCGGUUGCCCCGUCAUAAGCCCCUUGCCGAUGCCAUGGGUGGGAAUGGAGUUCACCUCCUCACCGAAUAACUCAACAUCGGUGUCUUCUCCACCCUCAGCGUCGAGGCUCACAGCCCCGCUGGACGUAUCCCAGCCCGAUGACAACUCCCCAUCGAACGCGUUGGGCUCACUUCCGAACGGCGACUCGCUAUCAGACAUCUACAAAACAAAGAAAGGGAAGCUAAGGCCCGUGCCACAAACUACUCUACCGAUGCCUACAUCGCUACCUAUGGCCACUAGACUACCGAAGAAAAAUUCUAUUUUACGUUCGGCUAGCCUACGCCAUGAAAAGACGUACAAUUAAAUAAAUUGAGAGUAUUUUGAGGGGUACCGAACGGUAUCUUACCUUGAGUAGUGUGGGAUGAGUUGAUCACCGAUCAGAGACUUCGAAAAUUGCCCUGUAUGCCGAGAACCGCUGUAAAAAUCGCCUUGAUUGCCGUUCACUCUCUUCGGAAAUCGCCCGCACAGAGCUCUCGCGUCAACUCACAAUUGCAAAGUGAGCCUUACAUCCGGAGCAACCUCUAUUUAUAGGGAGAAAGCUGUAACGGUACACCUCGGAAGACUAAACGGCUCUUUAAUGCGUCGUCAGACGUGCUGUUGCUGGCCACGUGUCACCCGACGAAUGGCGCCGCUGACUGCACGCCAGGCACGGAAGACGAAGCGUCUCUCUGCCCUUUUGCUCUCAGCAUCGACGACCCCUCAAGUCCCAGGUCAAUCUCCCCCGAACGAUCCUACCGAACGGCAGGUCAACCUCCGAACCGCUAUAGAGAACUAAAUUCCCUUCCGAAGGACCUUCGGAAGAGAACUUGGGGGACUACUGUUUAUACCGGAAAUAAACGGCCUAUGACCACCGAACAAGUGGACAGGAUCGAUAUUGAUCACAGAACCCCUUCGGCAUGCUUCCUACCGAAGCCAUCUAUCUUGGCCCUUUUUACCAUCGGACACGUGUCAUGCUCACAAUCCAUGUCCACAGUCCCACAUCGGAAAUAUGAGCACAGUGCACACCUCCCAAGGCCUAUUUAAGAAGAUCCCUAUCCCCAAAAGGAGGAGAUCAGAACGAACGGUACGCUACCGAUUGAUCUGUCAGUUAACAUUACUAAAACCGUACUUACUAAAACAUCGGAGAGCCUUCGGCCGGUACCACACCGGUACCCCAAGGAAUUACCGAACGUGUCCUUUUGCAGGUACUUACCCUUCCGAAGUAGAACAUCUUCCGAAGACAGUCACUUGCCGAAGGCAUAAUAUCACUAAGUUGGCGAAAUACGUGCCGAACCACUUUUUCGCAUCAACAAGGUGCUAGUUCAAUGUAUGCAAUGAGAGAUUAAGUCUUUAAAUACUUGUAUGCUCAUAAUUCUCAAAGGAGUGGUUGUUGAUAAUUGAAAUUGAAAACAAAGAGAGUGUUCUCUCAUCUUUGCUCAUAAUCUGGGUAUUCUUAUAAUUAACGGGUUUGAAUUUUUCAUUCUAUCUUUUAUGCCAAGUUUCGGGUAAUCUUAGACUAAACGGGGCUUGGUGGGUCGUGGUUCGUGGUUCGUGUUUUCCAACAUCCUUGCUCGAAUGUUGCUGCAUCAAAGGCAGACCAAUAAAAAAAAGAGUAGCAAAGGCUUAUAACUCUCGUAAAACAAGAGUGACGUGGACAUAAUAUGUUACGUCGUACUGAAGAUUUUUGGGUUUCUUUAAUUGGUUAAGUUUAUAUACAUUCAUUUGAAGAUUCUUUAUUUGGGUUUCUUUCAAGAUGAAAACCAUAUCCACAACCAUAACCACAACUUGCCAGGGGCGGAUCCACAGAGGAGCAAGGGUGGUCAAUUGACCCCUACAACCUCUGAAAUCUGCCAUUAGAGGAGCAAAAAUUGACCCUCGCAAGAUGUUCGAUGAAAUGCCCCAAAGGGGCAACUUGUCUGUCCAUGCGCUCCAGCGCUGCUUGCGCGCAGCGCGCGAGCCUUUUUUUUUUUUUUUUUUUGUUUCUCUCGACUUCAAAGGUCGGGUGAGGUUGUUGAGUUCCAACUCGUCUCCCAUCUUGAUUGGAAGUGUAGCUUGCUUACUUUUAUCUUGACGGAGAUAACGAAGUGUGUUCUCUAGUUUAGGGUCAUAUGGUAUAAGCUCGUGACUCUGCGAACGACGACCCAGCAUAUACCUGAAAUUGAAAACAAAACUCAAUUAGAUUGACAAUCCCCGGCAACGGCGCCAAAAACUUGUUGGUAAUUUUUAACAACAAUAUUAAAACCUUGAAGUGCACAAAUCAAAUGAUAGUAUAGUAACCAAGCAAGGGUCGAUCCCACAGAGAUUGUGAUCUAAAGAGAUGUUUAUCAAUGUCACACAAUGAGAACUAAAACACAAUUAAACACGAAAACAAAAUAAAGAUUGAAACCACAAGGACUUCCACACACACGCCAACACCAAGGGGGGUUUUGAUUUGAUUUUGUGAAUAAAACAAAACAAGGAAAAGAAAAGAAAACAGAAUUUAAAUUAGAGUUUAAGAGAAAUUGGUUUAAAAUCAAUCAAGAACAAUAGCUAGGACUUACUAUCCACCUCCAAACAAUCAAUCAAUCAAUCAAUCCAUAAACAACAAUAGAUAAUCAAUUUCUAGCAAGCACAUGAUGAUGACACUCACAACAAGAUCAUGGCAUUUGACUCGAGUUGUGUGAUUCCCUCUGAAGUGUAUGGCAUUUACAUCAAUACGUGUAUUCUUAAUUAAAAUCUAGUAUGAUAUUUACUCAAAUUAACAAUCAAGAAUCCAUUAAGAUCAAAGAGAAUAUGUGUGUCACAAAAACCCUAAAACAUGGCAUUUGUUAUUAGGAAUUCAAGAAUCAAUUUCUCAUAACUAGUUCUGAACUCAAUUAUUCGUUGCAAACAAGAACACAUUCAAUAUGGCAAUUGACCUAUGUUCUACAACAAUUUAAUUCCAAACAUGCUUCCAAGUUAGCUACUCAAAGAAACAAAAUAUCAGAAUUCACAUAACAUAGAGAAACCAAAAUCAUCACGCUUGUAGAAACUGAAAAUCCAUUCAAACUUGUUUAUAAAAUUGAAAUUAUGUUUAGGGCUUCAAGAUUAAGCCCUAACUAACAAGAAAUUAGUUACUCAUAUUCUUGGAUGAACUCAAAAAUAAAUACAUAAGAACUGAAAAUUAAAAGAAGGAAGGAAAAGAAAGAACUCGUUGGCAGCUUUCUCCUUUUGCGCUGUUGAUCUCUUUAGGACGUGAAUUCCCUGUAUGAGGGCCUUGGCUGGCUUUUAUAUCACUUAUAUCAGAGUUCUAAACCCUAAUAUUGACUGAAAAAGUCAUCCAAGAAGUCUUGGUAAAUAAGGAAUCCAAAUAGGGAAGUAAAGAUCACAAUUCCUAACUCUAUAGGGAAAUACAGCUCAGCCCAAUUGUUACACGAUUUGGGGAUCUUCGGCCUUGUAGAAAAAUCAUUAAAAAUAUAUUUUAGAAAGAUAAAUGUCUUAUCUUUCCAACCAUAUAUAGCACGUAACUUGAACAAUUCGGGAAGGCUUCCGUUUCUUCGUAUUCACGUAAUAUGUACGAAACUGUCCUGUCUGCACGUGGGCUAACUUUACUUGUAAUACUCUACCAAUUGGCUUGGUAUAAAAUUCUACAAAAUCACAGAUUGAACUUCAAGAUGUUAGCUUUCAUCUCCAAUUGGCCUUGCACUAAAAUUCCUCUGAAAAGUUAAUUUUCCCUUAAAAACCUUCUAAGAGCGCAGAAAAGCUGAAAAUCAGAAAAGUAAAGUCAUAAGCCCUUUUUAAAUCCAAUUAUCCUACAAAACCUAAGUAAAAAGAGUACAUAAAUGAGUAUAUUUAUGGACUUAUCAAAUUUCUGGCGUGUAAGGCACUUCCCAUACAUGGCGUUGGAAUUUCCGGCUUAUGGGAAGAUUAUGUGAUUAUUAGGUCUCACACGUGGCGUUAGAAUUUCCGGUGUGUGAGACACUUCCUAUAGGUGGCGUUGGAAUUUUCGGCAUAUGGGAAGAUUAUGUGAUUAUUAUGUCUCACACGUGGAGUUGGAAUUUUCGGCGUGUGAGACACUUCCCAUACGUGGUGUUGGAAUUUCCGGCGUAUGGGAAGAGAAUAAGGAGAGGAAAAAAUAAUUAUUUUACUAUAUCGGGGAAAGAUUGAUGCUUAAAAGAAUAAUGUCUUGUGUGUUGUGAUUUAAGGAAAAGGAAUAAUUCUAUAAUUUACUAUUUUAUUUUGCUGUAAUGGAUUGUAUGUUAUUGGAAUCGAGAUUCUUGUAGAAAGAACUACAUGUGGCUUGAUCCCUCAGUAAGGAUACGUAGGUAGCUUAGGGUCUCACCCAGGUGCAGCCGCGAAAUAACUAUAUAUAUAAAAGGUUUAACCGGUUUUGAAUGUGUGAAUGAAUUUUGAGGUGGUUGCGGGAUUUGAAUCCUAAUUAUUACUACUACUAGGUUCAGUUUUGAUUAUGAUGGAACGCCUGAAGCUCGACUCAAACUUGAGCGAGAUUAAAUGCUUGUUUAUUUCUCGAUUAACUUGAUUGGACUUUAUUAAAUAGAAUAUGUGGUUCUGAUAUGUCUGAGAUCCAUUUCGAAAUAAAUGACUGAUAUUAGGUUGAUUAUAUUGAGUAAUGGGCUUGAGGCCCCUAGAACCGAAAAUCGCGUGCCCUUAUUCCUUUUUGGGAAAGGAGGCUAUAGUUUUAGUGACUGGGCCCGACAUCGUGGUGAUGUCAAAUUUUCCACAGGAUAUGUUCUGGGUUCCGAGGAAUUCGAGGCAGGUCUUGUCAACUAAUCAAUCGUCACAUCCCAGGAUCGGCUCCGCUGUAGCACGAUAUUGUCUGUCCGCUUUGGGCCUCUCUCUCUACCUUCACAAUUUUAUUUCUGGGAACUCACAAGCAACUUUCUAGUAGGUCAUCAAUCUUGGAAUUACUCUAGCCCCAACUCACUUAAUUUCGGAGUUCCCAUGACUCCAAAACUAGUCAGUUCCCAAAAGGCCUCGUGUUAGAUAGAGGCGGGCAUGUACAUAUAAGACACAGCACCCCCUCUUCGUUAAUCAAUGUGGGAUGUUACACCUCCCUUCUAAUCUUGUACUAAAAAAAAACUUACACUGAGAAGAGCAAAGAUGAGUGGUAGAUGGAAACCCAUUAAGAUUGAAAUACUUAUGCAACAGGAAGGUGAUGAAUAUGAAGGAAAAAUAAAACUUAAUAUAUAUAAGAUCAAGUGAAAAACAAAAUUAAGUCAUCAAACACUGACAGAGAAAGUAAAACCACUUUAGUUGAUCAAAUCCAAAUUUUAUAUAAUCUGUAUUAAUGAGUGGAGGAGAGACUUGAAGAAAAAAAUGAUAAAAACUUUCAAUCUCUAACAAUUUCUACGUUUGUCCUUCAAAUUUGCUUUUUGGCAACUCUUUUUUCUUUUUGUGAAGUUGGGUCUCAACUUCCAAGGCCCAAAAUGCAAAAACUACCUCAAACUCAAAGCAUUCCCUGGGCCUAUACAAUCCUCAAGAAGAAGACAAGCCCAAUGUGAGGAAGAAGAAAAGAAAAAGGCAAGGAAUCUAUGAGUUGACCUGAUCAUUAUGCAAUUAUUCAGAGAGAAUUUAUGUCACAUCUACAGCCGGAGAAAGCAAUCUGCAACUGCAAGUGAGCUUUUCUAGUCAUUAGCCAAAGGCAAAACAAACUUGGUCCUUGCAUACAUAGCUUAGCAGGUGCGAAUUCCUUCACUUCUCUCUUUCUACUUUUUUUUCUUUUCAUUUUCAUAAUAUUUCUUCUAGAUUAAUGUAUUGUUCUAUAAAUUGAUAUAUAUGUUUCCACAUGUCCAUUUGCCUGAAGGUUUAAGUCGCUUGUGUUUCAUGGUAUGUUUUGAUCGAGGAGUAGGUUGACACACUGGUCAAAGUUGAGGGGGUUCUUUGUAUCUUAUACCCUAUCGAUUUUCUUAGGGGUGUCCUUUCGUGCCGUCACUAUGGUUUUGCUCAGCAUAGCACAUCAACAGGAAAAUGGAAGAAUGCAAUCAUGCUGGUCCAAAUGACACAAUUAACAUGCCAUACGUUCCAUUAGAAACUUCAUUGAGGGAGGAGUUAGAUAGCUUGCCUGCCUUGUCCUCUUCGUGUUGUAUCUACAGAGUUCCCAAUGACAUACGACGUCUGGAGGAAAAGGACUACACACCUCAAGUCAUCUCCAUAGGUCCACCUCAUCAUGGCAAGGAAGGUUUAGAAGCCAUGGAAGAGCUGAAAAGAGGUACCUACGAGAUUUUAUGUGUCGGACUAAGAUAAGCUUGAAAGACUAUAUCAAGAAAAUAAGGGACCAAGAAGCAAGACUGAGAAGUUGUUAUGCAGAACCCAUCAAAUUUAGCAUUGAUGAAUUUGUAAAAAUCAUUCUAGUGGAUGCUGCCUUCACUACUGAGUUCUUAUUGAGGUUCUAUCUGAAAGAAUCUGGACAUGAAGGAGACCGUUUGUUAAACAAUCCGUGGAUGUUCAGGUAUGUACAGCCUGACAUGUGGUUGCUUGAAAAUCAGCUCCCAUUCUUUGUUCUUGAGGAUCUUUAUCACACAUACAUAAUAACCGACUCUUUUAGGAAUUAUUACAGUACUCAUGAUCAUGAGAGGCUUUCAAUAAUUAAUAUUUCAAAGAAUUUCUUCACAGCUGGAAUAUUGAAUUUGGAGGGUAAAGGAGACAAAUGGAACAGAAUAUCAUCUUCUUCUAGUUCUAUUAAUGUGCAACACUUUGUUGAUCUUAUAAGAAUUUUCUAUCUACCAUUGGAAUCAGAAUUAAGAGAUGCAGGGGAGCUCAAAACCUUGAACAUACCUAGCAUCAAAGAGAUGCACCAGGCUGGAGUCAAAAUUAAGGUAGGAUCAAGCAAAAACUUAGUCGACAUACAAUUUGCAAGUGGAACUCUCAUAAUUCCUAAAAUAAUGAUAACUGGUGACAAACUGCGGACCCUGGGAAAUGUCCUUGCCUUUGAACAAAGCCAUUGCAUGGAAGACAACUACUUAAACGAUUAUGUUAGCAUCAUGGGUCGUUUUGCGAACACUCCAAAGGGUGUGGAGUUGCUUGUUGAGUUUGGAAUUUUUCAAACUGCGGGUACCACCAGCGUGGUGUCAUCUAUGAUUACCAAACUUGCCUCUGAGGCUCUUUUCUUUGUCGAUAGAUUCUGUUACGCGACUCUUUGUGAAGAGCGGAACAACUUCUGCAGAUCGUCCUGGAACAAAUGGAAGGCAAAUUUGAGACAAAAUUAUUUCAACACACCUUGGGCAUCUAUUUCUGUCAUUGCCGCUGUUGUUCUCCUCACACACACUCUCAGACAAACGGUGUGCUCUGUUAUCUCUGCUACUUAACCAUUAAAGGGUAAGUCCCUGCUUUGCCGCUUUCUCUUCUGACAAUAAUAUGUAGACUCAUCUCUGUUUUUAUUAUUUAUUUAUUCACUCACAUGGUUCUAGCAGGAACACUUUCGGGAAACUAGUAGUAUUUCAGGUCCUCAUCAAGUAAAGGGAUCCGAGGAAAGCCUGUGAACUCAAGUCCAGAUGAUGAAUGUAAUAUUUCUAUUGUUUGUCCAAAUUUUCACAGUGAAUGAAUUCAAACUGCAGGUUCUUCCUAUCCAGAUUGUUUCUGAUGAAAUAUUAUUUAUUUCUGUGCUAUAAAUUUUUUAGUAAUGAAAAAAGAGAGAAAAAAAAACUUCCAAUGUCCACCAAUCUCUGUAAAAAUUAAUUUGUUUUAUGAUUAAUUUCUCCAUGGUGGUGAUCAAAUCUUUAUUCUUUUUGUGGUUAAGUUGGAUCCCAAGGCCCAUAAACACAAAAACUAACUCAAAGCAUUCCUGGGCCUAGAAACCGCUUGGCAUCCUCAAGAAGAAGACAAGCCCAACAUGAUGUGGGAAGAGUCCAAGACUAAACGGCUCAAGUCGAAGGAAAAAGCAUAUAAAGAGAGUUUGAUAUUUUUCAUCAUCAAAUCCGUUAAGAAUUUUAUGUAUUUAUUAUUAGUAAAUUUAGGUUUUACCCAUAAAAAAAUUUUCAUUUUUGGAAAAAGCCAAAGCUUUUUGAAAAAAGACAGAAUAACCUCUUAACUUUCAAACCAAAGACAUGCAAAUGUAAAGGAUUUCUUAGGAAAUCAAAAAAUAAAUAAGGGCAAUUUUGUCCAUUUUUGCUUGUUUUAAAAAUUUUCUCUCUCCUUUGGGCUUUUCCAAAGUCUCCCUUUAUUAUUUUAUAUUUUUUUAGUACAAGCGAUAGGGAGGGGUUUCUCACACACACAACUAAUGUCAUGGGGGUUUGAACCUGAUACCUCUCUGGUCUACAAAUCAAAACCCUUUUUCACUCCACUAGACCCUGUUGGCUUUUUUUUUUCUUCUUAAGAGCAUUUUAAAUCUAGUAAGAAACAACCUAAUUUUUUCCGGAACAUUUUCAUGGAAUAAGCAUUGCACACUCCGCACAAAGGACACAGAAACUUCACCGAAACACAAAAGCAGAUUUUACUUAUAGUCGACAAACCCUUGUACAAAAUGUUGAUUUUUAGUUGUCGUGGGACCUGCAAUGGAUUAUUCAAACUUCCCCAGGACGCGCAUAGACAUGUCAAAGCAAAGGCAAGGAAGCUACAUGAGGAGUUGACCUGACUUCCAAACCAGAUUCACUAGUUCUUAUACUGAAAUCUAGCAGAAGAGCAAGCUAUCUGCAUUGAGCUUUUCUAGCUACUCAUCUACCAACUGCCAAAAAAAAAAAAAAAAACUUGGGUUUCAAUCCAUAGCAGGUAUGUUUUCAAUGCCCAAACUCCUUUCUCUGUCUUUCUUUAUUUUUCUAUGUUUGCUUGCACAUCCAAUUUCUUGAAGCUUUUUAAGUGUCUUGUGUUUCAUUUUAGUUGGAAAUUGGAAUUGAGCAAAAGGUUAUGUAAAUGUCGUAUAUAAUUUUCUUCUCUUGUAAUGGGAUUUUGGUUUGUCUAUGUUUUGACUGGAAGCAUAAUCUACUAUCUGAUAUCAUUACACAAAGAAUUUGUUUUAUUAGAAUCUCCAAUAAUGCAGAACACGAAAAAGAUUUUUUUUUUAUUUUUUAUUUUUUAUUUUUAUAAAUGUAAUAAUUCAUUCAAGACUUUCAAUUCUUUUCCUUUCGAACAAAUAAAAAAAAUGGUGUCUCUAUGUUAAUGUGAAUUAAACUUUCGUACUGAUUCACAUGAUUAGUAGGAAUUUUUCAAUCAAAACUGCAUUAGAAUCUUCCAAGAAUAAUUACAAGAAACAGAGUUGACCAGAAGAGUUUUGAAUGAAUUUGGUGCAUUCAAAUCAAAUUCUUAAGGCACUAGUGUGGUAUGUAAGAGUUACAAGGAUCAAAAGUCUUUGUGUGUUUGGUCUUAUAGUUGCAAUGUUUGUAUUAAUUUUCUCAACCAUCUUGAAAAUUUGUUUAUUGUUGUGUCAGUGACUAUCAUUUCAUUAUCAUCCAUUACGAUUGACAACAACAAACACAUCAGCGGAAAAUGGAAGGAAGCGAUCAAGCUCCACAUGAUAUUGAAAACCCCUGCAUUCCAUUAGUAACUUCAAUGGGCGAGGAAUUGGAUGGCUUGUCUCCCCUCUCCUCUCUGUGUUGCAUUUAUAGAGUUCCUGAACGACUACGGCGUGUGAGUGAAAAGGCCUACACACCUCAGGUAGUCUCUAUAGGCCCACUUCAUCAUGGCAAGGAAGGCCUAAAAGCCAUGGAAGAUCACAAAAAGAGGUACUUACAAGAUUAUAUACGUCGGACCAGGGUAAGCCUAGCGGAUUAUGUACAGAAAGUAAAAGACCAAGAAGCAAAACUGCGCAGUUGUUAUGCAGAAACCAUUCAGGUUAGCAGUGAUGAAUUUGUGAGAAUCAUUCUGGUGGAUGCCGCCUUCAUCAUUGAGGUCUUGUUGAGGUAUCGUUUCGAUGAAUUGCAGGAUGAAAAUGACUGCAUAUUUAACAAACCAUAUAUGUUGCAGGAUGUAUGGCCUGACAUGCGGUUGCUUGAAAAUCAGCUGCCCUUCUUCAUUCUUGAGGAACUUUUUGACCCCGACAAAAUCGAAGUCUCUUCUAACAAUAACAAUAUUGAAAGGCUUUCGAUACUCAACCUUUGCCACAAUUUCUUCAAAAAUCUAAUGCAUAUAGAGGGAACAGAUGGCAAUAUGGAGAAAUUAUGUGCUUCUAAAGUUGAACACUUUGUAGAUUUUUGUAGAAAUUUGCAUCUACCUCUACCAUUGAAACCACAUGCUAAAGGGCGACUUGAAACUCUAAACACACCCAGCAUCACAGAGUUACACAGAGCAGGAGUCAAGUUUAGGGUGGGAUCACCCAAAAACUUAUUCAACAUAAAAUUCGCUAAUGGGAUUCUAAAAAUUCCAAAAUUAGCAAUAAGUGAUGAGACAGAGCUUACAAUCAGAAACCUCCUCGCUUUUGAACAAUGCCAUUGCAUGGAGAAUUACAUAAACGAUUAUGUUGUCAUCAUGGAUCGCUUUGUGAACACCGCAAAGGAUGUGGAGUUGCUUGUUAAGCAUGGAAUCGUCGAAAAUAGUCUCGGUGACAGUAGUGAAGGGUCUACUCUGAUUAACAACCUUGCGGAUGGGGUCAUAGUGGACCCUAAUGACUUCUAUUUUGCUAUUCUUUGUGCAGACCUCAACAAGUACUGCAGAACGUCUUGGCACAAAUGGCAGGCGAACUUGAGACAAAACUAUUGCAACACACCUUGGGCAACUAUUUCAAUUGCUGCGGCUAUUUUUCUCCUCAUACUCACUUUUAUACAAACAGUGUGCUCUGUUAUCUCUGCUCUGCCUUCUAAGCGUUGAGAGUAAGUCUCCUCUUAGCCGUUUUCCCCUUGUCAUUUCCUUUUGGUCCUCCGCAUGACACGAGCUGGGUUUGUCACCAGCCUAGAGGUGCAAGAGAGCUGGAGAAAGAAAAAGUUAGUGUAUAUGUAGAAAAUAUAGCCUCUGUUAGUGAAAGUGAGCUGUGCAUGUAGAGUGAUGGAAGCAAUGUGGUUGUUUUAUUUGUUUCUCCAUGCUUGUUCGGUAUGAAACUGUUCAAAUUUUAUAACUUUAUUGUUAAUCCGAGAGCUGUUAUGUUGGGUACUCCAAUGUAACAAAUCAUUGAAAAUCUCAUGUCGGUAGAUACUAGUCUUUAAUCUAAGACAUCCUUUGUCAAUGGAGGUUUUGUGCAAAAACUAUUUUAUACACAUAUUUUAUACCCUAAGUGAAGCCCCUAUUUUAUACCCUAAGUGAAGCCCCUAUUUUAUACACAUGAAAAACAAUUUUUGAUCUUCAAAAAAAGCAAUGCAUAUUCGAAAUAUAACUGAAAAAAAGUGUAUUGUCUAUGAUUUUAUUUUUGUAUUUUAGGUGCAUACAAUUGGAUCUAAAAUUGCCACAUAACUAUCAUAAACUUAGAAGCCAUAUAAUUACGCUUACGAAAUAUGCUAGCGUGCGUCGCAUGUGGGCAUGUGUCACCCUAUUACCAUACUGUAUGUCCUGGACGGUAGAUGACUGGACCUUUGCCUCCGACCAAAAUAUACAUAUAUUUUCCUCCUUUUCUUGAGCUUUAUAAGCGUCCAACUCCAUUCAUAGUUGAUUUCGAACCAAAACAAAGAAUUCAUAAUUGAUUUAUUAUUUUUCCAACUAUAUGCACAAGGACCUAUAGCCUUUUCGAGUGUAUAAUUAAUUAGCAUGAAGAAAAGGAUAGAAUUCUUUUCUUGCAGACCCAUACAUAAAUGUAGAUUCGAUACAUUUACGCAGUCCACCCGCACCAAAAGAUUGCAAAAAGUUCACAAUAUUUUUAAAUGUAGAUUCGAUACUUUAAUUGAUUGCUAUGAAAACCUUCUCUGGUGAGGCAUUAGUGGUCUUCAGCUCUUCACCUUGGCAUUGGUGGGUGAAGUCACACCACAUCCCCUACCCUCGGGUUUAGUAGAGUCUCCCGACCACAAAGGUUGGGCAGCGCAAGCAAACCAGAAAAAUUAUAGUUUUGGGAGCUUCUAAUUUAUUUUAUUUUUUUACACUAAACAAACACAGUUGAUUUAAGUAGAAAUCAAUUUAGUCCUUUAGCCAAGCUUGAUGGUAAAGUGGGGCCAAUCACACAGUCCAUAUCCACCCCUUGGAAUCUCCAUAACCCCCAAAAAAGUUUCAAAAAAAAAUUUUUACAAAUAAUUUGAAAUGUUUGAUAAUGAAUGUACACAAAUUAUAGCUCUGGGAGCUUCUAAUUUUUACACUCUAUAGCAACCAAAAAAAAAAAAACCCAGUUAAUUUAAGUAGAACUCAAUGAAGUGCUUUAUUUCACUAAGCCAAGCUUGACGGUGAAGAACUGAUCAACUAACAUUUCUUUUGCAGGUUCUGAAAGAAAAAGUAGAGAGGAAAAAGAAAACGUUGCUUUUCUGCUUUUAUUAUUAUUUGAACCAAUUAAACCGGGGUUGCAUAAGCGCUUCUAUUAUAAAAAUGUUGAAAUCUUCAUAAGAAAUCCAAGUGCCUCCUGGUAAAACAAUUGGGAGUGCUAGCUUAUUUAGAAAGCGCUUCUAAAGGUUUAAGCCAAAUACUGUCAUAAGCGCUUUUGGUUGUUAAAAAAGCACUUUGAGCUAUUCUAGAAGCAUUCACAAACAUGCCCUGGCUAUCUAUGGACUUCUCCUUUUUAUACCCUUGGGAGAGCUACGAACCCACUAAUUUAUAAUAAGUAAAUUUAGGUUUUACCCAUAAAAAAACUUUCACUUUUGGAAAAAGCCAAAGCUUUUUCAAAAAAGACAGAAAAACCUCUCAACUUUCAAACCAAAGACAUGCAAAUGUAAAGGAUUCCUUAGGAAAUCAAAAAAAAAAAUAAGGGCAAUUUUGUCUAUUUUGGCUUCUUUUAAAAAUUUUCUCUCUCCUUUGGGCUUUUCCAAAGUCUCCCCUAAUUAAUACAACAUGCCAAGCCUUAGAAAGGUAAAGCCAGGUUAAGCAUAACAUGAACAGUGAAAACCAGGUUUCACUACAUAUGGAUGUCAUUGCAGCUGUUGUUCUUCUCAUACUCACUAUCAUGCUGUCUGCCUGCUCUGUUGUCUCUGUUACUUAACUUAAUGUUAAAGUAUUUUAGAGAUCGAUUCAACCAAUGUUGUGCCUAUUGUUUUCUUAUAGUUCGUUUGUGUGAGUGGUGGUGGUAUUCAAAUUAUUUGUUUGAUGUAAGACUAAAUAUAUAAUUUUUAACAAAUGUAUCAGGGGUAAUUCCCUUCGCACUGAGAGUUUGAAUAGCUUAUUUAUAUACAAACAGAAGAACCUCCACUUCCCUAGUUUAUUUCUUUUGACUCUGUGGACCAUUCCUCGAAAGAUGAUUCUCGAUCCUGUUCGUAAAAAAAUUUCUAUUUUUAGUUUAAAUUUUUUUUAUAGGUUUACCAUAAUCUUUUUUAAAUUUAUUACUUAAAUAGUGGUAGUGGACAUUGAACAACCGGGAGCAAUUUACUUAUGAUACUUAGUUGACAUUCAUAAAAAGUAUCUAAUGAAUUAUGAGUUCAAUACAUCUAAAUUUUAAAUCAGUAAAAUAUUUAAAUAUUCACUAAAGAAAUAAUAAUUAAAACAUAAUUACUAAUUAAAGUAAUUAAAAACGGCUAAGGUAUUACUUAUUAAAUUAAAGAAGUUGGCCAAAAAACAAAAGUAAAGGAACAUAUUUUAUAUUUUUAAAAUUUAAAGAUAAAAAUAAAAUAAAAUAAACCAAAACAACCUCUCUCGACAAAAUUUCGUCGGCACAAGUUUAUACCGGCAAUAUUUGCCGAAUUAGACCUCUCUCGACGAAACUCACCUCUGCUGACGAAAUUGCGUUGGGAGAAAUCUAAUUAGGUAAAAAGUUGCAUGCAUAUACCCGUGCCAACUAAGUGUAACAUCCCACAUCGACCAACGGAAAGGGGGUGAUGUGCCUUAUAUGUACAUGCCCGUCUCUAUCUAGCACGAGGCCUUUUGGGAGCUCACUGGGUUCGAAGUCAUGGGAACUCCGAAGUUAAGCGAGUUGGGGCUAGAGCAAUCCCAAGAUGGGUGACCCACUUGGAAGUUGCUCGUGAGUUCCCAGAAACAAAACCGUGAGGGCGGAGGCCUAAAGCUGACAAUAUCGUGCUACGGCGGAGCCGAUCCCAGAAUGUGACAAUAUCGUGCUUAUCACUGGUGGAAGACAGUCCGCAGACGGUAUGCUAACCCUGUUCCCUUACUUGGGAAGAGUUUCAGAGGGUAUUCUUCGAUCAGUUCUACCCGCAUUCUUACAAGAAUGUGAAGAAGUCUGAGUUCUUGCAUUUGAAACAGGGACAGAUGUUAGCACUGGAAUAUAAGCAUAAAUUAGGAUUUCUCUAGCCCAAACUCGCUUAACUUUAGAGUUUCCAUGACUCUGAAGCUAGUGAGCUUCCAAAAGGUCUCAUGCUAGAUGGAGGCGGCAUGUACGUAUAAAGCAUAUCACUCUAUCUCCGUUGGUUGAUGUGGGAUGUUACACUUCACCCCCGUUAGUGGCUCGACGUCCUCUUCAGCACACUCGCACCACACAGCAGAGCAGCUCUAAUACCAAAUUGUCACAUCCCGGGAUCGGCUAUGCCGUAGCACGAUAUUAUCCGUUUUGGGCCCCUCCUCUCUGCCCUCACGGCUUUAUUUCUGGGAACUCACGAGCAACUUCCUAGUGGGUCACCCAUCCUAGGAUUGCUCUAGCCCCAACUCGCUUAACUUCGGAGUUCCCAUGACUCCGAAUCCAGUGAGCUCUCAAAAGGCCUUGUGCAAGAUGGGGCCGGGCAUAUACAUAUAAAGCACAUCACCCCCUCUCUAUUGAUCGAUGUGGGAUGUUACAAUAUGUCACAAUUAUAAAUAGGAACCCAAGAAGAACAUAUAUCAUAUAAACUAUUCAACCAGUCAUCAUUAGCCAAUUCACAUUCUUUCAUCAAUUCCUUCCACUUUUCUUCAAAUUCCUCUAUCUUGUAUGUUGACAGAAUACAUUUCUUCAUCUGAAUUUUGAAUUUGGACUUCGUGAAGUACACAUGUGACAAUUUUUCUACAAACUUCUUCUUAAUAUGCCAGAGGCAUAACCGAUGGCGAGUGUUAGGAAAAAUCUUGACAAUUGCUCCUUUCGUUGCCAAGUCUUGGUCAGUAAUAAUGGAAACUAGAUGACGUCCUCCCAUUGCUUCAAGCCAUGUCUCAAACAACCACAAAAUGUCACUUCUGUCUCAUCUUGUAAAAGUGCACAUCCAAAUUGUAUUGAUUGCAAAUGGUGGUUUACUCCUGUGAAUGGUGCAAAUGGCAUAUCAUACUUGUUUGUCCUAUAGGUUGUGUCAAAUGUGACUACAUCUCCAAAAAGUGGUACGCCAUGCAUGAUCAAGCAUCCACCCAAAAGAAAUUAGCUGCCCUUCCGUUUUCAUCACAUUGAAUGGCAUAAAAAAAAAAUUGAGGAUUCUUAGCUUGCUUCUUCCUAAAGUAAGUAAGGACUGGUUGUGCAUCACCUCCAUCCAGUUGUCUAUGCCGGACAUUUCUCAAGUGGUUAUAACAAUCUCUAUUGUUAAAACCAAUAUGCAAUUGGCAAAUUUUCUUCAUGAAAUGUUUCAGUCAGAAUUUUAGCUGUUUUCGGCAUAACCCUAUUUGACUUCAUUUUUAUUCUUCUUUCCGGUGUAACUAGCUUGUGAUUGUGAGAGUCUUGGAAACUUGAAACUUUCCAUUUGUUUGACCAUCUAUCAAGCUUAAUUCUCAUACUUGCUUUGCAUCCACAUUUCACCGUAUAACAAUUUUUACCCGUUCUCUUCAUAUUCUCAAUCUCACUUAUGUCUCUCUCAUCAUUCUCUUCUGAAGCCUUCUGUGAUGUAUUUUUGGGCACAUAUUUUCCUUCAUGUGCACAAACAAAUUAUCUACUCGUUACCUCAUCUAAACGCCUUCUUGUCUUGGAGGAAGAUCAAGUUCUAAUCCAGAAUCCCUCUUGCCGGCCAUACUCUUCAUAAUAGUUUCUUGCUUCUUCCAUUCUGUCAAAUACCAUCCCUGUAUAUGGUGCUUUUAAUUGUGUCACUUUCUUUUUUGGAGUACUUGUUUCACCAUUCUCCACUUGAAUUAUCUCCUCUACCUAUUGAACAUAUUUAUCAUUCUUAACGAUGCAACUUAGAAAAAUAUUGUACAUAUGUUAAUAAGAUAUAUAUGAAAAUGAAGAAUAUGAUUAUCUCUGCAUCAAAAUAUUAAUGCAAGAUGAAAUAUAAUUGAAUAAACUUUCAUAUUGAUUUUAAAAUUUAAUUCUUAUGUUAAAAGACAAUCAUUAAUGGCACUACGAAUUAUUUUUUAACAUAAGAAUUCUUAAUGGCCCAAUAAUUCAGCAAUCCUAACAUCGUAUAAACUUUCAUAUAACAUCGUAUUUAUAAAUAUAUAAAAAAAAUUGCAAUCCUAAUUGUCUACAGGAAGAGCUACAACAAAGAUAAAAAAAUCUCAGAUGAAAGUAACAUACCAAAGAUAUGCACUAAGAGUUGGAGGAAAUAUCUUGUGUGCGCUCCAACAUUUUGAUGAGGCAAUAUUGUAUUCAGAUAUGAGAAAUUGCUUUGACAUAAAAGAACUAUACUGAAGAUGAAUUCAUGGUUGCGUAUAUGCUGUGCAUGAAGAAGAAUAAACUGAAAAGAGUCCUUAUUAGACCUUAAUAAAUAUUUGAGAUUAAAGAGGAGAGAGAGAGAGAGAGAGAGGCGUGCGAAUGUGAUUGUGGUUUGGGUAUUUAGUUUUUGGUGAAAUUUUUUAUUUAUUAGAUCCUAAUAAAUAUUUGAGAUUAAAGAAGCAGGAGAGAUCCUAAUAAAUAUAUUUGUUUGAUGUAAGACCAAAUAUAUAAUUUUUAACAAAUGUAUCAGGGGUAACUCCCUUCGCACUGAGAGUUUGAAUCGCUCAUUUAUAUACAAACAAAAGAACCUCCACUUCCCUAGUUUAUUUAUUUUGGCUCUGUGGAGCGUACUUCUAAGUAAUUUUCAUAGGCACAAGCCAUCACUCUUUUUUUUUUUUUUUUUUUAAAUCAGUAAAAUAUUUAAAUAUUCACUAAAGAAAUAAGGACAAGGACACUGUUACUGUGCUGCUGUUACUGUUACUGUGCUGCUGCUGGAAAAAGGACAAGGACUUCACAUGUUGCUUUCGUCUUUUGCGGAGGAGAGAGACCUAGGACUUGCAUGUCUUAGAUAUUUAAGAUAAGGGGCUUUUGUGCCAUUUUGAAAUUACUUUGGGUGUUUUUGAAAGCGGCUUGUUUCUUUUGGGUUUCUCACUAAAUUUCACUUUAGAGGGAAUAAGGGAAAUAAUAAUAAUAAUAGUACAGACCUUAUUAGCAACAGGGUUACAAACUUCUUCUACAACACACACCAACAUGAAUCUAGCCCAGAUCCACUCUUUUACAUACUUGAAAACAAAACAAAAAACAAGAUAGGGAGAAAAUGGCUACAGAGAGACUUACUGCUAAUACUUGAUCAAUAACAGAGAUAAUAGAGCACACUGUUUGUAUGACAGUGAGUAUCAGAAGAAUAACAGCUGCAAAGAGAGAAAUAGCUGCCCAAGGUGUGUUGAAAUACUUUUGUCUCAAAUUUGCCUUCCAUCUGUUCGUGGUCUUCUUGCAGUACUCGUUUAGUUUGCCAGCAAGAUCACCAAAAUAGUAGUUUUCGUGGUUCGGAGCAACUUUACUGCAAAGCUUGUUAAUCAUAAUGGAAACCUUAUUGUUGUCACCUAGCGUGUUUACAACAAUUCUAUUCUCAACAAGCAACUCUACAUCCUUUGGAGUGUUUACAAAUUUAUCCAGGAUGAAAACAUAAUCGCUUAUGUAUUUAUCCACGCAAUGGCAUUGUUCAAAGGCAAUGAGAUUUCUAUGUGUAAGCUCUGUGUAAUCAUGUAUUUCAAUUUUUUGGAAUUUCCAAGGUGUUUUUCUUGAACUGUAUAUCGAAUAAGUUCUUGCUUGAUCCCACGUUAAACUUAACUCCGGCCUGGUGUAGUUUUGUCAUGCUGGGUGUACCUUGGAGCCCUCCAUUUUUCUUUUCUUUUGGCAGAUGUAAAGUUCUAAUAAAAUCAACAAAAUGUAAAGGUUUUUUAGGAUCAGGAGGCAUAAAAGACUUACGGAAGGCUGGUGAGUUCUCCAAGUUUUCUAAACGCAGUGCCUGUUGGAAGAACCUGUAAGAGAGUUCAAUUAUUGAAGGCUCCCCAGUCUGAGCACCUGUGAGAUUGUAAAGAUCCUCGAGAAUGAAAAAUGGCAGCUGAUUUUCGAGCAUAAGCAUGUCAGGCAAUAUAUUUUGUAGCACCAUGGUUUUUUAAAUAUCCAAGCAUUAUCAUCCUGCAAUUUUUCUUCCUGAAAUUUUUCUUCGGAUUUAUUCCUCAACAAUAGCUCAAUGACAAAGGCGGCAUCAACUAGAAUGAUAUUCACAAAAGCAGCAAUGUUAAACUUCUUAGUGUCUUCAUAAUAAUGACGGAGAUCACCUUCUCUCUCCUUUAUUUUCUCUAAAUAAUCCUUCAAUCCUACUACUUUAGUCCGAUCAAGAAAACAUUUUAGGUACCUGAGUUUGUGAUCUUCCAUGGCUUCUAAGUUUUUGCUGCCAUGGUGAAGUGGGCCUAUUUAACUACUUGUGGUGUGUAGGCCUUUAGUUUUACGUUCUGUAGUCGCUCAGGCACCCUGUAGAUACAGCAGGCAGGGGACAGGGCACGCAAGUUUGUCAACUGAUUUUCCAUGGAAGUUGCUUGGUUUUCUAUGUCAAAAGAAGCUUCAUUGCUGCUUUCUUCCACUUUCUUCCUCCCCAUUAUGUGUUGUUCUGAUUGUAAGCGACGAGGAUGGUGAUGAUUCUAGACACCAUAAUCAACAAAUGUUUCAAUCAUAAUUGACAUUUCAAGAUGCUCCGACAAAAAAUUAGAAAACAUUCAUCACAAAAUGCGAACUCAUACAAUAGAUGGGAUGAGAAGAUCCACACAUUGCAAUCAUACAAUCCAAUUGCACAGGGAUUAGUCCCUAUUCUCCUCUCUCUCUCUCUCUCUCUCUCUCUCUCUCUCUCUCUCUCUCUCUCUCUCUCUCUCUCUCUCUCUCAAAAAGAUUUUCAUAUCGAUAACAUCUUAUUGCAAGGGAAUUGUACACCAAGUAGUGAAGAACAGAAAUUCAUAUUCUUUCAAUCAAAAUGUACAAAUUUCGAAAAUGUUUGUUUGUUUUAUUUUUUGGGGAAAAAAAUCUGUGCAUGUUAUAUGUAGACCUAAGGUGAAAACAGACCAGAUUUUUACGCCAUUUUUCAUGAGGUUUAAGUUUGUGAUGUAUAUAUUUAUCUCAAGUGUAACAUCUCACAUCGAUCAAUGGAGAGGAGGUGAUGUGUCUUAUAUGUAUAUGCUCGCCUCCAUCUAGUACUGGGCUUUUGGGAGCUCACUAGCUUCGGAGUCAUGGGAACUCCGAAGUUAAGCGAGUUGGCGCUAAAGCAAUCCUAGGAUAGGUGACUCAUUAGGAAGUUGCUCGUGAGUUCUCAAAAACAAAACUGUGAGGGCAGAGAAGGGGGCUCAAAGCAGCCAAUAUUGUGCUACGGCGGAGCCGAUCCUGGGAUGUGACAAUUUGGUAUCAGAGCCACACUGCCAUGUGGUGCCAGUAUGCCGACAAAGACGUCGGGCCCUUGAGAGGGGUGGAUUGUAACAUCUCACAUCGACCAACAAAGAGGGGGUGAUGUGCCUUAUAUUUAUAUGCCCGCCUCCAUCUAGCACGAGGCCUUUUAGGAGCUCACUGGCUUCAGAGUCAUAGGACCACCAUCCCAAGUUCAAUAUACAACCCAACAACCAUCUUAGCCAUCUUCUCAUUGAUCUUCCACCCAGCAUAUAACACUAUUGUUGGAGCAUGAAAUUUCAGAUCCUCCAACAAGUAAUUUUUUAUUUCCAUGUUGAGAAGCCGAACACCAUCUUCGAUUAUCACCAUUGAGUGAGGAGGGGGGUACCUGCAAGAAAACACUCCGACCCUCAAGUCAGUGUUCGUUCAUGAAUACCGCAAUAGAAUCAAUCGUAACUCCCUCCCCCUAUGCUGGGGGAUUAGUUAGCCUUUUGUAGCCAUUGAACCCUUGGACUCUAAGUCCCAUAUCCUUAUUUAUCUCCAUGCUCAAUGGUAGUGGAUAUCAUGUUAUUUGAUUCACUCCACUCCAUAAAUUUAGGGUUCAUGGGAAGUGGCUUGUUAUGUGGGCCUUAAUUUUUGCUCCCAUGUCUGCCCCCUUUUCUCUCGCUGGACACGUGUCUCGGGUGUAUAGAGAGAAAAUAUUCUUUGUGGGAAUUCAUUAUGUGUAGAAUUUUAUGUGGAGACUUGACUUAUAUUAUCUUUGAUCACGAAUUCGGCCUUUAGCCAUGAGUAUGGUCUUCGACCAUGAAUAUGAGCUUCGAUCACGAGUUCGAGUUUGGGCUUCGGCCGUAUAGUCUUCAACUAUGUAUUUAACUUUCAGUCACGACUAUGGCUUUCAGCCACAUGAGCUUGAAUUUCUUUCACAAUCGUGGUCUUCAACCACUUGAAUUUGACUUUCAGUCACAAGCAUGAGUUGAGUAUUGGCAUGCCCCCCAUUGGUUUAGAAUGCAUGUGUUUACUAACUAGACAUUGUGGCUCUUGUUUAUCCUCUGUUUAUGUUGAUUUUGUCGUUAGUUGGGCUUCAUAAAUUGCCACCAUAUAGAAAUAGGCUUAUGGCUUAUCUUGAGUGGUGCAGUAGCUGCCUCCACCACGCAAAUGUAGUCAAGAGGUUAACAAGCUGCCAAAUUCUAACCACAAGAUAAUAAUGUUAAUUUCGUCAACAAAAAUCAGAAUACGCAGGCUUAGUAGUAUCUAGAUAUUGAGCAGCAUAUGACUACAUUCAAAUUCAGGCAUUUUAGAGAGCCAUACAUGCAACUGUUCUCAUCUCCCAAAUGCAAGAGAAAUAAGUAAAAUACCUUGGCAUGUGUCAGAUGUAUAUAUAAUCAAUUUAAAAGCUUCUGAUCAUACAUCCUUGAGGCAUGAAUAUAUGCAUUGAUAAAAGAUGUAAGGAUGUUCCAUGCUAUAAUUCGUGGAUCCUGAAAGUGACAAUAGAAAACUUAUCUGUUUGCAGUUCGGCUCGUGCCCCCAUAGAAAUUGGUUUUUUGCCCAAUUCCAAAUUCAUAAUUCAGUGUUAUGACUUCUUCAACUACAUAACAUGACUGCGUACUUGAUGCUGCUAGGUCACGAAACUACCAAAAGCAUGGGGUAGAAAUUCUUCUCUAUUUGGGGCAAAAAUUCAUGCCCCCAUUCGUGCCCCUAAUUCAACCGUUUUGUCACAAACGGUUGCAUACAUCCCAAUAAAAAUUGGAUACUAACCUCUGAAAAUUGAAGGCUCUUUUCACGAAAAUUCUUUUGUGAGAUUUUGGAGCCAUGCGUGAUUGGUAUAGUCCAAUUCAUAUUGUUUUUAUGGCAAGAAGAUGCACUGUGAUAAAAAUUUAUAGUCGUGAAAUGAUAAAAGAGAGUAUAGAAUUCUUCUCUGUUGGGGGAUUUAAUUCAUGCCCCCAUUGUAGCUCCUAAGGCAAGAGUGUAUCCAUGGCUUCUAAUUAUGACUUUUUGUACGGUUUCCACAGACGGCGCCAACUGUUGGAGCAUGAAAUUUCAGAUCCUCCAACAAGUAAUUUUUUAUUUCCAUGUUGAGAAGCCGAACACCAUCUUCAAUUAUCACCAUUGAGUGAGGAGGGGGGUACCUGCAAGAAAACACUCUGAUGCUCAAGUCAGUGUUCGUUCAUGAAUACCGCAAUAGAAUCAAUUGUAACUCCCUCCCCCUAUGCUGGGGGAUUAGUUAGCCUUUUAUAGCCGUUGAACCCUUGGACUCCAAGUCCCAUAUCCUUAUUUAUCUCCAUGCUCAAUGGUAGUGGAUAUCAUGUUAUUUGAUUCACUCCACUCCAUAAAUUUAGGGUUCAAGGGAAGUGGCUUGUUAUGUGGGCCUUAAUUUUUGCUCCCACAACUAUCUUCAUAUACUCUUUAGCUUAAUCUCUCUGUUGCUUUUGUCUUUUAUUUUUUUCAAAUUAAAUUUUUUAGUUUAUAUUUUUUUUUAUUGGUGUAGAUUCAAUGACAAAGAACAUCGAACUCGUCGCAACAUCUUGCCCUAGAUCCGAACUCUACCACCAUCACAACCCUCCCUCUCUUGAUCUCCGACCAACCUUAACACCCAACUUCAAAUCUAUGUUGUUUGAAACUCAGCCCCCUUCCCCAACCCCCCCCCCCCCCNNNNNNNNNNNNNNNNNNNNNNNNNNNNNNNNNNNNNNNNNNNNNNNNNNNNNNNNNNNNNNNNNNNNNNNNNNNNNNNNNNNNNNNNNNNNNNNNNNNNUGUCAAUAAGAUAAGAUCUCAUUGCAAGUGACUUGUAGAUGAAGUGGUAAAGAACAAAAAGUCAUAUUCUUCCAAUCAAAAGGUAUCAAGUCAAACAAAAUUUCUAGUUAGUUUGCUUUAUGAUAGUUGUUUUUUGAAGGGGUCCUUAGAUCCAAUCUCAAAAAGUUUGACUUUUAUUAUGUUUAACUCUGGUUUUUGCAAUUUUUUUUUAUCUCUACCCACUAACUUUUAUCUCUCAUUUUUAUUACCCAUUUUACCCUUUAAAAUAAAUAUGGCAAUAAACUAAAAAUUCUGAUUUAAUGCAUGUUUUACUCAUAAGAGAACUAAAACCUAAAAAUUAUGUACUCUAACACAAAAAAUAAAAACUAAAAAUAAAAAUUGAAGUGGUUAUCAAACAGAUCCUUAUAUUACAAAGAAAAUAUCAAAGAUUGAACUCGUCAUAAGAGAACACAGAAAAACCUCACUGCUUGCAACACCACCACUACACGAACAACUGCUAAUUUGACAGGACCCGCCCCAAAUUUUCUGAAAUUCGAGACGAAUCCUGUGGAAUUCCCGACAUAAUCCUGAUGUCGGGCCCACUUCUAAAACUAUAUCCUUUUUCCCAAAAAAGAAUAAGGGCGCGAGACUUUCUACCGAAAUUUCGGCAGAGUCUCUCCUACAAAUUGGACAUUUCCCAAAAUUUUAACCUGCAUAAAACACAAUUUAUAUUUCCAAUUGGCAACAUGCACAAGAUAAUUUCAUGCAAUUCACAUAAACGGCAUUCGGCCGUCCAAUAAUUAUCAACAAACUACCAAGCACGCUAUCAACUCUAUUCAUACCUUAAACAAGGCAAACAAUAAAUUCAAUUAUGAAUACUAAAUACAACAUGCAUCAUCUAACUUUUCCAAUCCCAAUAUACGAGGUUUUAACCUCCUAACACAAUCACAUCUAUGUCCGCGGCUGCACCUAAUAACCUUAGGCUGCCUACGUACCCUCACUGAGGGAUCAAGCCACGCGUAGUUCUUCCUACUAAAACCCGAUUUCAAACACAUACAAUACCUUUAUUCAUCUCUCUGUUAUUCACAUAAUCUCCUCAUACGCCGGUACUACCAACGCCACGUAUGGAGUCUGUCAACACGCCAGAUAACCUACGCCACGUGCGACCUCAACAUACUAUCACAAUAUCUCCACAUACGUCGGUACAACCAACUCCACGUAUGGGGUAUGUCAACACUCCGGAUAACCUACGCCACGUGCGACCUCACUAUAUUAUCACAUAAUCUCCCAUACGCCGGUACAACCAACCCCACGUAUGGGGUCUGUCAAGACGCCGGAUAACCUACUCCACAUGCGACCUCAACAUAUUGUCACAUCAUCUCCCCAUACGCCGGUACUACCAACGCCACGUAUGGGGUGUGUCCGCACGCCGGAUAACCUACGCCACGUGGGACCUAACAAAUACAUGGUGGUACUUAUAAUGUAACCAAAAUUCGGGGAGGUACCUAGGGUAGUGUGUAUAGCACCUCAAACUGACAUUCUAGACUCUUUUUCAUACAUUUAUACCUAUAUUUAAAUAUAUAAGUUACUCUAACAUUGUAUAAACCUCAACAUCAUCCCAAGUACUCCACACAUCACCAAUACUUUACCAAAAAUGCUAACUUAACUAUUAAUUAUUUAUAAAAAAAAAAAGGUUUUCAAAAAAUCAUUAAAUUCAUAUGCCUAACAAUACCAUCACAAAGCCAUGCUAUUCAUUUAAAAAUAAGGACCAAGAGUUUCCUACGAUAAUAAUAAACACUCUAAAAUCUCAGCCCAGUCAACAUGGCUCAACAACGCUCAAGACCUGUCAUUAGGGUCAUUUUAAUCCUUCUAGGAAGGUAAAACUACCUCGGAAGACUCAAGGUCAACCAAGGGUCAAACUACCCACACUUGGUCAAACGGGCCCACGGGGCCCACGACCUCCAAAUUCUGAUCCGAAGGUUCCUAUGGGUUCUACAAGGUAUAGGACACUCGUCCUGCAAGUUUAGUCCAGAUCGGACGGUCAGAUCGCUCACGAUCGCACGAUCUGACGGUUAAUAUAAACAUAAACUUUAAAUUAUUAAAUCGGACAUCCGGGGCUCCAAUUUACGAUCCUUGAAUUCCUACACAAUUCUAGAAAUACCUAGAUUAACAUAUAUUAAAUUCAAGACCAUCCAACGGUCCCAACCUAUCAUACCCAGAUAACGCGCAAUAAGCGAUAUCCGUUCGAGCCUCAAACGGCAUCCAAAUUGACAUAUGAGCACACCUACGCACUCGUGAGAACCAGGAGUGCCCUUUUUCUACAGUGCCCACGUGCCUCCGCACGUGCCGGCAGCGCGUGGGUGCCCAAAGCGAUUACGCAUCGUCGGAAAAUCUCAAAAUCACGGCUCCAAACUCCUACCCUAGGUAUAACACCAUAUUUGGAGCCACUUUUGUUCUUGGACCUACCCCAAAAACUGACCGGAGGUGGCAUGAAUCGCAAUCCUAAAAUCGGCCGAAUUUAAAUUCGUAAAUCAAAUUUCCUACGCUAGGAAUCGAUCGAAUCCUACCCAACAGGCAGCUAGAGCACAUUAAAAAGAUGAGAAAGCAUACCAAGAUCGAGGAAAAUGGUGGCCGGAGGCAUUCUAACGAGCUCCUUGAAUUUUGGGUUAAAACUGGUCGGAUUUUUACAUUUUUCGGCGAUCACAGGUGGUUCCAGCAGCUGAGAUUGGUCAGGAUGGGAAGAGGGAGAUGGCCCAGUUCUUUUGGGACUGAUGCCACCCCACGCAGUGGCCGGAUGCGACAGUGGUGGCCCAAAAACCACCGCGGUGAACAGUAACAAGAGGGGCUGUUUCUGCGCGCAGGGAGAUGAGGAAGAAGAAGAAAAAUAAAAAGAAAAAGGAAAUUUAAAACUGCCCGGUUACUAUAGCACGGCACUGUUUGCUACAGUACAAAAUUUUAAAAUUUCCUCCUUCGUUACAACUCGGAAUUGGGCGUGCCACAUGUCUACAAACUCAUAUCGACGAGCUCUAAUGGUGCUACUUAAUUCUCCAAAAUCUUUCCGAAUCAAAAAAUGACCAAAAUACCCUUACCCAAAGGGUAUAUUCCUAAAUUCAUAUUUAAAUUAAUUUAAUAAUUUAAUUGAGUAAACAAAUUAGGAUCGGGGUGUUACAUAAUUAAAAUGAGUCACAUGUGGUACUUAACUCUAAAAACUUAUUUAGAUUAUAUAUCCAUACUUAUUUAAAUGAGGUAAAUAGUACGUUUACAGAGUUUAAGUGUAAUAAAUGAAUAAAAACAUGCCCAGAGGAUUGAUAAGUGAUAUCAAUUCUUGAAUAUACAGAACGUAAAAUAAAAGAACACGUAGAAAAUUAUUUUAUGUGGUAAAACCCCAUCUCUAGGGAACAUCCACGGGGCUUUUUAGUCCAAAACAAAUCCAUUAUAGAACGAGGAUUAUAAGAAGUACUCACACACUUAUCCUAGACACAUUCUAGAUAAUGUUUAUUGACUUCUUCGUAACUCAACUUCUGUCACGAGAUGAUCUUUCGACACUCCUUAUGUUGAACGCAAUACUGGUCACGAUUUCUUCAAGCUCCUAAUAGAGUUCUUCCAACUCUCCUUGUAUUGAAUCUGACACUAGUCACGAUCGAUUCAAGCUCAUCGUAAAAAAACCGCCACAACGGUCUUGGUGCCCCCAACCGUACGAGUCACUGAACAUGUAAAUGAAUACAAUAUGAAUGAUAAAAGUGUUUGAUAAAUCACCAAGUUAUGGAACACUUGAUGAUUUAUCUUAAAUAAAAACUCAGCUUUCCAAAGUUUAUGAAUUGAAAAUAUGAUCGUUAAAGCUCUCUAAACAAAGAAGAUGAAGGUCUUAUUCUAUAGAAUUUUUCUUUACAAGAAAGAAAACACGUUGAAAACCAAAUCUUCAAUUUCCAAGGCUUGACAGAAAAUCACAAAAGUAUCUUUCCUAUUCUAGAGAUUGGUCACAUGUAGUCCAACCAAUAGGAAAUGAGAUAUUUAAGAAAGCAAGAUUUUGAUCAAUAUCAAUAUCAAAUGAAUUCUUAUACGCCUAGUCAACUAUUAAGGGUAUCUUGACUCCUUGAUAUUGUGAUAUGAUUGAAACAUGAUUUCCAUGUUAGAAAAUUAAGGGGAUGUUAAAACAUGAAAGUAUUAGGAGAAUCAAAUUGAUUUGGACCAAAAUUGCCUAAAAAGAAAACACUCCUAAAUAAACUUCAAUUCACUUUUAAAAACAGUAAAACGUGAUUAAAUCGUUGUUUAAAACAAUUCCCUAAUAGACAUGCAUGAUAAUGACAUCACUUACUCCUAAAUCAAAUUGUCACGUCCUGGACUCGGGGGUUGGUGGAAACCCCGCGCCCGGUGCGUGAGAAAAUAAAAAGUAAAAUAAAAUAAAAAGAAAGCCGAAAUAAGGGUUUAAAAUAAACUUCUCUUAUAAAAAUAACUCCAAAAUCUUACAACUUUACAAGAAAUAAAUAAAGCUCUAUCAUUCUUAUCUAAUUCAGCCUCAACUGGUUUAGUCCUUGUCUUGCCCACUAAUUCAUCUGAAAAAUUAAACAGGGUGAGGGAUGAGCAAGUAAGGACAUGAGACCUUGCCACAGUAGAUUGAUAUAACUAAAUAUUAUCAUAAACAUAUAAAUAUAUAAGUAUUAUUAUAAUAGGAUUCAUAAUAAUUAAUAUAAAAGUAUAACAACAAUAUUGACAUAUACGUACCAAGAUAAUUACAUAUAUAAAUAUAACCAAUAUAUAUUUAUAUAUAUUUUAAAAUACGGGUCUUUACGCAAAUGCCUUUCGCGGGUCAAGCCACAAGUCUAUGUUUUGGAGAUUGCUGAGCUGCAUCAAUCCUGCCAAUGUCAAUUCUGCCCCUAGGCUCUCUCAAAGCAAGUUUAAAACCUAUGCUAACAUAUACUAGAGUUUAUGCUGUAUCUAGAAAAUGCCAACACUAAUUUCGUAACACGUAGAAAUUGUUAGAGAUGGAAGUUUUUAUCAUUUUUUCUUCCAGUCUCUCCACCACUCACUAAUACAGAUUACUCAUGUGAUGAGUUUACAAACCUAUUUCUCUACUCUCGCAAAGACUAUACUUCUUCUCAAAAGACUAGAUCACUUUACCUAUAUCUCUGUGAAAUGUAAAAAGUUGAAACUUUAAUGUCAAACCUCGACAAAGUGUUCUACUUUACAAACUUCUUGUAUCUACCAAUUUCUACUAAAAUUAAUUUCUCUACGGUGCUCAGAUUCAUCAUAUGUGUGUCCUUAAUUUUAGUUGAAAUUGGAAGUUUCCAUCAUUUUUGCUUUAAGUCACUCUUCUGAAGGAAGUUUAGGUUCCACCCCAUAAUUCAAAAUGUCAGGUUGACUUAAACAAUGUAAUUAUGUAGGAGUACUAUGACCUUUUAUAGCAUUUUUAGUUUGAAUUUGGGUUUUAUACAUAGAUUUCGAAAUUAAUAGGUUGAUGUCUAGGAAAUAGAAAUUGUAAGGGCCUAUAUUAGACUAGCCCUCUUAAAAAAAAUAUUGAUUAAUGAAUAUUUGUUCUUCUUAUUGUUUUGAAGUAGUGGUGGGAGGCAGACCAACAAAAAAAAUAUAGUGAAGGCUUAUAAGAGCAUUUACAAUCAUGCUCCCUAUUUUUCAGUUAAAAUUUAGCUGAAAAUAGAAAAAAGUUAUUAUAGGAGCUCUUUAUAAAAUUUGAACUCCAAUCAUACUCCCUAGUUUAGGGAGUCAUAAAUACUAUAGUUAUUUUUUAAUUCAAUUUGAUUUUGGUUAAUCUCUAUAAAUAAAUGAAAAUAUGAUAAAAUAGUUAGCAUUAAUUAAAAGUUUAAACUAUGCAUAAAACAAAGAAACAUUAAAUUAUAGAGAGCCACUAUAAGUCAUUUCUCUCUCCUCAGAUUUAUGAGCUCCUAGAGGUCUCCUUAUUUUAGGAGGUGGAUAAGGAGUGUGAUUGGAGUUGUAUUUCUUCAAUUUCCUCCCUAAAAUUUGUCUAAGGAUGUGGUUUAUGGAGCCCAUUGUGAAUGCUCUAACUCUGGUAAAACAUGAGUGACAUGAACAACAUAUGUUACGUCGUAGUGAAGAUUUUUGGGUUUCUAUAAUUGGUUAAGUAGCAUCCACAAUGAGUUUCCUAAAUCAUCUCCUUAGACCAAUUUUUAGGGGAGGGAAUUGGGAAAAAGUACAACUCCCACCCAUGCUCCCUAUCCACCAACUAAAAUAGGGAGACCUCUAGGAGCUCCUAAAUCUGAUGAGAGAGAAAAGACUCUUAGUGACUCUCUAUAAUUUAAAAUUACUUUAUUUUAUGCAUAUUUUGAACUUUUAAUUAAAUCAAAUUAUUAUUUUUAUAUUAUUUUGUAUACAAAUAGACUAAUUAUAUUAAAUUAAAAAAUAAUUAAAGUAUUUAUGACUCUUUAAAUUAGAGAGCAUAAUUGUAGAUCAUCUUAUAUACCUUAAUUUGAAGAUUCUUUAUUUGGGUUUCUUUCAACACUUAUCACCUUAGCCACACCACCUACACCAAAUUGACGUCUGCAAGCUUUCGUAAUCUAACAAGGAAGGGGAGGCUGCGCAAUACUUAUCACCUUAGCCACACCAACACCACAAGACCAAUAUGUGUAGUCCAGGAGGCUUUCCCAUUUUAAUAUAUAUUAUCAAAUAAAAUAAAAAUCAAUCUAUUAUCAUAUAUAUUAUAAAAUAAAGAUUAUUGCUCCAUCCUCCAUGCACUUGCAUGCCCUCUUACAAAGUGUGAAGUAGAUUUUGUGUGCUCCAAGUCAUUGACUAGAGCUAUAACAUGGUUAGCUGGAUUUAUAAGAUCUUUUUUUUUUUGGGAAUUUUCUGAACCAAGGAAAAUCAAGUAAAAUUAAUAAAGCAUAAAUUAGAAAGGGAAAGUAUCUAGAGGAUGCAUUGUAGGAUUGCACAUGCCAAUAAUUGUACCCUCUAAAUAUAUAGGGAAAUAUUUUUUUUGUUUUCAUGACAUGUGGUCCUAAAAUUAUUGUUCCUAGCGGGCUCUCCAUCCCCUCUCAAUUGAAAACCAAUGGUGUAAAUCUUCAAUCCUGAAUAAUGCACCUAAAACUCAAGUGUCCCAGGCCAAUUAUUGCUCUCAUACUACUUGUUGUAAUAAACAUCCACCCAUUCUCAAGGAAAGAUAACUAUCGAUAUUAUCUCAAAUUUAACCACUUAACUUUAUUAUGAUUAACUAUGUAUCUUAUGGACCAAUCCAGCUGUGAGGUUUUAUACCCAAUUAGAUCGACCAAUACAGAGGUCACACGUGGAUUGAAAAGCGUCAUCGGUAGGGGAGUGUUCGACACCUUUUACUGCCGAGCGCAACACAAGACCCCUUACCAGGAACUUACCUGCUAAGACACGUGGAGACCCCACAUGUAAUAUCAACAGUCCCACAUCGAAAUUUAACACAACAUGCACACACCUCAAGACUUAUAAAAGUGGGCACAAGUCCCAAAAAUAGGGGAACUUGGUCUUUUGGCAAUUCAGCCAUUACUUUAUCCAUAUUAUUAUACACUCCGUACUUAUUCUAAUUUCAGCAUUGGAGAGCCCUCAGCCCAAGGAAUUACCAAGCAUUCUCCAUCUUGCAAAUUAAUUGCUCUACCGAAGCCCAGAAGGAGCCAAAGGCCAAGAUAGCACUAAGUUGAACCCAAAAAUGUUAAACUAUUUUUUAGCAUUAACAAUAUAUAUAGAUUUUUAAAAAAAAAAAAUCAAUCUAUUAUCAUAUAUAUUAUAAAAUAAAUAUUAUUGCUCCAUCCUCCAUACACUUGCAUGCCCUCUUACAAAGUGUGAAGUAGAUUUUGUGUGCUCCAAGUCAUUGACUAGAGCUAUAACAUGGUUAGCUGGAUUUAUAAGAUCUUUUUUUUUUUGGGAAUUUUCUGAACCAAGGAAAAUCAAGUAAAAUUAAUAAAGCAUAAAUUAGAAAGGGAAAGUAUCUAGAGGAUGCAUUGUAGGAUUGCACAUGCCAAUAAUUGUACCCUCUAAAUAUAUAGGGAAAUAUUUUUUUUGUUUUCAUGACAUGUGGUCCUAAAAUUAUUGUUCCUAGCGGGCUCUCCAUCCCCUCUCAAUUGAAAACCAAUGGUGUAAAUCUUCAAUCCUGAAUAAUGCACCUAAAACUCAAGUGUCCCAGGCCAAUUAUUGCUCUCAUACUACUUGUUGUAAUAAACAUCCACCCAUUCUCAAGGAAAGAUAACUAUCGAUAUUAUCUCAAAUUUAACCACUUAACUUUAUUAUGAUUAACUAUGUAUCUUAUGGACCAAUCCAGCUGUGAGGUUUUAUACCCAAUUAGAUCGACCAAUACAGAGGUCACACGUGGAUUGAAAAGCGUCAUCGGUAGGGGAGUGUUCGACACCUUUUACUGCCGAGCGCAACACAAGACCCCUUACCAGGAACUUACCUGCUAAGACACGUGGAGACCCCACAUGUAAUAUCAACAGUCCCACAUCGAAAUUUAACACAACAUGCACACACCUCAAGACUUAUAAAAGUGGGCACAAGUCCCAAAAAUAGGGGAACUUGGUCUUUUGGCAAUUCAGCCAUUACUUUAUCCAUAUUAUUAUACACUCCGUACUUAUUCUAAUUUCAGCAUUGGAGAGCCCUCAGCCCAAGGAAUUACCAAGCAUUCUCCAUCUUGCAAAUUAAUUGCUCUACCGAAGCCCAGAAGGAGCCAAAGGCCAAGAUAGCACUAAGUUGAACCCAAAAAUGUUAAACUAUUUUUUAGCAUUAACAAUAUAUAUAGAUUUUUAAAAAAAAAAAAUCAAUCUAUUAUCAUAUAUAUUAUAAAAUAAAUAUUAUUGCUCCAUCCUCCAUACACUUGCAUGCCCUCUUACAAAGUGUGAAGUAGAUUUUUUGUGCUCCAAGUCAUUGACUAUGGUUGAAACAUGGUUAGUUGGAUUUAUAAGAUCUUUUGUUUUCUGGGAAUCUUCUGAACCGCGGAAAAUCAAGUCAAAUUAAUAAAGCAGAAACUGUACCCUUUAAUUAUAUAUGGACAUAUGUUUUUUUGUUUUCAAGUCUUAGAUGACAUGGGGACCUAAAAUUAUUGCUCCCAGUGGGCUCUCGACCCCUUUCAAAUUUAAGUGGUCCAUUAUUAUUAACCACAUAUUUUAUGGACCAUCCAGCUGUGGGGUUUUAUCUCAAAAACCUUCGGUACAUUUCUCCCACAUGCCACAAUUGUAUAUUCACAAUUACUUCUGGGUACCCCUCAUCAUUCGUCUAUAAAAUGGUGAAGCCAGUUGCUCUGUUACCAUAAGAGCCAGCUCCGACGUUCUUUAAUUUCUUGCUACUUCUGUUGCCAAGUUAAUUUCAGUCCUAAUGGGGUUUCAUCUCCCACUCAUCGUUGCUAUUCUCAGUGUAAGCUCUGCAAUUUGAUUAACUUUUCCAUUCUCUCUCAUUGUACUCUAUAUAAACGAAAGUUUUGUGUUCUUAUAAUUCUCUCCGAUUUAUUUAGUACGUACUUAAGUGUCGUCCACUAAUUAAUUACACUUUGUGAGAUUUGAUUUUAAUUAGAGUUGGAAUUAAUGUUGCAGCUAGCAGCGGUUGCACUGGCAAACAAUGCUGCUCAACCAGCACCUCAACUUUACUGGAACUCCGUCCUGCCAAACACACAGAUGCCAAGAUCUAUCAGUGAACUUCUGCAUCCUGGUUUGUAUUUGAGCACUUUAGAAUCUUAGAUAUCUCUUCUACCUGCCAUUUUACUAAAAUAUGUUCGACCACAUAUUUAUCAGUUAAAUACUGUCAUUACAAGAAUGACACUUAUUUUCCAAUAUAAUUUGCAGACUCCACAAAUGAAGAAAAGAGCAAACCUGAAAAUAUCCCAUUGGCACGUUCAGGUUACAGUCGAAAAAGGUAUGGAGGAGGUCCUCCUCCAUCUGACGAGGGCAAACCUGAAAGUAUCCCAUUGAGAAAUUCAGGUUACCAACGAAAAAAUUAUGGAGGACGUCCUCCUCCAUCUGACGAGGGCAAACCUGAAAGUAUCCCAUUGAGAAAUUCAGGUUACCAACGAAAAAAUUAUGGAGGACGUCCUCCUCCAUCUGACGAGGGCAAACCUGAAAGUAUCCCAUUGAGAAAUUCAGGUUACCAACGAAAAAAUUAUGGAGGACGUCCUCCUCCAUCUGACGAGGGCAAACCUGAAAGUAUCCCAUUGAGAAAUUCAGGUUACCAACGAAAAAAUUAUGGAGGACGUCCUCCUCCAUCUGACGAGGGCAAACCUGAAAGUAUCCCAUUGAGAAAUUCAGGUUACCAACGAAAAAAUUAUGGAGGACGUCCUCCUCCAUCUGACGAGGAAAAACCUGAAAGUAUCCCAUUGAGAAAUUCAGGUUACCAACGAAAAAAUUAUGGAGGACGUCCUCCUCCAUCUGACGAGGGCAAACCUGAAAGUAUCCCAUUGAGAAAUUCAGGUUACCAACGAAAAAAUUAUGGAGGACGUCCUCCUCCAUCUGACGAGGGCAAACCUGAAAGUGUCCCAUUGAGAAAUUCAGGUUACCAACGAAAAAAUUAUGGAGGACGUCCUCCUCCAUCUGACAGUCAACUACUCCAUUAUAGAGACUUAGCUAUUUUCUUCUUCGAGAAGGACAUGCGCCCUGGCUCAACAAUGCAGUUCCAAUUCCCUAGAAAUUCAAACACGGCUACUUUCCUGCCACGCGAAAGUGCUCAAUCAAUCCCCUUCUCCUCUAACAAACUAUCAGAAAUUUUCAACCAUUUUUCAGUGAAGCCGACAUCUGUGGAAGCCAAAACAAUUAAGCAAACAAUCGAAGAGUGUGAAGCUCCAGGCCUUAAGGGAGAGGAAAAAUAUUGCGCCACAUCUUUAGAAUCAAUGGUUGAUUUUAGCACUUCGAAGCUUGGAACAAGAAACGUUGAAGCAAUCUCGACGGAGGUAUUGGAAGAAGGAGCCACCAAGUACAUGCACAACUAUACAACAAUGCCGGGACUGAAGAAGUUGGCAGGUGACAAAGUCGUUGUGUGUCAUAAGGAGAACUAUCCCUAUGCUGUGUUUUUCUGCCAUGCAAUAAAACAAACAGAAGCUUAUGUUCUCACCCUGAAAGCCGAUGAUGGGAUGAAGGUUAAAGCAGUAACCAUCUGCCAUCUAGACACAUCAGAAUGGGAUCCAGAGCAUUUGUCCUUCCAAAUCCUCAACGUUAAGCCCGGAACCACUCCCAUCUGCCAUUUCAUUUCCACUGAUGCUAUUGCCUGGGUUCCGAACCACAAAUCUGCAUGAUCAUCACUUAGCACUGUACGUAUAAUAAGCUUGGUCGGGUUGCACCCUAGGCCUGCAUAAUUAUCUCCCUACUUAUUUCUGCCUCUUCAUCAUGUGGUGUAAGAUAUAUGGUGAGAUGAAGUAACUAUGUAGACUUCAACUUGUACUCAUAAUAAAGCAUGCUGUUGGGGGGUUCUACUUAAUUUCGUUCUCUCCAAUGUUUGAGUGUUGAAUUGUUACGUUGGAAUAGGCUGCUAAUGCAUGUAGUUAGAGAAGCCUUCAUUUAUAUCAUAGUCCUCAAACUAUCAAGAAUUAAUCCAGAAACAAACCAAGACGCAAAACAACAUAUUUUCCAUGCUCUGUCUGUAACACCAAAGCAAACUUCCUUUAUCACAUCAUUUAAAGGAUCAAAUUCCAGUACUAAUCAAAUCCCAAGGGCGAAACCAAGAAUUUUUCAACGAGUGGGCUAGCUAAAGUUAUUAGCUUAAAAUUUAAUGAUUUUUUCUUUUUUUUGGAACUUCCAAUUUCUCUAGUCUUUCUAGAAAUAAAAGUAAACAUUAAAUCAUAUCAACCAAGCUAGUCCAUAGCUCCAUAGACUAAUUUUCAAAAAGUUUUAACAUAAACCAAAUAGGGUUUAACACCAUAAUGGAUUAAACAUCUAAGACUUUUUACCUAGAUUGACCUUAGGUUUCUUCAUGCAUUCAUAUCAUACAUGAAAAGUUGUUUUAUGUAAAAAUAUUGACUAAGUAUGAAAAAUGGGUUUUCGAAAUAAUCAUUUUCUCAAGAUAAUUUUUGAUGGCUUUUAUUCCUCACACGUCAAAUAAGAAAACUUGAUUUUAUGAUAUUUUAGUAUGAAGUACAUAUUGACUUAAUGAGCCAUCAUUUUUAGCCUAAAUUGUAUUUUGCACUAAAACUGAUUUUUCAUAUUUUGAUUUUGUGGCAAUUUG
rnacentral:lncRNA from 1 species